rnacentral:lncRNA from 1 species
AACCACCAGCCUUUGGGCUAGUAGCCACCACCUAGCUUGGUGAGGUGGGAGGCAAGGGUUCAAAAUGCCACAUUUAAGUGAUUUGCUUCAAAAAAUCCAGGCGAGUGUGUUGUGCACUCGUUUGGUCUGGUGGUGGUUCAGUCCCCUCCGAGUUAUUCCUGGACCUCCUUAGAUCCGCUCCCUCCCCCUUAGUGUAGAAUAGAUUAGGUUAUACAACUGUUGUUGUCUCUGAAAAAAAAAAAAAAAAAUUGAUGCAAUACCUGCCAUUGGCCUUUGGGUGCAAAAAUUAUAAAAUUUAGAGUAUGGAAUCAGUUGCUCGCUCCUUUUUUUUUUGUUUGCUAUUUCACUAGCAUUAAAAGAACAAAAAAAAAAAAAAAACCUGUGCUAUAAUUGAUUUUCAUUAGUGAUAGUGACAUUAAAGUUGUAUAAUAAACAUGUGAAUUGAACCUUGACUUCAAAUGGAGCACAUCACAAUCAACGCAAAUCUACAAAUCCAUCUACUUCUGCUGAAUGGAUGAAGUAUUGGAGAGGAAAGUACUCAAUGCUAUUGGGGUUUCAUGCGAUUUGGUCUGGUUGUUGUAUUUAAAAAAAAAAAAAAAAAAGCGAUGGAGUGUACACUAAAAAUUUGAAUAUACAACAACUGAACAGAAUCAUACAAAACACAACCGCACUGAGUUCUUUCCAGUGAUGGAGCGUAAAAGAUUGUAUAAUACUGAGAAGUGACUGUGUUGAGAGCUACAAUCUUCAAUUUCGUAACGAAGAUUACUAGCUGAAGCGAUUCUUUCUUGGGGAAGGAAAGUGACAGCUCUUUCGUUGUGUUCAAGGGAUCCUUUCUGGGAUUUUUAAGAACAUCAUCAUUUUCAGAUUCUUUGCUCCAUCGAUGCUGUUGCUUACGACAAACCAAAAUGGUGGCAACUGCAUUACUUCAUCUGUACUAUCCUUUGGUUGACUACAAAUUGUGACAAGAAAAUACACGUAUGGUCAUGUGUAUAUUGAAAGGGCAAAAAUGCCUUGGAAUGAUUGCAUGGCUUUAUCCAGUUGAAUCUGAUCCCCUAAUGGAAGUGGAAAAUGAAGCAUAUAAUUUAAUUCGAUUUCCACCGGUCAUUGGUAUGUUAAAAAUACUUUUGCGUCUUCUCAGCUCCUCAUUCAAUACAAUUACGACAAGUUCAGACAAAUACAGUAGAAAGGAAACAAAUUCAAAACGAAGGAGUUUUGCAACCAUACAUAUCUCGAAGUUUACAAUUCUUACCUGUCCACUUUCUUGUCUUGCUGGAAGGGUAAAAAGCUUUCAUUUGCAUAUAUUUCUACUCAACAUGGGAUUAAGAUAAUUAAUUAGUGAUAUACCAUUCUCAAGUUUGUACAAUGGUCAAAAUUUGAUUAGUCAUCUGUUUUGUUUUACUAUUUCAUUUGAAAUCAAAAUUACACAUUGUCUAAACCCAAUAAUCAAGUAUAUAUUCAGUGUUAGCACUUAUCAUAAAGUAUACAGGAAAACGACUUUACAAAAAUCUUCUUGUUUGGAUUGCCAUUUUUUCCCAUAAAUUUUUUACGAUUUUCAUGAACACCUUUCUCAAUCAUCUCUUUAUCUCACAUACAUACAGCAAACUAUUACAUUACAUUUUUUUUUUUUACAAAAACUCCAGAAUGUAGCAAUCCAAACGGGACUGUAUCGGAUUUAGAAAUCAUAAUCACUUGAGUUAUUAUAGCCUAAUUAAUGAUAAAAACUACGUGGCCAUGAAUACUUCACUUAAUGAGGUCCGGAUUAACUUGUACAAGCCAUCAAACAAUAACAAAUUUAAUAGACCAAUUUAUAACAAUAAUGUUCUCAAAAGAUAUACUACCAUUCUUCUAUAUUUAAUACUAUACUAGCAGUUACUGUUUCAAGAUUAUUCAUCACAUUCUGACGUGCACACAAUGUGAUCAGCAUACAUGCAUUAAGAAUCCUGUUCCAUUAUUUGGUCAAAACUUAAACAACAUUGCACCAAGGAAGAAGUGCCUCACAAGUCAGAGAUCAAUCGAUUGAUUGUUUUAGGAACUCAAGUUGUCAAGGUGUUUGUAUUGUAUAUUCACAAUAUAAUUUCUCGUGUCCCAAAACCUACAGGCAGGUGGAUAUUGCUAUGACCAUCGAUAAUGAAACAUAUCUUACAUAACCAGCUGUAUUAAUUCUUUCAUUACCUCUAAUUAAUUAUUACCAGUGCCAACAUUUUCUUCCUCGAAUAAUGCAACUGUUUUUGACUUAGAGCCUGUGAGUUUCUUGAAUCUGUGGCCAUUUGGGAGCUGCAAGUUACACGUGAGCAAGAUUUUGCAUGAGAUGAGAUAUAGGAGGAUUUGGUAUUGGGAAUUUCUUUUUCAAUUGUCUGCUCCAAUAUUUUGUUAUUUUGUUAAUCAUGUAGACUAAUCGUGCAUUCCACUAAGAAAUUAUCCUUAUAGGCUAUGUGCACAUUCGUUGAAUUAUACUCCCUCCGUCCCAUAUAGUCUAAAAAGUGUUAACUAUACCCUUAUCCAGCCUCUGGUUUUUAAUGUUUUUUAGUGUUAGUUACUGCCAUCACAGGCUACAUUUUUCAAUACAUAUUUUUAAUUACCUUUUUUCACAUAUAUCACGUUACAAGUCGUAUUACAAUAAUUAUUUCGAAUAAUCUCCUAUUCAAUUGGAUUCAUUUUGGUAAGCAAUGAUGUUAUUAGUGUUCUUUGUACAUUGGUGGGUUAGUAUCAAAAUACAAAAUAAGUUUUAGAUUAUCUAUUUCUCUAUGUUGAAUUAGUCGAUUGAUUGUGCAUCCUUGAUUAUUAUUAUUUUUUUUGGCUUAUUUGGACCUUUUCAUUUUUCUCAGUGGCCUAAUUAACCAGCUCAAAUAACAACUCUACCUCCCACCUUAUUUGACCAGUUGUUCAUUAGCAUUUAUUGUCUGGAUAGAAUGUAACAUAUGCAACAUUCAAUGUUUGUUUUCACUUGAAAAUCAAUUGGGAAAAAAAAAUGGUAAUAUGAGAUUUAUGAUUGACUCCAUUCCAUUGUGAGGCAGAUACAAUUAACUUGUUUUUUUUUUUCAGUAGAUACAAUUAACUUGUUGAAAAGUACAAAAAUGAACAUACAGAUAGAUGUCAACUCGACUCAGCCUGCAUUGUUCAAGUCAAAUUCACAACCAAAAAAAAAAAAAAACUUAUUUUAUUGUAAUUUUUUGAACUAUCAUCAGGGCGGUCCACUAUUAUUUAGUUGUGAUAAAGAAUUUUAAUUGUAAUUGUUUGACCAAUCAUUUAACAAGGAAAAAACAUAAAUAUGAAAAAAAAAAUGAUAAAUUGCGUCUUCCAUGACUAGAAUAAUAACAUGCAUUAAAAACCCAAAAAAAAAAAACUUUAAACAUUCUAUAAUUCAAACCAACCAUAUUUCAAACUAUCAAAGAAAUUUAAUAGUAAUUUUUUCGACCUACCAUUUGAAUAGAAAAAAAAUAAAUAUGUAAAAAAAGGAAAAAGAAUAAGGAAAAGUGCUUUUUCCAUGAUUCUCUCUAACAAACCAGCAACAAUUAAAAUACAUUAAAAUCACAAAAAACAAAAAAAAAAGAAUCAAUCAGCCUUGGAUUUGGAUAAAGCCUGUAACCCUUAUACUUGAAUUUAAUAUGAAAUUGUUUUCAUGUCUUCGUAGUAGCCAGUAGGAGACUAUCCAAAAUAAGACCCUUAAAAUUUUUUCAAAGAGGAAUCUUUUUGUUUGAUGUGAUGUAGAGUGACAAUUUUGUCAACGUAGACAAAAUAGUUGAUAAUAAAAUAGCCUUGAAAAUGCACAAAGUUGAUGCCUUGAUGAAAGAAACCAUUUGCCAUUUCAGUCAUCAUUAAAACUCUCCUAACCUACCUUCCUUUGCUUGUUGUGCUCAAGCCAUCUUUGUCUGCUAAUAAUUUCAAAUAGUUUCUAGAAGGGGGUUUUGAUUUAAUUUAUUUUAUCCAAUUGCUUUUUUUUUUUUUGAAUUCUUUUUUGCGUGGAAAAUUAUUUAGUUGUAUGCAUAUGACUAAUGACUAGACCGAGUCCCCUGUGCACGUUACGCGCCAGCGAUGACCCAGCUCAGCAGAAGCCCUCACAGUUGGGUCCCACUGACUGUGCCCACGUGUGCUCCAAAAACUGACCUCCGUUCCGUUAGCUUUCAUCAAGCUAUCAGCCGGUGGCAUUUUCACACGUGGUCAACCACCGUUUGAGUUUUUUUUUUUUAAAAAAAGAGUUUUUCUUUUUGGUGUUUUUUUGGGGGGUGAAGAAAACGCCUUGUAGUGUUUGUAAAACACACCUUUGGAUUACUAUUUUUAGUAGCUUUUAAGAAAAAUAUAUAUAACGAUUUGAGGUAUAUGAGAUAAAAAGGUGAUUAAAAAAUGUAUUCAUAAAAAACGUAAAAAAUUACUCUAUAGAAAGUAACAAUCCAAACUUAGGGUAAUUAGUUUUUUUUUUUUUAUCAGCUAUCAGUAUAUAAUUUUUUUUACUAACAGAUUUAGUUCAUUGCAUAUAAUAUGAAUUUAAAUUUAAAAUUCAAAUUAUGUGCACGUGGCAUAUAUUUAUAACUGUUAGUAUAAAAAAAAUCAUUACACUGUUAGUGCAUAAAAAGUAAAUCCUUAUUUAAUUGCAUAUAUUUAACUCUGUAUUAUUACACUGUAUUAUUCUUUUUAGGUGUUAUUUUAGUGGUAUUAUUGUAAGUAGUGCUUUGGUUAAUCCAUAAAUCUUCAUUUGUAGUGCAGACACCUACACAUAUCUUUUUAAUUAUAUUUAAUAAUUUUUCAAUUAAUUCGCUUUCAAGAACGUUUUUUUUUCCUUUUGAUGUUAUGCCAUAAAAGGAACGAGAUAAGCACCCAAAAAAAGUAAAGAUGAACCUACAAUAAUAAUAAUUCUAGUACCAACUGCACACACUGUCAUGUCAAAAGUUACGAGCCAAUUUAAAUUAAAGUUUUUGUAGAAAAAUUUACUGUAAUUAUAUGUGUUAAGGGAAUAUUUCAAAACUUUUUUCAUAAAAAAACUUGCAAUCCAAACGGCCCUGUUAAUAAUAUCUGAUACCGUCAAUAGAUUCCCCGGAUUAUAAAACCGUUUAACUCAAUUGUGCUCAUUCCAUCAGAAUUGAUCCCAUUAAAUAACUUCCUCAGUUUGGUUUGAAUUUUACUAUUUUUUAUGCAUUAAAAUGCUUUUAUUUUUUUAAAAAAAAAAAUGACAUGAUGUUUUGAAAUUACGAUAAUAAUGAUUGAAAAGUUAUGCAUGAUAAAGACAGGAUGAGUUUUGUCAAGCAGAUCGUGCUCGACAAUUUCCAGCAACCUCAGUAAUAGAAAUUUUUCCGUUAGUUUUCUUAUCAAAAAAAAAAAAAAAAGAUAGGAUGAGUUUUAUAUUUAUUUUGAGGAGGGGAUUUAACGCUUAAAUAAUCACCUCUACCAUACAUAACAGAACAUGAACCCUAAUCCGAAUCCCACCAGGCUAGACAGCUGCCCACUUCAAUCAAUACCAAGCCUAUGGUCAAAAACUACAACCCCACUCCCAAAAAAAAAAAAAAAAAAAAAACUCCAUCAUAGCAAUUAUUAACUCCAUGAUUUUACAAGAAAAAAAAAAUGCAUUACGUUUGAGUUUUUUUUUUUUGUUAAAAGUCUUAUAUAUUGUAUAUCUCAUGUUGUUGAAUGGUAGUGAAUAUGUGAGUUGGUUCAUUCUCUAAUUCAACCUAUCUUAACUUGAGUUGAAUAAACGAUGUGGUAAAUAACAAGUGCAAAUUCUAUGAAGUAAAGAAAAAUCCUCGUAGAAGAUGCAAACAUGUGUUAGCCAAUCCAAUUAUGUACAUCUUAUCCUUGAGUACCAAAUCCCUCUAUUUGUGGAUUCAUGAUUAAAUGACACUAGAAUUCACAUGAUUCCAACAAAAACAAAUUAAAUAAAAUUUUGGGCAAGACUAUUGAUCAAGAACCUAUGGCUACUUUGGGAGAAAAGAAUAUAUUUUUGUUCACAUGAUUCUAAAAAAAAGAAAUUAUAAAAAAAAUUGGGUAAGACUAUUGAUCAAGAAGCUAUGGCAACUUUGAGAGAAAAGAAAUUAAUGUAUUUUGGUAAAAUGUGGAUGCUUGUGACUUGGGAGUAGUGUUUCUAAUUUUAUGCGUAGAUCAGAAUUCACAUGCUAGUUUCACCUUUAAAAGACAGAUCUAGCAAUAGCUACCCCUGUAAUUGGACAGCCCUGUUAAUAAAAACCCCCCAAUGGCAAGUUGGCAACUAAGAUGAAAAAAAAAUGUAUUUGAUAGAACAAAAUUUUAUUGAUAUAAUUAAUUUAUUUCCAAAUUCUUUUUUGAUGAUUCCCAAUUUCUUUUCAAUGUAUUAUCACUACUCAUUAUUUUUAUGGGUUUGUUAGGAUUGUAAAUUAUUUGCAUAAUUUUAUUUAUUUACAUCAUUAGCACGUUUUUUAAUUACCUUUUUAUCUCACAUAUAUCACAUCAAAAAAAGCACUACAGUAUUUUUUUCAAAAAAUUAUCCUAAAUAUUCUACUAUCCAAAAAACUAUCUUAAAUAUUCUACAUAUAUUUAAUAUGUAUGGCUUGAUCAAUUUUAAGAUCUUUUAAGUAAAUGUGCUUACUGUAUUAAUUUUGAUUUUUGUAAUUAUAUGCCACACUAUUAAAUUGAGACAUACUCAAAAUUUUCCACAAGUAAAUAAAUAAACAAAAAAGAAAUCAAAAUGCUUUUAAGUGCUUAUUGGUAAAACAAAACAGUACAAAAAUAAAAACAAAAAUCGUUCAAAAUGUCUCCCAUAUUUUGCCAAAUGAAUUUUUUCAUCAUUUACUUUUAAAAUACUAAUUUUAUGUUCCUUAUAAAUUUAAGUUAGCAAAAUUUUGUCAUAAUCUAAGUUUUUGACAACUUUUUCGCUUGAAAUCACCGUAUGAUUUAUAUGUAGUCAUUUUUUAUGUAAAAAAAAAAUUCAAAUCUCAUAUUCUUGGAGGCAAAAAUAAAUAUUAAUUAGAUUAGAUCCCACUUUUAAGAAAAAAAAUAAAUAUAAUUCAUGUUAGAUCCUACUUUUUUCAGAAAAAAAAAUGAUUAUGAAUGAGAUCAUUUGCUCAAUUAUAAAUUAGAUUUAAUAUUUUUGCCUCAAAAAAUUAUCAUGUAUGAAUUACGUGAUGAAUUUGUGAUAACAAGUGGUCAGAACUAAAUUUUAUUGACUCAAUUUUAUAACAGAUGUAAAGUUAUUAUUUUAAAAGUGAGGAACAAAAAAAUUUAUUUGAUGAAAUAUAAAAAAAAAAACGUUUUGAACGAUUUUUCUAAAAGGGAAUGAUAAAGGUAAACGGUUCGUAAACCCCCUAACAGUGGAAACGGUCAAUUUCCCAAAAGCAAGACGAACAGCAAUCUUACCACAGCGUACUACUCCAGUACUGAUGCUGACGCAACCCAUUCAAUAUGUACCGUACGAUGAACCCAAAAGUUACAUCAGCGGCCCAAAUUGAAUAUCAUAGAUUCCAUCAGAAUUUCUGUUUGUGGGCCCAGAUUAUGUCAUGCGUGUUCAUUUCGUGUGUGAGCGUGUUUAAGAGCCCGCUGGCCCAGACACGCUGUCCGGAACUUAACCUCUCCACUUUUUUACUCCCUAAAAACCUCAAUUACCUACUUUUUAUGGUAAUUAAUCUUAAAAUCACCAUUAAACAUUAAAAAACCUUAAUUACCUCAAUUUCUAUCAACUUUUCAUUUCCAACCAUAUUACGCGGUCCAAAAUUCCAAAUCAACCCAAUAUAAGACUCUCCUUCCUUGUAGGGUUCCAAGCAUCAGCCUUUCUUUUCUCUGUCUACAAUCACUCUCCUGAGCCUCUCAUCACCAUUUCUCUCUCAAGAUUGCUUUUUUAGCCUCUGUUUUUGUUGUGGGAUUUGGCUUGUUACUCUUUUGCAGUAGUGGGUUCUUCAAACACUUGCUUCAUCUGGGCGCCUUUUUGCAUUUUGAUCCAAAUUCUUGAAAUUUUAGGCUCUUUACCACCUGGGUUUUUGUGGGUUGGCCUUUAGAUUUCCGUUUGCAAGUUCGGAUUUUUUGGGGUACAUUGAUAAAGAAGCAAUCUUUUUUUGAAAAUUUCCAGCUGAAAUUUUUUUGAAAUUUGUGGUGAUCACUUCUGGAUUUUGAUUAAGUUAUUUUCGGUGUGUUUUCCAUCUGGAUUUUGGUGGGUUGGCCUUAGUUUCUGGUAAAAAAGCAAUCUUAGAGAUUUUCUCCCCUAGAAUUUGUAGCUGAAAAUCAGGGCCAUUUUCAGGAUUUUCUUGAAAUUGGCAAUUAGUUUUGAGUGUUUGAUGUGAGGUAAGAAAUGCCAGCAACAGAUUACCAAGGGGGAGCGUCUUCUUUUGCAAAUUUUGGGCGUUCAAUUUUGAGUAUUCGCAGGGAUCAGGUCCAUUCAAUGGAUUCCUCUCAUGAGGCCACAAGCCAAGAACUUGAGCUCGAGGCCUUCCAGAAGCUAGUGGCUGAAAGGUUCAAUGAUCUACUGGCUGCAGAUUCCAGUGAGCUGCUCUCUAUUCCAUGGAUUCGUAAGCUUUUAGAUGUUUUUCUGUCUUGCCAAGAUGAUUUCAGAGUUAUACUUUUUAAUAAUAGAGCUUACUUUAAUAGAGCCCCAAUGGAUCGUCACAUUUCUGAGUUUUUUGAGAGGAGUGUUAAGGCUUUGGAUGUUUGUAAUGCUAUUCGUGAUGGUAUUGAGCAUAUAAGAUCAUGGCAGAAGCAAUUGGAAAUUGUUUUAUGUGCUUUGGAUAAUCAUAAGAGUUUCGGGGAAGGCCAUUUCCGACGUGCAAAAAAGGCUUUGAUUGAUUUGGCUAUUGGUAUGCUGGAUGAGAAAGAGAGUAAUACUACUCUUGGUCAUAGAAAUAGGUCUUUUGGGCGCCAAAAUGCUCAGAAAGAUCAGAGGUCAUUAGGCCAUUUCCGAUCAUUAUCAUGGAGCGUUUCGCGGACUUGGUCAGCAGCUAAGCAGCUACAAGCAAUUGGGAACAAUUUGGUUGCUCCAAGAGCUAAUGAAGUCAUGGCCACCAACGGAUUAGUGGUGGCUGUUUUCACCAUGAGCUAUGUGCUAUUGUUUGUAAUGUGGGCUCUUGUUGCUGCUAUUCCUUGCCAGGACCGAGGCCUCGGGACACAUUUCUCUGUCACCAGGCAGUUUAUUUGGGCUGUGCCUAUACUGACCCUUCACGAGAGGAUUUUGGAGGAGUCCAGGAAAAGGGACCGCCGAAAUGCUUGUGGGUUGUUGAAGGAGAUUCAUGAGAUUGAGAAAUGCGCGAGGCAUAUGAACGAGUUGACUGAUUCUGUUCAGUUCCCUUUGACGGAUGAAAAGGAGGCAGAAGUGAGGCAGCGAGUACAGAAGCUAGGACUUGUUUAUGAAGCAAUAAAGGAUGGACUGGACCCGCUGGAGCGCCAGGUUAGAGAAGUAUUCCACAGGAUUGUUCGCAGCAGAACCGAGGGUCUAGACACCAUGGGUCGCGCUAAUACUAAUUAGUCAUGGUUGAUAGAUUUAUGUCUAAAGUUGCUUCUGGCAACAAAUGUAGAGCUUGCAAAUAUGUUAUGCACUUUUGUUUUCCAUAGAUGAGAAUGAGAAUGAGAAUGAAAUGAGGCAAUAGGCCAAGAAUAAUGAGGAUCAUAGAGGUAAAGCUUUGUACUUAUCACAAUAUAUUAUAUGUAAAGAAAAUUAGGUGAGAUUACUGGGCGUCAUUGAUGUUGUGCUGCAUCUUGUGUUGGCUUUCUACAAUCAAAUUUCCAACUAGAUUUGCUUCAGGUGAUGACUCAUUUUGUCUUCAAAUUUUUGCCUUGAGUUACAUACUAGCAUAACAAGAUUCAGUCACAGAUUAUUUCUUCAUGUAUAAUAGGAGAAAUCUUCUGGUCUUUGUGCUACCCAUUAAUAAGUAGUCUUUUGUAUAAUAGUAGAUCAUUCUGAAGGAUCUUCAGAUUAUUGAUAAGUAAUUUAAGUUAAUUGAGUUGUUUCUUCCUUUCUCUUUGAAGAUUUGCCUGAAGCAUUUUAUGAUAUUUUCAUCUCAUUUAAUAACCUCCUCUCAUUUCCUUUUUUUAGGCUUCUGCUAUUCUCAUGAAGUCUAAUAGCGUGCAGAAGCUUCAUCUCUGGUCAACAGUUACAAUGGAUUUGGUCAAUAUUUGGGGAUUUCUUGAUUGGAUUUCUGACUUCCAAUCCAUUUGUCAAUUUCCACUGUCAAUUGUCCUCUUUGUCGUGCCAUUAAAAUAACUGCUUUGACUUGCUCAAAGUCACCAAUGUUUUUAUUCUUUCUUGCCCUUUCAGCUCUCAAACAGAAACCCCCCUCCUGGACACUUGAUUGCCUUAUUGGAUUUGAAGCACAAUGAUCAUCUAGAGUUGCUUUUGUAGGUGUAUAUUUGCUUCCGUCAAAAGUGAUUCUGCUCUUUACUGACUAAUUAUGGGAAAUACCAUGUUUCACUCUGUUAGAGUUUAAUUUGACCAUGUUUCACUUGCAUGCAGUACUCUGUUAUUUGUUCUUGGAUGUCUUUUCAGUUACAGCGUGUAUAAGGAUGUCACUUGUGGCUUUCAACCGCAAUUGAAGAGUUAACAUACCCCUUCCCAAAAAAAAAAAAAAAAGUUACUAAUAUACUAGUGUUUGUUCAAAAUCCCAGCUGUUUUGGUCGCCCCUGCCCAUUUUAAUAUUGUAAACCAUGUAUAUUCUCUGCAACAGGAAAGGGUGACAUCAGGUAAGUCUGCUAAGAUUUUAAUAUUCUUAGUAUUAGUUUCUUACCUCCCCAUAUUUUUAUAUGCAGGGUCUACACUCACAUCAAUGCCUCUCUGUAAUUUUCACCACUGUAAUUUAAGGAAGGGCUGACUGCCAGAAACUUUGAAUAUGUGAUUUUCCAUGGAGAAUUUGAAACACUGAACAAUUUAGUUGACCAUGCCUAGAGUCUUCUUGUCAUGGUUUUACUGCAGCUCUAACUUUUAGAGCUUGCAUAAUACCGUUGACUGUUUCUACAACAUCUGGCAAUUACGAACUAGGGAUGUCUAGUUAAAUGUCCAUGUUGGUAUUGCUGUGUUACUAGAUUGUUGUCCGUCCAUGCUGAAAAAAGAUAUUUUAUCAGUUAUUAUCCCAUGUGUAAAAAGCCUUUUCCUUGCUGUUUGGUGGUUCUUUCUAACUACUGCUGAUCUUUUGCCAUUGUUUAUGAAGUUGGUCUUCUUUCUUGUUUGACUGACUUGUUCACUUUUGAAGUUUAAUACAUCCCCAAAGUAAUACUUGUAAUUUAAGCAAUCUUCUGUGUCAUAGAAAGUUUGCAGGUGCCGCCAAUGACCUUAAAAUAGAAGGGGGUUAAGGGAAGAGGUUACUUGCAAGUUAAAACAACUGUGAGGAAACUAACAUCAUCUUUGAGGUUUCACAAUACAACAUAAAGGAAAGCUGCUAUUACCAAACAGUGAGAUCUUGUUUAUAAUUGAGGACUAUUACUCUAGAAAAACCUGGUCUGAAUUCGGUCAUGUUCAAUUCAUCAUGGAGAAAUUUCCUUCUCACGUUAGUCUAUAAUCAUUAUUGAGAUCUCUCUUGUACAUUGCAUUUCUACAACAACCCUCUUCAUAAUAGGCGCAAUUUGCUUUCUGCUGAUAAGUCACUAUCCUGCCUUCAAAUUUUUUGGGGUGACGGCAUAGUUGGCAAUUGUACCAACAUUUUCAUAAAUAUGACUUGUUUCUUCUUGUACUCACCACCAGAGAAAAUUGAGAGGCCACAAAGAACAAAGGGUCCUCAUUGAAGGAAUCUACCACAGUUGUUGUGACUUGAUAUAUAUAUAUAUAUCUGGUGCUUUAAUUGCUAACAGUUGUUGGUUGGGUUGGAAAUUCUGGCAUGAUCUGAUAAGGUGCUUCAUUGCAAUAUGACUCUGAAGUUUGAAGGGAUUGAUGUUACAUGAGAAUCUCUAAUUUCAUAUUGUUACCAAUCUGUUGCAAGCUAAUGUGUAGCUUACCUUUCAUGUAGGGUAUGUAUGUUCUUGGUAUUCAUCCAUCAGUUCCCUUGUACUCGUUACAUUUGGAAGAUUUGAGAUGCCAGCUUUUUGAUAGGAAAGAACUUUGUGACUUUGUGUACUAAAUCAGUCUUAGCUGGCUAAAUUGAAGAAAACUUCCUAAUUGAAAUGAAUAGAACAAAACGUCUCUCUUGCACAACCCGAUGCAAAAAGACGACAAAAAUUGACUUUUUCCCUUAUUUGGGGUGACUGUUGAUGGCAACAAUUUUGGGCAUUAUGAGAGCGUUUGACAUUUUGUUUUAGAGAAAUUCUUUGAAUUUCGGAUGCAAUGCAAAAUGUAAUUGGAUUGCAACAGAUUACACCUUUACGUAAAGUAUUUAAAUUCACACAACUACCUAAUUGGUUUUUAUCGUUCUCUCCAUCUUUGGGAUAAAUUAGGCCCUAUUUGGCAGUUAAGUUUUUUGCCUAAUUUUUUUCCUACAAGGUUUUUAAUAACUUUAGUUAUAACAUAAAAAAACUCCUCAAAAUUUUUAAAAUACACAUUUCAAAAUACCCAAAAACACAAAAAAUUUCCCUUCUUCCUUUAUUCUUCUUCCUCCCCCAUCUCAACCCACCACCAUCUUCGUUGCUAGCCAACACCGAUCGGCACCUCUUUCGGCGUUGGUUUCAGCGCCAAUCAUGGUAGAGUUUUUUUUUGCUUCUGGUGUUGGUUUUUUUUUUUUUUUGGCUUUCUCCUUCUCUUCCCUCUCCCUUUUCCUCUCCUCCUUCCUCCUCACUCCCUCUCCUCCUCCCCUUCCCUACUCUUUCACUCGCAGCCUCUCUCCUUCCCAUCCCUCCCCCGUCAUCCUCCCUUACCCUUUUCGUCGUGCAAUUUGGAGAGAGAUGGCAAGUGAGAGAGGAGGGGGAGAAGGAAGGGGAGGAGGAGAGGAAAAAGAAGAGGGAGAAGAGAAAGAAAGAGAGAAAAAAAAAAAAAAGCCUGCUGCUAUCGGCGCCAAUUGCCGGCAGAGGUUCUGGAGUCAGUGAUCGGCGAGUGGUGAGGUGAGGGAGGAGAGGAAAGAAAAGGAAAAAAAAAGAAAAAAAGUUUUACAUUAAAAUUUUUUUUUAAACAAAUUAUAGAGUAAGUUACAUUAAAAUUUUAGACAAACACCAAAAAAUUUAUUUGCCAAACAGAGCAUUAUUUUUAUUAUUUGACAAUGAUAAAAGUGAUACAUAAAAGUUUUCUUAUAAAAGAUAGUGAGUUGCGGUCCUAGAAAUUGCUGGUUCCAGUUUUUCCAACCGAACUUUGGUUGGAAAGAAUUAAAUAGAUGACAGUUCUUGGGCCUGCCUAACACCCAUGGCCCAGAUGAGAGUCAAAUGGUGGCCCUCUUACAAUUUUCCAGCUGUGAAAUGGUUUUGAAUGAAAUAUCCAUGGACCAAGGCAAUCAGCAAGUGGCCCCAACUGCAUUCAUUUGCAUUCAGCAUUUCACCUUUUUGGAAUUAGGGAAGUGGGCCUGGAAAUUAAUAAUAGCAAACCUGAUGCUCAUAUGUCCAUGUCAAAAUUAAUCCAAUUUUCUAGCAGGACUUUUAUAAAAUUUAAAAUGCUUCAAAUUUUUUAUGUUUUACCACCAAAAACCGAGGCAGCAUUGCAGCAAGGGUUUAUUUAGAGUAAAUACGUCAAUUGACAGUGUAUAUAUUAUGACGUUUGGAUGCAUGAUAUAUAUUUAAAAUUUACAUUCUAAGUUUAAAUUUAUAUUAGGUAUUAAUGUAUAUACUAUGAGUGUAUAAAAGAUUAAUUCUUGUUUUUAAUACUACUCUAGUUAAUUUAUUCGAUAUUAUAAUUUAGACUACAUUAACAUAAGAGAACUAUUUUAAAGUAGAGGAGUACUAAUUUGCAACAUAAUCCCCUUUAUCCUUCUUAAUAAAAUAAAAUAGGACUGGCAUUCCCACCCCGUGGACGGGGUUUUUGCCACAAAGAAAAAAAAAAUCCCCUGUAUCCUUCGUAAUAAAGAUCACCAUACUUUUGUGUUUCACUGGAUAAAAUUAGGUUACCAUCUAAUUUUUUUUCUUGAUCUUCAAUUGAUUAUCUAGGCUAGUUUUUUAUUCAAUCGACAUCUAACUAGACUCGUUGAAUUAGCUAACAACUUUUAAAUUUAUGAGUUGUUAACUGUCUUUCAUGAAAACAUUUAGUAAUUUGCUUGAGACUUUUAAGUAUACCUGGCAAUUGGGCGAGUUGGCCGGGUUUUGGGCGGGUUAAUAUUGAGUUUUUACUUAAAUGGGUUAUACCCAACUCGCCCAACUUUAGAUUUAAUUUUGGGUUGGGUCAUAUUGGGUCAUCUCAAACCCAUGACCCAAUAUAUUAAUUAAUAGAUUUUGAUACACAAAUUCUCUCAGAUACAUUUUUGCAUACAAAAAAAUUUUUUCACACGCUAAAACACUUUCACGGAUACAAAUAAACACUCACUUCUUAAGUUUUAAAAAAUACACCGUUUUUACACACUAAUAUACUUUUACAAACACACACACGUACUAACUGCUUAAAGUUUAAAUUAUUUGGAUGAACUCAUUGGUUUUUAUACAAGUUAGGAUUUUCAAAUUGGAUAGUGGAUAUAGUUUUGGUCCAAACUAAGAGACCGAAGCAACAAUUUUUGUUCAAAUUGAAUAUAGCAUGAAAAAAUGGUAUACCAAUAUGAAGCAAUGCAAGUUCAAGAUCUCAUUUUUAGGACUUUCUUCUUCAACUUGUUUAAAUUUAGUUAAAUAUGCAAUGUUCCAAUUCCAAUUAUAGUCAGUCCUAGUUGUGUGUGUGUGUGUGUGUAUAUAUAUAUUCAUGGUGAUUGGUGACCAACCGAAGAAUCGUUGAACCAAUGCAACCAAUUCUCGUAGUACAAUAUUUACUUGCAUAUCUUACACCAGAAAUAUGCAUUUUUAGGAUAUUGCGACUGGAAGAAUAGAAAUGCAAAAGGGGAAGCAAAAAUGAACCCAAAGUGGGAUUGAAAUUUUGUUUCUGUUGAUUGAAAACGUUGUUAGCAAGGUGGGGAAGCUUGUGGUGGUGGAGGUUUAUCCGCUGGAAACAUAUAUUCGCUACUUGCUGGUCUUUUCUUGCUCCUUAAUUUUAAUUUGUUUAAUUAUUUUUUAACUUAAGUUGGGUAAUGAGUACCCAACAUAAAUACCCAAACCGCCCAAAAUAUAUGUGGGUUUUUAUUACCCAACCCAAAACUGACACAACACCCAAUUUACCCAACCCAACCUCUCAAAUUAGUGGUUGGAUGGAUUGUUGGGUUUUGGGCAUAACUGCUAGGUCUACUUUUAAGUAAUUUUAGUUAUUUAAUAGCUCUAAUUUACCAUCUAACCUUAUAUUAAUUGAAAAUACAAAGUAGAAGCAAAUUGAGUUUCAAUUUUAUAGUACCUCUGAUGACAAUUAAAAGGGUGUUAAACAUUAAAGUUGAUUUUUUGAGACUAAUGAAGAGCAAUUAGUUUGUCAUUUACUACUCUUACUUUCUUAUAAAGUCUAGAAUUAUCUUUUGAUUUACUGAUGUCAUUUAGUUGUUAGUUGGUAUUAAUUACGAGGGGUACACAUAUAAUUGUAUCUGAUGUGGGCAAGACAAUAAGAGAAGUUGUUUUCUUGUUGAAUGCAGUUCAUUCUUAGUUAUAUUUUUCAGAGUUUAUUACUGGUUCUGGGCUGGUGUAUUCUGUCAUACGCCCUUUUUCUACAAAAGGGUUAUGAGCGUUCAAUAGUAAAAUGAGAAAUCAAAAGAAACAUAACUAAAUGUAAUCUUCAACCUGUUUAUUUUAUUGUUGGAAAGUGAAAUGAAUUGGAAAAAUCAAGUGUAAGAACAUUACUUCCCAAGGAGGCUGUGCGAUCAAGCAUCCCAAGCAAGCAAUCGACUUUUUAAAUGUUGAAAGCCGUCCAUGUCCAUAAUAACACACCAGAUGAAGCAAAGCACAUAUACUUUACUAACACAGUUAAGUUUUGCCAUGUGAAUUAUGGUACAUGUUUAUAUAGGUGCAUGUAUAUGGGCAUAGCAUUAUUUUUCAAGUAGCCAAAAAUGGAUCUUGAAUUGGGACUUAAGCUUAGAAGAGUUGCAGAUGAAUUUUGCUUAGCUGAUUUUCAAUUUUACAAGGAUCGUACUGGUCCUGUUUUCAUUUCUACAGAAACAGAUAGUAAGUUCUUCCUCACUGCCCAUCUCAAAGGUAUGCUCAUUCUUCCUCAUUUGCAUCUCUUUUUUUCUUCAGGAUGUUGAAUUUAAGAGAAUUAGUCUUGAGCCUAAUCCUCAUUAUUUAUUUCGACUAGACUAAUAAGGUCUCGUCUGCACAUUUUGACAUUUUCACUUGGUGAUUUUGGAUUGUAUCAUUAUGUUAAAAUAUGUUUUGAAAAUUUCAGGGCAUAGGAAACAGAAUAUUAAGAUUGAGAUCAAUGAGGACGGGACUCGAAUAAUAAUAAGUGGUGAAAUGGAAAUUCAGGAGACUGUAAUGGUGGAAUGGAGAUUGUACAGAAAAGAAACAGAAAUUAGGAGAUUCAGGAAGGCUUUCAAGAUCCCUGAUGGGGUGAUCUUGGAUAAAAUCAAAGCAAAGUAUAAUGCGGAUGAAUGCAUAUUGACUAUUUCAAUGCCGAAGAAAGAUAAGGGAAUUCGAGGGUUCGACAUUGAGGAGGUGCAGGAACAGGAGCUUGCUAGAGAGGGGUCAGAAACUUUGGAGAUAGUGCCUGAUGAGGUCCCUAAACAAGAAGAUGAGAUGCAAGAAAAAGAUCAAGAAGCAGAGGCAGAACAUGCCGAGGGAAGUGGCUUAGCAGAAGAAGAAUAUUCAGAAGUUCCUGAAAUUGCAACCAGUGAAGAACCUAAAGAAGCUGGCUUCGAUGUUGCACCGCCUGAAGAAACUCAGGCGGCGGAGGUUCAUGAUAUGAAGAAAGAGGAAAUGAAAGAACAUCAACUAGACCAGAAUGAAAGGCUGAAGAAGCCGUCAGAAGAUCAUGAAGGAACAGUUGAGGAAGCGAAAAGUUCUCCAGAUGUAGCGAAUGGAGAAGGAAGUGGUAAAUCCCCUGCAAGCCAUCUCGCCACGGGCGAAACAUCUCAAAGGGAAAGUGUGAUGCAGGCGCAAGAGUUGGAAAAGGAAGAAAAAAGCCAAGGUAUUGAAGGAGAUAUGGAAAGAAAACAUGAACAGCCUGAGCCUUUGACUGAAGUCAUCGACCAAAAUCACCAUAAACGUGAUCAAGUUGAUGGAAAAGAAAGUGGCACUCAAGAAGCAGAAGAAGAAGAAGAAUCCGCUUUAGUUAAACCUCCUGAUGAGGUUCAAGAAGAUAGGCCAUCAAGGAUUGAGAAGCACAGGGGAAGAUGCAAAAUGUGUGCUCCUAUUCUUGCAGGAUCUGCCUUACUAUUGUCCCUUGUAGUGUUUGUCAUUCAAUUCAUAAGAAAAAAAAGCCAUCAAGGGAAAAGGAAAGAAUAGCCAACACCAUUGUAGCAAUUAUAUACUCUGCGCAGCAACUAUAUAGAACGAUAGCUUUGUCAUAGGAGCUGACAGGUUAAAUUCCACUUAAUCCUGAAAACCAUUUACACAUACAUUUGUUGAUGAUGGAACGCUAGGGAUUAAAUACCUUAUCCAAGCAAUAAAGUGUCUAUUAAAUCGUCAUGCAGUCCCAUGGGAUUAUUGAGCAUUGACAUAGUCUUCAAGUUCUUGAGUUUUGAUUUGCUCAUUGACCUCAUUAUUCUUGAUCCAUCCAGGCUUUUUUAUGUUGAUGGAUUCUAAUUCAAUUAAUUCCAGCAUUCCCUGUUUCUUAUCUCUAUGUGGUUACCUGAGCAAGUGUUCUCUCUCUUCCAUACGUCUGUAAUUAUAUGUUUCAUUGCUAUCCAAUCAUUUGUGUGCUUUCUUGCUGUCACUAGCUAACCAAGAGUCAAAUACUCGGUGAAAAGCACUCAAAAGAAGAAGAUAAGUUAAGACGAAACCUAUAAAAAUGACAAUGAAGCAAUGGAUUGGUGGCCAAAGCUAAAGAUUAAAGAACAAAGUGCUAAUGAUUCUAAAGUAGGGUCAAAAGAUAGCAAUAUUACAUGGUAUGAUUAUCGCCCUUAAAGCUACUUUAAAUUUAAAGCUACAGUUCCCACUGCAUUUAAGCCCAACUCAUUUUUUUCCCUUUUGAAUUUACAUUCUCACCAUCAUUCUCUCACUCAGUGCCUUUCUUAAUUUCAUAGCAGCAUCAGUAAAAUGAUACAGCACAAAGCUCUUGGAACUGCUAGUACCCUAACCACCUGCAUUAUCAUCAAGCAAAAGGGUUUCAAUCAGGAAAACAAUCAUAAAGCUGCAAAAUGCAAUGAUCAUGAAGUCACCAAAAAGGAAAAAAAAAAUCUCAAAAAUCUCACUUUAGUGUAAUUUGGCAUGCAAGAGACAAAAAUUAACCUACUUAUAAUUAUAAUGUUUGAUCUCCCAUUAUUCAUCACAUCUAAAAUCACGAAAUUGGUCACAUUUAAAAUUUUUCUUUUGCCAGGUGAACUAUGAUGCACAGACUAAACAUCAAAAUACAGAUUGAAGAAGGUUAUGAAGAUUUAUGGAUUUCUUCUUCUCUCUAUCUUUUUUUUUAAAAAAAAAUUUCUUUAUCUUUCUCUCCUUUGUGGUCUACUUAAGGAUAUCAGAAUGAGAUGAAUUGCACGUGAAGUGUCCUUUUGGGCAAAAUUCUUUCUGCACAUCUAAAAGUUGACACCAUUUGGCAGUUUGAAUCCAAUACUUUGCCUGAAAUAUUGCAUCCCUAAGUUUUUGUUUUCUCCUUCAUGUUUAUUUUUGCGCACAAUGGCAGAAAUACAUAGAAACUCUAAAGCAAUUGGUCACAUAAGCUGCAGGGGUGACACUGGGACUUACAUUCAGAGCAUGGUAAAUCUAUAAAUCACCAGAUGAAAACUGUUUAACAAGUCGACUAACUGGUCAAAACUGGGUACAUCCAGUCUUCAAAGAUCCGGUCUACUCAGGUGUGCAAUUUAUUAGUCUUUCAAAUGCCAAUCAUGUAACUUCCAUUCCAAUUUUCUUUUCCCAAAUCAUGACAAGAAUUUAAUUAAUACUAGAAACAAUUGAUCCAAAGUUUACAGACAUUAAUAUGCUGAAUAAGUAAACUUCACAGGUAUGCCUCAACUAGCUUAUUCCUGCUUAACAAUUUAAACCAACCGAAACAAGAUUUUGUACUUACCGACUAUUCAUUAGAAAAAAUAGCACUGCCACUAUGCGAUGAAUAUGCAACUACGCAAACUAAAGGGCUUCUUUACCUUUCUUUCGUAACUUCCAGAAACGGGGAAAGGCCGAAUUGUAGCAGUAUCGACUUCGCCAGUCGGUAGGGGUACAGCAGGAUUGCUAUUGAUAAACGGAAUUCCACUUUUAUCAGGCACCAUGGGGCUGGUGGCAGGAAACAUUUCACUUGGUGCAGGACUAGGUGAAGUGACAUCUCUAGGCCUAAAAGGCCAAGGAAAUGCUGGAGAAGACGCCACGAAGCCACCAGAACUUCGGGGUGGCGCCGCCAUUGGGGACAGAUCAGGUGGUGAUGAGGCCUGAUUUACAGGCGGGGCUGACAAAGUGACCUGAACAGCAAAUUUUUGGCCUUCUUGACAUGCUUUGUUAGAACCAUUGUUGAAUGAGAAGUAGAAGAAACCUUUUCUUGAAGGGUGCCACUAAAUUUCACAAGAAAACAAGAAAAUUGUUAGUAAUAUUUUACAUCCAUUCUUGAAUAAAACAUGCACAGUAAGAAAAUUUACUGACAAACUCGUUUCAUGGGUUCACUUUUUAGUGAGUAAACCACUAUUUAAAAAAAAAAAAAAAAGAAGAUGGUAAUAAUAAGCAAGUAAUAGAGCUAGUUUGCAUCCAUUCUUGAAUUAGACGCUCAUGCCAGAAAAGUUACCAUCAAAUUGAAAACGUGGUGCCAUUUUUUAGUUAGUAGCAGUACAUUUCUUUAAGAAGAUGGAAUUAGUAAUCAGCAAAGUACAUGGAGAAUAUCGGUCCAGCUUAUAACUAAAUUACAGUAAUACACCCCGUUUAUUUCUCCAAGAACUCUAAAGUAACAUCUUGCACGAAAAUACACACACAUGCAGAAGGAAAGAGAGAAUUACUGUGUAAGAAGUGGAAUUGGAUUUGGUGAGAAGAGUGGCUUGCUUGAAGUUGCAGAGACUGAAGGCUUCAUGAUUCUGGAAAAUGUAGAGGUUGUAGUGAUACUUGUGCUGAAAAACUGAAAAUCAAGAAAGACAGACACCAAAGUUAAUUUAAUUUCGUGACAAUGUUAUAUAUAUUAUGAUACUGGUAAAUAAACAAUUAAUUAGAGUUUCUGAAGGAGGGAUCAUGUGAUGACUGCUUAGUACUUACUGACAGAGUCUCCAAUUUGAACAGUAGGAUUUCUCCAUUCUGAGACACCAUCAACUACAACUGUUGCCUGUUGAGCAAUUUGGAAAUGUAGAAUCACAAAAACAAGACUGAAGAAAAAUCCCAUCAUGGAUGGAGCUCCCAUUUAGCUCUUACUAUAUUCUUGUCUUUGUGAAUCAAGAAAAUGGUCUGUUAGAAAAAAGUAGCCAGAGAAGUGUGUGUUUGUGCAGGUGCAGUAUCACUAUGUGUUGUGUGCGUGUGCUUGCUGGUGGACUGUGAAGUGGGGUGGAGGGGUUUUAAAGAGUUGUCAGCGGUGUUUGGCUUUUCACGGGAAGAGUUUGAAUGGUGGGCACAAUGUGGUACUGUGACAUUGUAGAAUGUGUAGCAUAUGAUAAUAGCAAUUAGAGUCAUGUUUUUUACAGUAAAAGGUGCAAUGAUUUUGUCUGUGAAUAAAUUUUUUGAAAACAGAAUGCAAAGAACAGUGGGAUUAUGUGUGUGAAAUUUUGGGUGGUUGUGAUGAGUGAUGAUGGGGAUUAUUAUUCUAAAAUGAUUAGGUUUGUGAUUAUCAAUCUGCAAGAAAUAAUCUCUUAUGUGCAACUUUAAUACUACUGUUAUGAUUGUUAUAUACUUUUGCUUUUUUGGGGUUUGUUGGGGAUUCCAAUCUUUUCUUUCUUUAUUGACUCACUGGACAUUCCUUUUGAGGUUUUGUUAAUCUUCAAUAUAUUUUUUCCUUUAUGCAACGUCCUAAGAUUCUCUUAUGCUAACGCUUGAAGGAAUAAAAUCUAUGAAGAAGCAUUCCAAGAAUUAUACAAAUUAAGUAUAAUACCCAAAGAAACAUCUCUAGAGACAAACUUCGGGCAGACAAGACAAGGUUUCUACUGCCAUUACUUCAUCCAUGAUUUUGUUUGCCACUGGGAUCAUGUUUUAUAUUUACCCGUGACAUAAUCUUAGAUUUCUAGAUCACUAAUAGAUCCAUAUACAAGCUUACGUUUUUUAUUUUUAAAUAAAAUAGGAAAAACAAUAUUAGUGUUACGUACUUUGUUCGAAAUUGUUCAACACUAAGUUCUGUUUAGAAACUCAUCUUUUUCCAAAAAAUUUUUACGUUUUUCGUGAAUAUAUUUCUUAAUCAACUUUUUAUCUUAUAUACGUCAAAUCGCUAUACUGCAUUUUCCUUACAAAAACUUCAAAAAAUAGCAAUUCAUAUGCAAGCUUAAACUUUUAUGUUUGCAAGGAUUCAAGCAACCUAUUGGUAAAUCUCAACCUUUGAAAUUGAGUUUUGUAAUGAGUUUUGCCGAGGUAAAUAUUACGAAUAAAGAUAAGAUUUCGGGUGCACUUCUGGUGCCCGAACAAGAUUAAUAUGGGUAUCAAUGAUUAGAAUUUAGAAAAUUUCUUGACUUCUGUUUACCAAAUGGGAUCUAGUCCCUGUAUGCUCUUGACCACGAAAGGAAAAAGAUUUUUUUUUCUUUUCUUUUUGCUUCUCUUUGUAUAGAUAUUUAAGAUUUUCUAUUGAGCUGAUGAUAUUUUAGUCCAAUCACCAAUUAGAGUAAAUUAUGCGAGUCUCGAGUCUUGUGUAUGGCUAAGGAGACAAACACACAGAUACCGACACUAACCAGGCUGAUCCCACAUCCAAGGACUGUAGAUCCGUCAUACCUUCUGCUUGGAUGUAGAUCCCUCAUACCUUCUGCUUGUAUCUGGUGAUUCUUCAGACGAAUUGUACCACAAUCAGUCAGGGAAUAUCAACAGUUCACUGUUUGAAAUCUUGUCCAGUAAUAGCAGUCUCCCAUCUUAAUAUGCUGCUGCAAAGUUGACAAGUGAUUUCUACUUAAAUCUUGGGUAAAUCUGUUCAGGUAAAACUUUCCUUUUAAUUCAGCUCUAAAAUCGUAGCGGAACUUGUGAGCUGGAAAAUGAGACCCCUUGGAAUCAUGGUUCAAAGUCGCGGUCGCGGCUCGGAUCGUUUCAUAUCUGUCUCGAUAUAUUGGUUGCAGUUUCGGCGAUACAUAAAUUUUUGAAAUAUUUAAUAUUCUAAAAAUUGUAAAAAAAAUAUAAUAAACAAAAAUAAUUAAAAAUUAACAAAAAUAAUAAAAAAUCGAGUUGACUCGAGAUGACUUGGGAUGACUUGGGACAACUCGACUGUUUCUAUCUAUCUCAGAAACGUCUGUGCCGAGUUCUCCAUGAUUCGGCUGAAUUCUCGGCGAUUCAUUAUUUCGAAAUCAUCUCGUUCCGAUAUAGCACCUAGAAGUCCUGUUCCGAUGGCGUCUCGGCCGAGUCAUCUCGAUUUUGGCAUAGUCUUUGAACCAUGCUUGGAAUCCAUCUUCAAGACCAUCUAGAUGAAGAUUCAAUGGUUUUUGGGCCACAAUCCUGCUGAAUGAGUUCAAUGAAAACAACCUAAUUUCAGAUUUCACAAGCGAGCAGCAAAAUCAGAAGUGCAAUACCCUUUAUCUCCUCGGGUAAGCUGUCCAAUUAAGAAAAUGAAAAAACCCCUUAGGUAAGAGGGUUUUUAGUACUGCUAGACUGAAAUCCUUCUUAUGAAAUGCUGGACCACGACUUCCUAACUGCAUGACCCCUAACACCAAAAGAAUAGAAAUUUCCCCUUUAUAAACCAAGACAAGGACUAGAGGACAAAAAUUGUGGCCAGAGGAGCGAGGAGAGGACUUCGAAAUGUCCAUUUCUACAGGGCUCGGUUUACAAUUUCUCAUUAACUAAUGAAAAACGGAUAGAUUAUCAUCGGAAAGGCUUCGUACUUUGAGGAAGCUCAGUAAGCUAACAAAUUAGUAGUAAAUACAGCAGAGUUCAAAUCAAUGCAAAGAUAUUCAGACCCUUAAGAGAAGAGAAAGUUAAAUGUAACACGAAGAACCCACAUAAUUGGCUGGAGAGAAAGUGACCACAUUUCAGUAUGCGAAUAAUGUAGGGUUAUACACAAACAAGCAUGAAAGAAAGACAAGGUCAUAAUUCUGGGAAGUUGUAUCAAGCAGGCAUUUGUCAACUGUUACCUACGGUAGCCAAGAGGUUGUACACAAACGAGCAUGAAGGAAAGACAAGGCCACCGUUUUAGGAAGUUGUAUCAAGCUAGCAUUUGUCAAAUAUCACCACAGCAGCUUAUAAGUUGUCGUUUCCAUCCUCGAAUUCUUCCGGCCAGCUUUCAUGAAUUGGCAGCAAAUAUAGAUAGAAGACACAUAGUUCACAUGAAGAAAAAUUACACAUACAUGGUAUCAAUUUCGGUCUGAAAUGGAUCCAACCAACAUCUCCACUUGCUAUAUUGAUGAUUCCCAGCUCAUAAUUUCAAACCUCAAUCGAGUAGAGCAACUCAUGCACUGGUCAGCAAGAAACAAUCAAGAACAAUCGCUUUCCUUGGGGACCCAGGAACAGAAACUUUUCUUGGUGCAAAUGGAAUUUUACAGAAGAAGUGAUAUCCUCCUGCUUUUAGUCCUCAGAUCGAAGGGACAUGCGUACACGGAUCAGAGGCAACAGAGAUGCCUUUACGGGCUGCGCCGUGCAUUUAUUUCCCCAGAUGCUUCAGAUUGUGAGCGCCUAACACUAAAUCUUAGCAUGUCAACAGUGCAAAUUGAAUGCAUUUUCUGGUUAAAAAGUAACAAUUCCCUUCGAGUUCUGGCAUGCCAAAGGAAGAAAGUCCGUACAACUUAAAAUAAUCUAUCUACUUGAUUAAAAGUGUAACCGAACGUUUCAAUGACAAACUUCAUUAGGACAUAAUAAUUUUAUAUAUUUCCCUUGACAUUAGCAACUUGGGGAACUACAGCUUUGCAUUGCGUAACUAAGUACAUAGAACGAACGAACCUGUCUCUGUUGACGUUUGCCAUUCCAACUAUCUAUUACAGAUCCUAGAUUAGGUAAGAGAUUGGAACCCAUUAGAGUAUAAGCCAUUUCAAUUUACAGCAAGAAUCACUUAAUCUCUCAAAGGGCUAGAGAAAACACUCAAGAUUAACCAGUAACCCUUCCACUGGACUGAAGCUCAACUAAGAAUACUUAUCCACAAUCAAUGACCACAACUGGAUCUUGCAACCAAUGCUAAGAUACGUUCAAUUUCCUUUUCACAUCAAGUGCAUAACAGAAAGUCACCAUUCCAUAGACCGAACUCUCCGCAGAAUGCGUGCUGGUCUUCGCUUCUCCACAACAGGGAUCACUUUCUCCUUUAGCUGUAUCAAAAAUAAAUUACCCAGUCAGUAUCUGAAGAUUUUCUUGCCAUAUACCAUUCUAGCCUUGGCUGAUCUACUCGUUAAUCUUAGGGAUAAAUAAAGCACUUAGCAGUGAGUUCAUUUCCAUGGUGAAAUUAAAUUAGUUAUCAACUAAAAAACUCAGCAAGCAUGUCAUCCUUCAGAGAUCAUGUUCAUUACGUUAUUCUUCCAUGUGGGUAUUCAUCAAAGGAUCUUAGAGCAAUUUUUCAAGUCCUACUACUCUAUAUAUGUAUUGUUGACAAAAGCUUAUUCUUUUCCCCCUUCACACAUAGCAGGUAACAAAUCUUGCAUUUGGAAUGAAGUAAAAACCAGAGGAACACAACAAGGACCACCUAUUUCCGCUGCAUUUGUCCUCAAUCCAUCAACCUAUUCAUCUAUCUCAGUCCAUCAUGGAACAGGAUAGCUUAAGGAACCUCCUAACAGCCUUAAAUGCCCAACAAGAGUUAUUAUAUAAGAAUAAUUCUAACACUGCUUGUUUCAAUGUAGAUUCUGGUUGACCCAGCCUAUUUGUUCACUACGGUGCAAGCAUCCUUAUCAAUCUACUCUAAAUGGGCCAGUCAUCUUGUAUUCAUAUGCUAAAAAAAAAAAAAAAAACUCAAAAAUGUUCAUGAUGUGGGAAGAAGAGUAUUAUUUUAUCAAAUGUGGACUAAGAAGCAUGGACACAGUACAGCAUAUGAACACAACAUGACAUAGACAAAACCAAGAAAUAAUUAUCCUGAAACCAAAGAAAUUAUAUGCAGACAUCGAAUAAAAUCUUCUACGAGUAUGUACACGAUUAAUGCUAAUUUCCAAUUGUAUCUAUAUAUUCUAGGUGUGUAUAAUAUUUGAAUAACCAAAACUUGUGACUUCUAGAAAUACUUAUGGUCAAAGGGAUAAUAGCAUUUUCUGUAUCUUUUAGCCUCACAUUUUUCAUGGUCAAAGCCUGAUUCAUACAAUUUAUAGGCAAGUUUCUCUGAUUAUGUCAAAAUAUUAAAGACAUCUUCACAACUCUUUAUCACCAAUCGCUGUAAAUGAUAUAUUCUAUACUACUUUACAUGUUUGUAGCUCAUGUUAAUCUAUGUUAAAAGAUAGAGUCGCUUGCUACAUCUCAAUAAUGCUUAAGAUAUUUGGUCAAGAAGUGUUUAUUGUUUUCUUUAUUUUUUUUCACCUCAAUCUUUUACACGGUCAAAAAAGUGUUGCACAUGUCCAAGAAUGUCAAAUGUGUGACGCGUCCAGCAAAGGCAUGUUCUUAUCCUCGAUGUAUCAGUUAGACAGAUGCAAUCAAGUUGGGCUGAAACUCUAUUUGGCUUUCAAAAAUAGAUUUCCAAAUUUGACCGACUUGAUCCAUUUUGUUGAGUCUGCUUAAGUUCGAACGCAAUAAGUAUUCCAGACUUUCAACCUACCUUCAAUUUCACUGAACAAAUGCAGAAAUAUUAAACAAAAUUCCACAUACUCGAUUACCUGAUGACUAUCCAAUUACAGACUUUUGACCAGAUACCACUGUAAAAAGAAUAGUACAGGUUCCCCACAUCUUGGUUAGCAGAGCCAUUCACAAGAUUUAUCAUUAGGAGGAAAAAAAAAAAAAAGAAGAGCAAAGGAAGAUAAACUCAAGAUAUGGCCGGAAGGUUGUGACAUUGAUGGUACACUAAUGGCUUCUUAUCUUCUACUCCUUGAAAAUCAUGAUAGAGAAAACAGCGAGGUGGUUGUGUGAGUCGACCCCACUGGUCAACUUUUUGCAAACCAUGAGUAAUUACUAUAGCGAGGGAGGUUGCCAGCAGAUAUUACAAACUGCCAGCAGAUAUUAAAAAAUUAAGGGAGAGAAGACAUGGGAUAAGCGAAAGAAGUGGGGUGGAGGGUAAAAGACAGAUCAAAAAGAGGGAGUGCGAAGCUGAAGUGGUUUAAGAUAGCGUUGAAGGUCUUACCCCCCUUGCCACAAGUGCUUAAGGUAACUUUUUUUUUUUCGUGCCUAAGUUAAAUUGUAAAUAAUAGGUAUUUCACAUAUAUUCAGCAUAUACAGGAACAGAGACAGUUAAGGUAGUAGACCCUGCUCUAAUGGCUCAAGCUCCAACGUCAAAUAAAUCGAGCACUGCAGAAUAACCCAAGUCAAGCAAUGAGCUGCUUCCCAGCAGCUCAGCUAGGUUGGUCCAGCCAUGGGUGCUUACCAUUUUUGUAAAGAAGAAGAAAAAACCUAUAACAUUCAAUGCUUUGCUCCCAUCUCCACCCCCCCCUUCCCAAAAAGGAAAACCCAAAAAAGGUCCCAAGAAUAAUAAACAUUACAGAAAGAGGACAUCCCCCUUAACAUUUAUAUAUGGUCAAGAACUGAAUAGGUUACUCGUGAAAAGUAAAAUGAAGUGACACAAUCGAUAUCCAAAUCCAAGACAAGCUUUGAAGUAAAACAGGCUAAACAGACUUUAGCCCUCAAAGUCUGCAUCUACAGAUCCUAUUGAACACCAAUAUUAGUGUUCUUCCAUCAUUUUCCCACCAUGUCAAAACUACAAUUCAGCCUUGCUUUUACACCAUCCGGAAGGGGGAGACACAUACACAUUUCCUAUCAGGGAAUGAUUAAUCAACCUCCUAACUCUCAAAAAUGGUUUACAAAGUUAUUGACUCUUUAUCCACCAUCAGUCUGUGAUUGCAGCCUCUGAGUACUCUAGCCUAGGAGUAAGAUAUUUACAGGAGAUCUCUUCAUAACUACCUACCACAAAAUUAAGCAGAUUAUUUGAAGAUGUAUGAGGCCGGUAAAGUCCAGUUGCCUCUCAAGUAUUAAAAGAUCAAAGACUGGGAUCUCUAGAAACUUAAGUGGCAAAUGAGGUGAAAAGUUUGUUUUGCAGUAAAAGCAUUCAACAAGAAGAUGAACUCAAUUCGGAUCCAUUCUACCUCAGUGAAACAGUUUAUUCAACUCUAGCAUGAUAGCUUCAUAACAAUAUUCUGUAGCAAAAUAAAAAAAAAUGGAUAUAAGAGAUAAGAUUCAUACCAGCUUGCAUCUUUCCUUUGUUCUCUCAGCCUGCAAAUUGAAAUUUUCAGAUAAAUCAUUUAGUCAUUUUAAAAAUUGAUACAGCAGACUUCUAAGGAGAAGAUUUUUUAUGCUCUACACCCAUGGAAUGCAUACAGAGAUAAAGAAGUACAAAUAUAGAAAACGAGAGAGAGAGAGAGGGAGAGGAGGAGAGAGAGGUGUAUGAAAGAGAAAUUAGAUCACCAAGUUCUUAAUCAGUUUCAAACCAAUGUCUAACAGAUGAAAGCAAAGAAGUCCUUUGACCAGUUGAUAAAUAAUUAAGUACUCACACUAAGAAUUAACCAAUGGCAUGCAAAUAAUUAAAUCUCAUAGUUUCUUUAUCCAAAGAAAAAUGGUCUUCUUCAGUUAAAAAAGGGUAAACAGUGCCAAGUUCACAAGCAUGUUCGAUUUAGAAUAAUAAAAAAGAUUCACAAGGUAAAUAAAAAAAUAAUAAUAAUUACCAACAAACAUUGAUUAAUUCAAAAAAAACAUCCAUUUUCCUGUGAGAAAACAUAUUUUUUUUUUAAAUACAAAAGAAAUCAUUUCGAUUGCUCAAAAAGCAACCAUACUAUCAAUGUGAACACCACUAAUGAGUGAAGAAGUUUUAAAUAAUUAAGCACCCACCCACUCCUCCCCACAGAAAAUAUAAGUAAAACAUACAAAUUAAAAAAAAAGGGAAAUUUUGAGACUCAACUCUAAAACUCUUUUAUGGUACACAGAUCAUUCAAAACUGUAGAUAAUUGAAAUUUGGAAAAAGAUGGAAAUGGAGAGUAAAAGUACAUAAUAUUGGAGAAAUAUCUCAUAUAACAUGAACUUAGCAUGUUCCUAUGCAGUACCUUUGUUGAAAUCUGCAAUUCUGCAUCUCCCAACAGUGUGCUUCCACGAGGGCAAUGUAAGCUCUACAUAGGAUUGUUAUAACUAAUAAUUUCUAAUUCCCUUUCCUAAAGGACAGAAACAGGAAAGUUACAGCGAGUGUCCCACUGGAUCAGGAGCCUCCGCCACAGUCUAAUGUGUUAAAAGAUGGACACUGAACCUAUGGCCACCACAUUCUGACGUCAUGAAUAAAAGUCUAAGAAGAGUAAUGUGAAUUUGUUACAAAAUGACGUCAAGAGAAGUAAGAUGCAAAACGGCAACGUUGUAGGCUGCCAUGGCUGUGUUGUAUGACACCAAUAGGAGUCCUGAGAUAUCUAGUCAAAUUCACUGCAACAGGUAAUAUAUACUACAAUGGGAAGGAAUUUUCGACAAUGAUACCUAACAUUGAUUAUUAAGGUUGUCUGUUUCAGGAAGACAAAUUAUAGGACAUCAAUGAAUUGCAUAGAUGACCAACUAGACACCUUAACGACCAAUAAAGUUAUCACAUUCUCGAAGUGAUCAGUCCAUUCCAUACUCCUUGUGCUUACCAGUGACAAGUAAAAAUCACCAACAUCUUCAGAGUCGACUCUUUAAAACAACUUUUAACUCCCACUAUACAUCUUUAAACACAUAAUUACUACAACAGCAGUUGCUUCUAUCAUUAAAUGAGAUAAAUUGCUGGACUUGACUUUCUAAAAAUGUACCCUUGUAGAGUCCAUGCAAAAUUCUAAACACACAAUCAUGACUGAUUUAUCCACUUUCAAUAAGCACCCUCUGUUUUUAGAAAAAAUUCAACCCUAUUAUCCUUUCAACUCUAUGCAUUGAUCUUGGUGUCAAGAAUAAACCCAAAAUUACAUUUUGUCAUCAAAGCUUCAAACUGGAAAACAAAACACUUUGCCAAAGCCAAGCGAAAUGCGACGGUAAUAGCAUUGCAUUACCUUUUCUUUCAAGAGCUGCUCAUUCUCUUCUUCCAGUCUCACUGCCAUGGCCUCCAAUUCAACUUGGUACGCCUGCAGCAACCAAAAAUCAUCAUUGGUAACAGUAUAAGCGCUAAAAAAAAUUCCCGAAAUUCUCAACAAUGAGAAAAGUAUUCAUCUUUGUUUUAAAAAAAAAAAAAAAUCACCUGUUUUCGCUCCCUAGACCUGGCAGCCGACUCCCUAUUCUUAAUCAUCCUCCUCUGCCUCUGCUGCGCUGCUUUAUCCAUUGGCUCCAAUAAACUCGACGCUCUCCUCUUCCCUCUCCCUCCUCCUCCUCCUAGUCCUCCACUCCCCAUCGUCUCCAAACCUCCUGCACUUGCAUACCCCAGCCCUCCCCCACUUUCCACACUCCCCUGCCUCGACAUAUACGGACUAUCAAAAGCAAACAUUCCCCCACUCGUUCCCGCGACCGCAGCAGCCUCCACCUUCACCUCCCCCUCCACUCCUGCCGCCGCAGCAACAGCCGAUUCCUCCACUGCUCCAGCCUUUACCAAAAAAUCCUCCAAUGUCAUCAUCUCAUCCAUUGCCUCCUCCUUAGGCUCCACUCUCCUCGCCGGCUCGCUCGCUGCCGUCUUCCCCGCCACAAUCUCUCUCCACACAUCAUCCACCGUCUUCUUCCUCACCGGCGCCGGCGAGAUGGGCGUGAUCGCUCCGGAAGCAUCCAAAAGCGUAAUUUCCGCAUUCAACAAAGUACUCUCAGUCGUCGUCGUGCUCGCAGAAACAGCUGCCGCAGCAUUUGGAGAGUUUUGAUGAUAAUGAUGAUGAUUGCGGAAAUUAUGGAAAUCAGAUUUGGAAAGCGAAUUCCGACGGAGUUCGGAGUUAUGAGAUGAAGUCGCUGCCGAAGUUGAAGAAGCCAUGAGCUUCGACGUCGCCAUUUCUGUCAACGGAGUCACGAAUUUCUAGGGUUUCUUCGAUCGGAGGAAUAGUAGUAGGACAUAAUAGUACGGAGAUGGGAGGGCGAUCACGUGAGUGAUUAUGAGUGCCAGUUAGUAAGUGUGUGUGUGAGAGAGAGAGAGAGAGAGAGAGAGAGAGAGAGUUGAUGUGUGAAUUCGUAUGGUUUUCGGUGCGUGAGUGUGUGUUUUUCUAGGUUUUGGGAAACUUUGAUUAUUGGUUAGAUAGACCGGCUGAUGAUUGAUUAUUUGUUGUUGUCUGUACUUUUUUUUGUUGCCGGGAAAUGACUCAGGAUUUCUCCUUCUGGUCAAGCGGUCGUUAAAUAAAAGUUAAAAGUUAGUUUACCUCCUGAACCAUGCCUUCAUUUGUACCCCAUCAUGUUGUAUGAUACCAUCUGAGCAAUCCGGUUCGACUUUCAAAUUUCGGUUCCAAUCUCAUCCUCUUGCGUAUUAGUUAGACAAAACUAGUCGCACCAGUCUCUAAACUAUUGUCAUUGCACCAUUUUAGUCCCUCAAUAACAUAUUAUCACAAAUAAGCUCCUUAAUAAAAUAGUGUCACGUCUGAGGUUUUUUUUUUUUUUUUGGGUCAAAUUUACUCUUUAGAGUCAACAAAAUGAGAGGUAAAAGUGGUAAGUGCAACCGAAAUUAAAAGGUGUUUUUGCCCAAAUACUUAAUAUAAUCAUUGGGACCAGAAUCAAAAGGGUGAAGAUGAAAAAUACACUUCAUUAUUUAAUAUUGCAAAAAUAAUGAAUCCAGUGACGGUAAAAUGAAGUGUUUUCUUCUUCUUAACCCUUCCAAUUCUGGUCACAAUAGUUAUAUUAAGUGGUUUGAUACCAAUGUUCUUUGAUUCUGGCUGCACUUAGAAUAGUUGAAAGUAUAUAUUUUUAAGGGAUAAUUUCAGAAACCUCAGGAGAGGUUUCUGACAGUCUCAUUCACCUCCCCUGAACUUUACAAAAUAUCAGAUACCUCCCUUGUCAGAUUAUUGGGCUCUAUUUGUGAUAUCAUUGAUCAUAAAUUGAUAGAUAUACCCUCAUAACUUAUGAUAUAUUUUGAAGCUAUUUUGACAGAAUUAGUUAAAUGAGUAAUAGAGAUAUAACUUUUGAUAUAACUUAUGAUAUACCUUCUAUUCCACUUUACACUUUUUAUUCGCAGUACAAUCACCAAUGAAGAGUUUAGCACUAGUGUUACCUUUCUCUAAAGUCAUGUAUUUCAUGUUUUUUUUUUGUAAGACAAUUAUCUAGUGUAACUCAUUACUUAUAUUUGGGUAAAUUUGGUUUUCAAAAAUUCAAUGACGUAAAUUGUAUAUUACAUCAUCUCAUAAAGUGAUGCGACACAAUUUGGGUUAUUGAAUUUUUUGAAAAUCGGAUCUACCUAAGUUCUGGUUUUCAAACGAAGCUUGUUGAAUAAAUUUGACUAACUACAGUGUGAAUUAAUUUUUUUUUUAAAAAAAUCUCAACUAAAGUAUCUAGCACUAAAUGAAAUGAAGUAUCUUGCUACUUCAUUUCAUUUUCCACAGAGAAAAUCGCAAAAAGAGUUAUUAAACUAUUGAGAAUUUGGUUAUUUGAUCGUUACACUAUUUAUUUAACUGCAAUUGCCAUUCACUCAAUUAACCAAAUAGUGAAAUUUUUUUUGUGACUUAACUAGUAAAAAUUUAUACUUUUAAUCACUCAAAUUAUAAAACUAUACAUUUUUUUAUAUCACCAGAAGUAUGUUUCAAUUAAUUGAAUGAUCAUAUUAGCUAAAUAAAUGUCUAAUAGCUAAAACAAAAAAAAAAUAUAAAUAGCAUGAUAACAUUGCUUGAAGAAGCCAUUUGCAUUUGUCUCUAUCUGGUUCAACUUAUUACUUCUUUUUUUGGCUUUUGCUUUAGCUCGAGUUGUGGAUAAGCAAAAAAGGGCAUAUGUGGAACACAAAUAUCAUCUCACUCCUCAAAAUAUUUUUUUAAUGCUCAUUUUUCUGACAUGGGCUGAUCUUGUUACUCCAACUAUAAGUUCAGGGGAGGUAUCUGAUAUUUUGCAAAGUUCAGGGAAGGUGAGUGAGACUAUCAGAAACCUCAGGGAGGUUUCUGAAAUUAUCCAUAUUUUUAAUUGUUCAGGGGUUGUUCUAAGACAAAAUUUAGAUUAGCAGCUAAAACUUGACAACUCUCUCUUUUAGUACUACUCAAUCUAUUUCUCGCAUAAAAGAUAAUGUCAUAUCCUUUCUAACAUGCAUAUUAUUCUAUUUUGUCCUAUUAUUUGUAGGUUUGUAGUUACAAAAUUUGUUACCUAUAGUCUGCAUGUAUUGAUUCCAAUGUACACAGUUGGUUGCUUGUCACAUUUUUUAAAAAGAGUGUUUUAAUUAAGCAAAAAAAAAAGAGUUUAAUUAUUUAUUGAUUUUAAACAACGAUUUUAGUUAUUAAGGCUUUAAUUGAACCUAUGAACGAUUUUGACAUAUCUUAUAUAUGUAGUGAAUAGCAAUUAAGCUUUGCUUAAUUUUUCUAGUAGGACAGGAAAGAGGCAAGUUUUUAUAAUUCUUGAUGAAUUAAUCUCGAUUUGCUUAGCUUGAGAUAAUUAGUUUGGCUCUUAUCUGUUUUGGUCUUUGGUUCUCUUUGUACACUUCAAAUCAAUUUCAAGUAUUUUCCAUGCUAAAGCUUGAUUGAGCUCUUGUAUUUUCCCUAAAAAAUUUCUCUGCGUAUGGUAUGCAGUACACUACAAGAGUGGCUAUCUAACACGACAAGUGAAGCUUGAUGCCUUGAUCUUUUAUUUGUCAAAAAGAAACGGGUACUAGUACUGUAUUAAUGGUUAGCUUAAUCUUAACCACAUGCUAUACAAAUGAAUUAGUUACAUUUUUGUCAAGCCUACUAAGAUGACAUUAGCAUAGUUAGCACAUUGAUUAUGUUCAAGAACUUAUAGUAUGAAUUAUGCUUGUGAACACACACACACACACACACACACACACAUGGGAUAAUUUUAGAAACCUCCCCUGAGUUUCCUGACAAUUUCAUUGAGCUCCCUUGAGAUUUGAAAAAUUACACAUACCUCCCUUGUCAUUUAAAAUGACAAUUUUACCCUUAAAUAUUUCAAUGAAAUCCCCUUAUUUUGUAUGCUUAUACUUUGAAUGAGUUUUAAAAUUAAUUUUUAUUCUUUUUCCUUCUUAUUCCUUUUUUUUUAAAAUUUUUCGCCAAUAAAACUGUAGAACUACCACUAUUACUUCUAGUUUUUAUUGUAACCAAAUGUCGAACUAGUGAUUUUUUGAUGAGUUAAUUUUAUAUAUAAUCCAAUGCUUUUGCUAAUCUUUGAUUUUUAUUUUUUGGUACUAAAAUUAACAAUAAAUCAAAAAGAAAUGGCCCAAAAUCAUUACCAAAUUAUAAUAAUCCCACUACCCGAAAAAUUCAUAAACUCUAAAUGAAUUAUUUCAAUAUUUUCUUUUCUAUCUUAUAAAUCUAAAUCCAUAAUAAAGUACUAUCAAAAGUAUCCUAUCAUAGUGAUAAAAUUAUUAUUAUAGUUGUUUAUCAAAUAGUAGGUAUGGACAUGAAAAUUUUGGCACCUUUUCCUUGUAAUUAUACUAGAUAAUCUUAUAAUUGCAUAGGAAAAUAAAUUAAAACUAAUUUCACAAGAGUAUUUUUGGGUAUUCAUUUAAAAAAUUGACCAAUUCAAUAUUAUUUUAAGAUUUUGUUACUAAAACUAUUAAAUCAAGGGAGGUAAGUGUAAUUUUUCAAACCUCAGGGGAGCUCAAUAAAAUUAUCAAAAACCUCAGAGAAAAUUAUCCCUCUAUAUAUAUAUAUAUGUAUGUAUACACACACACAAACACACACACGUACAUACGCUCAAUGAGAUGUGCAUAAAACUCAUCACAAAUUGAGCCCUCCAAGUAUAUACAACUCUGUGAUCAGAUGACCGCUACUAUAGAGAUAGUGUGUUUGGUGGCUUGAAUGAAUUCAAGUAGGUUGCUUAGAGGACUAAUACUAUUUCGUCUUUAACGUCUUUUGUCCACAUAUUAAUACUUCACGUUUAUUUUGACGUACUCUUUAUUUCUUUACGUAGAAUCAGGUUACACAUAUGUGGCUGGCCAUGCCCUCAUCUAUGUAUAUACAUGCAUGCAAAUAUUGCGGCCGAAGUUUGCCAGAUUUUGCAGAUUCUAUAAAAGCUAAAAACGUGGAAUUUGUUGAACCGAAAUUGAUUCCUGGAUUUGCUUUAACAUGUGGUUUCUCCGAAAUGCCUUGCUCAAGCUCUUAACCGCCGCCAUUAGCAUAUCCAGCCCCUUGCCCUGAUUUCAUGGGGCCGCUGCAUUUGUUACUCUUUUCCCCACUAAUGAUUUGAUUAUCGAUAGCUUAAAAGUAAAAACUUUCGUAUUUAUCUAAUUCUUUUCUUUGACAAAAAUGGAUAGAUAGGGGGAAAUUAGUAAGGUAAAGAAGAAAAAAAAAUGAUGCUAUAUUUGAUCAUAUUUUUGUCUUGCAAACAAUUCUCAACCUAAUAUAUGCUUAAUUCAUUCUCUUUGAAAACUAUUACUAGUAAUUAUAUUUUCCUUUUAUAUAUAUAUAUAUAUAUAUAUAUAUAUAUAUAUAUAUAUAUAUAUAUAUAUAUAUAUAUAUAUCACAUCCCAAAAAUAGCGACGUUCUAAUAACAUAUACCAUGUUAGUUGAAAUUGGUAAAUAUAUUGUGUAUCUGAGUUGAUUAGGAAGUCUAAUUAAAAACUUGCAUAUUAGCAUAAUUUUUUUUGUUAAAACCGAGAAGGAUUGGUGUUACUUUGUGUGCCCCAAAUGAUGUUGUACUAAAAUGUAAUUAAAUUUAGGAAAUGAAUCUUAAUUUGUUUUUCUAAUAAAAAAAAUAGUGGGACAUGAUUACUCAAGUAAUGACUCUAUAUAUAUAAACAAGAAAAGCCUAAUCUAAAGAUGGAUUACUUGGGUUGUCUGUAAUUUGUAAUUGCAUUACCUUAAUCCCAAAAUUUCACAACCGGCCGGGUUUUCCAAAAUCGACCUUUAUUUCCUUAAAAUGGACUGAUUUCACCAAUAAGAGAUAGAUUACUUCCUAUUCACCAUUUCUUAAUUAGUUCAUGAUGUAGGGCAUCAAAUACAAAUACAUAUUUCUAAUUGUAGAAUGCCUUAAUAUCUGGAAGACUACUUUAUCUUAAAGCCUAGCCCUUUUAAUUUUAGAUACAAUGAAUAUUUUUCUAUUAAUACACCAUAAGUUGAUUCUUAAUUUCUCAUAAAAAUGGGAUGGAUGGGGUGUACUAGUUAAGACUCAAGAAAAGCUUCUUCUUGUUUUGAUAAGGAUUUCCAAGAAGUUAAGCGGGCGAGAAUGCUGGAGAUCAGGGAUAACAAGUUACCAACAGUUGUGAUUUUUUUUUUAAGCUUUAUUUGUUUAACUCUUAUUAUUAUUACUAUACUAUUGAUAUUCUUUUUUUUUUUUAAUUACUGUUGACGUCAAUAAUGUAAAGUAUUAAAAUCAGUGCAAUGUCUGAAAAAAGACCUGAAAUACAAUUAUUAAACAUCAAGAUUCGGCACAUAAAAUUAGGUCCAAAAAAUAAAACAACCUUCAAGCUUGAAAUUAUGAGCAUACACAUGAAAACAUGUCUGUCAAUAUGAAUGAGCUAUUGAGCAUGACAUCUCUAAAAGAAUCUUGGGUAGAACAUAUUGAAGUUAACGAUAAUUUUUCUCAACAACCUUUCAAAAUUUGCAUACAAAUCUAGUGUUAGCAGAAUUAGUGUUCAUAAAGUGAAUAUUAGUCAAUAUCCCGUUUAUAUUGUUUGGAUUGUGAUUUUUCGCAGAAAAUUUUUUAUAUAUAUUUCAUGAAACAUUUUCUGAUCAUCUUUUUUAUCUCACAUACAUCAAAUUGCUACCGUACAUUUCUGUAUAAAAACUCCUAUUGUGACUUCCCUUACUCCUGUUUUGAUUUAAUUUUCAUAAUGUGUUCCUAAUAUACAUUUUUUUUUGCCUUUCAUGUUUUUCCUUAGAAUUUUUCUUUGGAGACUGGAUUGGUGAGGGACAGAUGAAGCCUUCAAAUGUACAAUUAUAUAAAAUUUAAAGCCUUCGGUUAUGCUAUACAGGUUCGUUGUAUUAAAGAUUUGGUCGGUCACUCAAACCAUACCAAAAAAGCAAUAUAAUCAUCCCCUAUUCCAUAAAAAGUAAUGACUUUUUAAAGAGAGUUUAUAUAUAUACUCAAUUAAUUACGAAACUAAGGUCUUUCAUAGAAGCCACCUCGUAUCCCAUUAUAGCCUUAAUCUUUGCAAGCCUAUUGGAGAAGUCUCUCUCUCUCUCUCUCUCUCUUUCUCCGAGAAACAUGAUCAAAAUAGAUGAGAUCAUAAUAUGAAACUAGAUGGAUGACAAAAGAAAGACAACGUGAAACACAAGGCUUAAAACUGUCAUUCUACUGGCUUUAAAAGGUUCAUUGGCCUAACAGAUAGAUUAUCAAGUUCAGAUGCUAAUUUGUAUCCCUUCAUUCCCUUCCUAACUCUUUCUUUUCAGGAUUUAUUACAGUUUGCCAGAAACUCUCAUUUGGAACCCAGAAACUCUUCAGUUUCAAUUCUUUUCAGAGGAAGACAGCCUUAAACCCUCUACCUCACGAGUUAUAGAUAAAGAAAUCGAGAUGUGGGCCGGUAUCAGAAGAUCAAAAAACAAUCAAGGUUCGACUCUAUGAGCUUCAAUCUCAAUUUUUAGUUGUUCUUGUUAUUGUAUUUUGUUUUUUUGCCUCUUUGGGGUUUUGCUGCAUGAUAAGAGAAUAUUACAGUGCAUAGGAUUUUAUUGUCCUGACAAAACGUUUCUUCAUGGAGUCAAGUAAUCCUCUAGUCUAGAAAAAGUUAACAGUUUUAGAACUUGGCACGAAGCUUAGCUAUUUUUGCUUUUUGGGUAACAAAUUUCUUCUCCAAAAUUUGCAGAUGAAUAUACUGAAAGAAUCGACAUUAUCAAUCAAUAUUUUCCAUGAUUAUCUAUCCCAUGUAAUGAAUUGUUCAACAAUUCAUGCUUACCUUGUGAUGACAAUAUAUACCUCCAUGCAUGAAUAUUAGCGUUUGGAUAACUUAAAUAAUCUAAUCUCAAAACACUUCUGCCUUUAUCCUAUGAGUAGUUGCUAUCUAGUUCAAUUGGUUUCAUCUUAUUUCUUGAUCAUCUUGUAUAACGUUAGUGCAAACCUUUCAUUGAUUUUCCUCAGAUAAGAAGGAGAUGAUAAGGGAAUCAUGUAGAAAUCUUAGUGUGAACGAGGAGUACCUUGGAGCAUUAAGAACAAAAUCGUAUACAGAAUUUUUCAGCAAAGCUCAGACUCUAGUUAACCAGCCAUCUUCUCUUAAUUACUGCAAUCAGAGGUUUUCAGAUACUCUUCUUGAACCCGGGCAAGAAACCAUAGCAACAAUUCUGGAAUCAGCAGUAUCUCUUUCAAGAAAAUCUGAUCUCAGAGCCCUUCUCUUCAAUUACUUUGAUAUUAGUGCUGAGGCUUCAAAAAUUUGCAGCCAUCUUCUCAGAAGCAUUAAUCAACUUCAAUCCAAUUACCAGCUUGUUAAACAAGUUCUCGACACGAUCGAUGACUAUUCCCCCGAGCAAUUAGGAUUUAUCGUUUCUGAGCUUCGUGAACUAAUUUCGCUCAACAAUCCAUUAUCUGGUCUGAAUCAACAAGAUUUCAUCCGAAUCCACGACAAGUAUUCAUCAGUCCUACAACAUUUGAAAGCAAAGCGAAAAAGAAUUGCUCGAAAAAUCAAGCUAAUAAAAUGCUUCAACAAGGCUUCUGGAGCAUGUGUCACGACAGCCUGUGGUGUAGUUGCAGUUGCAGCACUAGUCCUAGCAGCAGCACACACAGUUGUAGCAUUGACAAUGGGACCAGCUCUCUUUACCAUGCCACUGCAGCCACUGAGGAAAAAACUUCUCAAAAUUAGUGCUGUGAAGUGUGGAUUUCUAAGAAAAGUUGGAGAACAACUUGAUGUUGCAGCAAAAGGGACGUACAUUUUGAAUAGAGAUUUUGAUACAAUGAGUAGACUUGUGGUCAGGCUCCAUGAUGAAAUUGAUCAUACCAAGGCAAUGAUACAAUUCUUUUUAGAUAGAAGAGAAGAUAAAUAUUCUUGGCAAAUACUGAAGGAGCUUAAGAAGAAGGAUUUUGGGUUCAGGAAACAAGUAGAGGAGCUUGAAGAACAUGUGUAUUUGUGCCUUGUCACAAUUAAUCGGGCUAGAGUUUUGGUUGUCACUGAAAUUGCCAAGUCUUGCCAGGAAAAUUCAUUCUAGUAAUUUAGAAACCAAUUCUUUUUCAUUUCUAAGCUGCCAGCCACCAACUCCUUGUUUAUUAAAUAGCAAUCUAUUUGUAGAUAGGAUAUCAGGUUUAUUCCAUUGUAGAUAGUAGUAUAUCUUAUUUGUUUCAUUUAUGGAGUGAUAUAAUGGCUAUAUAUUCUUUGAUUUUUUUUUUUAACAAUAUUUGUACCUGCACAAGUUAAGGAGCCAUACUCAGAGGCAUAUUCUUUGACCUAAACAAGCUCAUGGCAUUCAACAAAGAAAAGCGAUUGAAAAUAUCAAGUUUGUUCCACGGUUAUAAUUCCACAUUUACAAUAACAUGUUGAAAUUUUACAAAAUUUGCAAUUGGCAUUUACAUCAGAUAAAAUUUUAUAGAUAGCACUAAUGAAGCAUAACGUAGGAAACUAAUCAUGUUCAAGUCGAACUCGAGCAAGGCAACGUUGAUACCUAACUCCAUUUACUUGCACUCCUCAUGUAAUGCAAGAAGGUGUAGACUAAAAAGCAGGUCCCAUAGCAUGCAUUUAUUUUUUGGUUAGCUGUUGAAAGAGACUAGCUUAUAAAGAUUGAUUGCAGGAUUGGAGUUUUAAUGCAUAAUUAUAGACAAUUACCACAUAGCCCUAGAUGAGGCAUCUAUCCAUCCAGCAGGACCAGCACCCGCGUAGUAUUUUGUCUACAAAUGUGAAACAAGUUAUUCGGACAUUUUGGUACUUCCACAUCUAAUUAUAUACCUAUUCAAGUGAUUCCCCCACCUAUGAAUAUUCAUUGUUUGGGAUAAUUUUUCAAAAAAUAUACUAUAACACGGUAAUUUUUUAAAAAAUAUACUGUAACACUUUUUCUUUUUUUUUUUAUGUGAUGUAUGUAAGACAGAAAAGGUAAUCGAAAAAUGUGUUGAUGAUAUAAGCAAAUAAAUUUUUACAAAUAAAUCACUAUCCAAACAAACCCAUUUCCUUUGCUAGUUUUCUCAAAAUUUGCUAGCAUUUUACUCUAUUGAUGCUAAAAUGGUUAAAAAAAAAAAAUAUUCACAUCGAUUUAUAAUUUUGAUGGCAAAAAACAAAACAUGGAAACAUCAGUUAGACAAAAAUCACUAUAGAUUAGAAAAUUCGAAUUAAAAGGAUUUUUUCGGCGGCCGGUGUCUAGUUUAUUGGACAGUCAUUAACACAUUUAAAUUGUACCUAACUUAUCAAAAUUAUUAAAUGUAUUUAGAUACUUAGAUACUUUUUCAAAUUAAUUACACUUUUUCAAUAAAUUAACACUUAAGACUCAUAUUGAGUUUUUUUUUUUUUUUUGCCACAACAAUAUGGGUUGGUCCAAUUGGCUUUUGACAAACAUUUAGUACAACCUUGUUCCUCUUUGAGAUCAUCAAUGUUUACCGUGUGGGAUCUGUCUGUCUGUCAAAACCAUAGGCCAUUGGACAUGUAUCAACCUGGUUCUAUUUCUUGAGCAUCUUGAACUGCUGGCCAACUACUAGAAGAAUCUCUUUUCUUUUACCCAAAUAAAAGAAAAAGAAAAUCUCAAUCCUCUAAGCGAAUCAAAAUUGCCCCAGAAAAUAAAAUGGAAAAGGAAAAACUUUCUUAACUUUCAGCUGCCAAUUAUUUUUUUGUAUGCCAAGCAUUAAUAUCUAAAUAAUGCGAGAUUUUCUCUUUUCUACAAUUAUGCAUUUUCCCCUCGAUCACAGCCUACUCAACCUGCUUGAAUGAGACCUUAUUUCCCAUAUUUUUUUCUAUUCUUGGCUUUUUCAGUUUCAACCAAAAGUCCUUCUUCUGCUCGUUUCUUUUCCUAUUUAAGAGUUAGAGAAUAAAUUAUAGAGAACUUUUCACUUGCUUUUUCUACUAAAUAAUUUUAAUUAUUUUCUCCCCCUGCGUCAUUAGUCAAACUCAUUAAACUUCUUGAAUAAGUUUAUUAAUCAUCGCUUUCUCCAAAACUAAGGAAGCUUGCAGCUUUUUUCUUCUGCUCCAUUUCCCUCCGAAAGGGUCUACUUCAAGGUAUUAGCUCAACCAUCAACCCCGAAAUCUCAUUUUCUAAUUCAAGAAUUGUUCUCUUUUUACUAGUUUUAAAGUUUAGUGCUCAAGUAUUUAUCGCAUGUUUCUUGAAUUAUUCACUGAAAAUAGGAAAGGGAAGAUUUUACUUGAUUGAUCUUGACGGUAUAACCUAUUUGAAGCCCUUUAAUCUAUUGAUUAAGCAGUGUUUUUGGCUGCUGGGGGUGUAAAGUGUGAUUCUUUAUUGGUGUUUGUGAAUAUCUUUCGAGGUCUAAUGCUUUAAUUGCUGUACCAAACGUUCUACGCGUGAUAUUGACUGGUUGAUUUGUAGUAAUAUUUAAGUUAGUUUAUGAGCAAAAAGGUUAGUUAAUGAGGAAAAAGGACAGGCUAUACAGCUUGAUUUGCUUCUUUUGUUGGACUCUUAUUGGUUAUCUUGCUUGACCAUUUUGGUGCUCUUUCCCAUUUUCAGCCUCCCCUUAAUUUAUAUGCUUGCAUAUUCGAUACGUAUAAGGAUGAGGAAUUUUUUUUUUUUUUUGUGAAGGGAUUUUGGAGUUCUGGGGUUCUCGCAUUUGUUUGUGUUCUGCUAGUUCUCUGUGUUGGAUGUAAAGAACUGAUUUUGGAGGGUUUUGGUGGUGUUUCAGCAUCAAUUUUUCGUCGGUUGCUUACCUGAAGUAUUUUUGUAGGAAUCUGAAUUCGAAAUGUUCGUUUUAUAAGCUUUCUGGAUCAGUCAGAUGAAAUGGAUACCAAUGGGUCUGCUAAACCGUCAGUUUAUGUGGAAAACGAAGGGAAAAGGGACCAGGUGGUAGAGAACAAGUUAGACCAAACCCAUGAUGGUAGUAACCUAUUGGUUGGCUUAGAGAGGAAGCCUAAGGGUGAGCGAUGUAAUGCUGGUGCAGCAAAUGGAAGAGGGAGAGAGCAGAAAUAUACACUGGAAGAAGCUGCUGCUAAUUCUGCAGGGAAGUCUAGUGUCAGGUUGUUUGAUGGAUUAGAUGAGCAGGGAACUAGUAGAGGCGACAAUAGUCUUUUGGAUGAUGAGCAGUCUGAGGCAUGUUCUACUCCUGAAGUAGACUCCCAGAGGAAACCACUGCAGCAGCAUUCAUCAGUCCUUGAGAUUUCCCACUCGAAGGACCCUCCUGUGAUCCGAUCACAGCGGGCACGGAGAGGUUAGAAAUUGGAAUUUUCUCUUUGUCUGGAUAUUUUUUUGCUUGCUUUUCUUUUUCUCUUUAUUUUUCCUUAUUGUCAUUAUUUGGCUUUCAAUUCCUAGUCCCAUAAGUUCUGAUUCUUCACUUGGAAAAUAAUUGGUCUUGCCCUUGUGGUUGUCCCUCAAGAACUGGAGACUUGUCAACUAUGUAUAGCAGGUGAGGAGAGAUGGAACAAAGAAUAAAAAGGAUUUUCCAUCCUUGAGAACAAAGACUAUUGUUUGCUAUAUGAUUUUCAAUUGAAAUUUCUCCAAAAAAAAAGUCAUAUGAAUAUUGGGAAGCAAUUUUUCUGAAUCUAGGCUACAUCCAUCUCAUAUAAUUUCUAUUUCAAUUAGAUGCUUUUGUGAUUAGUUGGAAGAAGUAACUGCUCAGUGCUAAAUAUCUUUUCUGUUGUUCCUGAUUACCCAUCCUUCUGGAAGAAGCCAAUAGCAUCAUCAUGACAUCUUUGCCCCUUUACAGUGUUAUUUGGGAAAGUGUAGUUCUUCAUGCCAACCAUCUGAUGAAACAGGCUUUCAGAACAAUCUCUUAUUGAGAUUUAGAGCUUUCAAUAAGACUUCUAGGUUGAACUCUUAUAAUUUGACCUGAUAACUACAGCAUUCAGUUUGCAAAUUUGAGAUUUAACUGUCAAAAACUUUUUGUUUGGACCAUCCGAUUAAUGUAUGCUCAUCAUGAGAUUAUUUCUUCUCUCUCCUCCUCCCUCCCGCUCUCCCUCUCCGUCCCCUCCUCCCUCCUCUCUCUCUCCUCUUUUUCCCCCUUUUCAAUCUUAAAUUUUGUUUAUUUGAUUAUUUUUCAAUCUACCUUAAGGUUUUGACCGAUGCAUCACUGACCUUAUGGGAAGUCCUAGAAAUGUCUCCCUUGGAAGCCGAAGAAUUGGUUAUUCAAGAUCCAUGGUUGAGAAGAAAGGGAGUCCUAUGUAUGACCCAAAGCUGGAUAGGCUGUCCAAAAGUGAGAAGGUGACCAUGGAUAUCACUACUAUUUUUUCAUUACAAUUUCUUGUUUUCUGUUCAUUUUUAUCGUUAAAUUUCAAGUUGCAUAAUUGCUAUUUUAAGGAUAUUGUUUACUUCUUUCACAAUGUUAAACGGCCUUCUAAGCACUUGCCUAAGUAGUUAAGCAGGUUGCAAAUAUAUCCCCUUUUAUAAGAGAAUAAGAAUAUGUUUUUCUGUUUUCUCUUCCCUUAGGUGUGUAUGGUCAUGCAUACUCGUAUUACUUUUUGUACAUUGGUAAGGGUACUGUGUUUGGCCUUUCAGGAAUGGCUAAUUAUGGACCUAGUGAAGUUCCAAAAUGACGGGACAGUGGAAGUUGAUCUGACUAGGGGUUCACCUGGAGCGUCUGAACUGUUAGAGCUUAGCUCACUUGAAGGACCUCCUCCUAUUUUAGAUGAUAUUGUCACUGAUUUCAACAAAACAAUUCCCAAAUUGAAGAUUGCUAUGCUUGUGGUUGGAACAAGAGGAGAUGUGCAGCCGUUUCUAGCCAUGGCUAAGAGACUACAGGCACGUCAGGUGUUGGUUUCCAAUGAGCAUUACAGCUGUCUAUGCUUGGUUUUUUAAUUUCUUGUAUUGCUUGCUAUGUUCUAAUUGUCUAAAAAGGUGACAACAGAUUUAUAUGGAUGUUGGGAUAUGUUCUUUUACUGAAAUCUGUACAGUCAUAUCAGCUUAAAGUGUGAAGAAAAAUUGAUUUACGGGAGUUCUAGAAGUCUAGGAUUAAGUGUUGUAAUUUUCUUUUCAUCUUCAUGAUCUGUGGCAGUUAAGGUUUCUUCCCUUGAGCUUAAUUAGAAUUAUGGGAAACACUCUUUGCAGUGAUUUUCAAGUAAUUAUGAUAUAGUUCAGAAUUUCUUGACUUCAUGUUCUCAAGAAGAAAAUGAAUUAAGAUGACCUACAGUUGACAAGGUGAAGUUGUGCAAAACGAUAGUGCACAAUGAUAAGUUACUUAAUCUCCUUUUGUUCUACUUGGAAAUCACAAAAUUUAUUAUAAAGCCCUGGACCUCAUAUAUUUGUUUUAAAGAGCAAUGUGAUGCUUCAUGCUUGAAUCUAUGCCUUGUCUGCUUUCACUUUUGUGGUUUCCUAGAUUCAAUCAAGAUAUGUACAUGCACGUAUGAACUAGUGCAAGUAGGAAGUGUUAAUUUUUGUUCUGUAUCAUGCAGGCCUUGUAGUUUGGUACCUUUAUUCAUUGUCUUAUAAGUGUCUGUAUCAGCUUUCAAAGAAUAAGUGAAAGUUACACAUAUGAACUAGUGCAAGAGGGAAGUGUAAAUUUUUGUUCCGGAUCAUGCAGGCCUAGUAGUUUGAUACCUUUAUUCAUUUUCUUAUAAGUGUCUGUAUCAGCUUUCAAAGAAUAAGUGAAAGUUGUGCUUGCAAUAUAAGGAUUUAUCAUGCCUUUUUCUUUUCUUAUUCCAAUUUAACUCAAAGAUUUUAGUUAUUAUAUUUACUUAUGUAGUGAUGUUUUCUGUGAUUUUUUGUUCCUGAACAUCAACUUUGAGGGAAUUGGUCUACAUCAUUUUCAGUUUUAUAAUUGUAUAGCAGGGGACCAAAGAGUUAAAUGGAGACUUUAAGUUGAUUCGCAUGGGGUAUCAUGUUCUGUUGUAAUGUAAAUAUAUGCCUACAAAUUGCUCUAAUUUUGGUGUUAACAAGCACCCAAUUCUGCAGUUGUAGGUAGUUAAAAGUGCAAAAAGGAAGAUAAAUGAAAAAGUUGGCUUUUCUGUUCGUUUCUUCCAUGUAAUCUCGGUAAUUAUAAUUUGAAAUUUUGAUUAUUUCACAAGUCAAUAACUUUUCUUACUGUGAAAUAUUCCAUGCUACCCAUUUGUAUGAAUUAUUAGAAAAUUAAAUUUGAUUAUUUUUCUUUUGGAGCCUGUGGUCAUUUGAUUUGGUUCUGUUAGGGCAUGGACUCUUUAAUUGGUCUAUAAUGACAUAUUGAUCGAUUAUUGUGGUCCAUAAAAUGGAAGAGUGGUCAAUGUAUUGCUUUGCUUAUCUUCUUCCUGACAGUUAAUUAUCUUAAUACUUCUGUGGUGUAUUUACUAUUUGCUUUGAGGUCUCACUUCAAGUUUGUUGAGUUGUCAAAUUGAAACAUAUCUCUAGUUUUCAAUCAUACCGUAUUAUAUUUAUGGUGUAAUUUGUCUUUGGACAUUCUGUAGUUUAACAGCAUGUAUAACCUUUUCAUAAAAAAAGUGGGUUCAUUUUUGGACCUUCUAACUCCAAGUGUACUCACAGGAAUUUGGUCAUCGUGUUAGGCUGGCAACUCAUGCUAACUUCGAUGAUUUUGUGAAGUCUGCUGGCGUAGAGUUUUUCCCUUUGGGCGGUGAUCCUCGUGUAUUAGCAGGAUGUAAGAGGUCCUUGACACUCAAAUACCUCUUUUUAACCUGAAGAUGUAUUUAUUUAUUUUUUCUGUUGAUAUAGCUUUCAUGAGUUAUCUCUCUCUUUUUUGGACCUCACUUGUGAUUGCUUCUUUUACUUUCCUGUUGUAAUCAUAUGGUUGGUAUAUUCAGUUUAACAUGGUAGCUAGAUUAUGAGAAUAGAAGUUGAAGUCAUAUUCAAAAGGGUUAACUAAUUCAGUGUCUCAGCAGUACUCUUUCUUGCUACAAUUACAUACACCUAUAUUUUGUAAUGCAACCUGCUUGGUUUUGUGUAAAAUUCUAAUUGGUUGACUAUGGAAGUCUUUUCUAUGUAAUGAUGAAUUUGUCUCCUGCUUCUGUAGAUAUGGCCCGCAAUAAAGGUCUAAUUCCAUAUUCACCAGGAGAAAUAUCUAUUCAGCGAAAACAACUGAAGGCGAUUAUUGAAUCUCUUCUUCCUGCUUGUACAGAACCAGAUCUAGAAAGCAGAGAGCCUUUCAGGGCUCAGGCAAUCAUUGCGAAUCCUCCAGCUUAUGGUUAGUUUAUCAAAUCUGAACAGACCUCUUUCCCCCUCCCCCCAGGCGGUCCUUAAACAAAAGGAAAAAGGAAAAGAGGAAAUACUUUUGGUGGACCAUCACCUGUAUGAACAAGGAUUCGUUUUACUUUCCCACCUAGCUGCUCUAGGUAGGGUGUAAGUCCUGGGUUUUUUUUUUGUUGGGGGGGGGGGAGGAUAUCUGUUGGUGUGUCUGUUUCUCGCAGGUAAUAGAUUGGCUUGGAUGUACUAGAUCUUUCUUUUACUAUUGUUGAAUUCUUACUGGAUGUUGUCAUCUUACUCAUCUGUCUAUAGAGUUCAGAAAUGUAUUGCUCUUUGUGUAUUUGAUAAACCAGUACUAAUUCAAAGAAAUUAGUGAGAAUUUGGACACUGGGCAUGAGGCAAAAUUGAGAUUUUAUGUUCUCAGUUGACAGAUGAUUCCUGAAAAUGGUUCGAAUAAAAGAUUGUUUCAGUUGGUGGCAUCACUGGUGUAGUUAUGAUAAUACUUUUAGCAGACAUUAGGAUGAGUAAUUGAGGAUAACAGAAGGUUAAAUUUUAUUUUUACCACAAAUGAACACAUACAUAUAGUCUGGAUGUACAAAUUUUGCGAUAAACUUUUGUCUAUUCCAAGCCCUGUUGGCCUGAAUUUAUUAUGGUACUUGAAGUAUAUUCUUGUUGACAGGACAUGUUCAUGUUGCUGAAGCUCUUGGUGUACCCAUCCACAUCUUCUUCACAAUGCCUUGGACGUGAGUGCAGUCCCAUUUUCUGCAAUUUCUGUCCUCUUUUGUUUUUCUGAUUAAUGAGCUUAUGCAGUUUCCUUGAUAUCCUUACAAUCAAUUAAUUAGUCUCAACUGCCCUUAACUCUUGGAAUGUCCGAGUCAUUUUCUCAUAAAAUUGGGACUAAACUUGGAUUAAGUUUUCCUUUGCCUUCUCUUUCAAAGUGUUGAUGAAUAGGACUCCCCACCCGUUCUGCUUUUAUGAGGAGUAAUGUGUUAUUUUUUAUAAGUAGAGAAAAAUUUUCAUACAAGAGAUGCUCUUAGGUGCUCAAUAUCAUUUUCUUUGACAUUCAGCUCAUGAUGGAUUAUAUCUGAGCUUUCUUGCAUUUGGUUAUGAUGGGCAGGCCCACAUGUGAAUUUCCUCACCCAUUGGCACGUGUACCUCAAAGUGCUGGUUACUGGGUAUGUUUCUGUAUGUCCUGCCAACUUCUAAGUUUAAAUCAUGAGUUGUUCUAUCUAAUUUGUUCUUGUUCUACCUAGCUCUCCUAUAUAGUUGUGGAUUUACUUGUAUGGUGGGGAAUACGAGGAUAUAUAAAUGACUUCAGGAAAAAGAAGCUGAAGCUGUCUCCUAUUGCAUACUUCAGUAUGUAUCAUGGAUCAAUAUCCGAUUUGCCAACAGGCUAUAUGUGGAGCCCCCAUAUUGUGCCCAAGCCACACGGUAUGUCUGGUCCUUUGAUUGUCAAAGUGGUGCAUUCUUGUGUUAGUUAUGGUCUGUUGGACUAUAAUUUUUGGAAUAUUCUGCAUUAUUUUUUCUGCUGAAUACUAUUUGUAGCAAUUUUUGUACCCUUUUCAGCAUCUUGUUUGGAUCCAUAUUAUGCUUGUUUAUUUACAUAAAUGGAUCUCUUUUAAAUUGUAUGUGUACUAUCCGACAAAAUGACAUUAAGAGCAUUAUCACACUCCAAAUUUAGUGUAUUAAGGAUUACAAAAGAUGAGUAUCUUGAGUGCUGACAUCUAUAGUUUGGAUUUAUGUAUAAUUUUGUUGAGGACAAUGAGUCUCUAUUUUUGCUUAAGCAUUGUGUACUUAGGUCAUAAAGCCCUAAUAGGAGUUUUAAUGAACUGAACUGAACAAGUUGAUGAUUAAUAUUGCUAAAACUUGGUAUAUUACCUACCAAGUUUCAACAAGCUGUGUUCCACCUUAAGUUAUGUGUCAUUUGCUUCGUGCUUGGGUGAUCUUCUGCUGAACUAUCUCGAGUAGCUUAACCACCUUCAAUAUGAUUAUUGUAUUAUAUGCUUAUGGAGUUGAGAUAAUAAGCUUAUUAAGUAAAUGUCGCCAACGGUCUUCAAAUGUAGUUGGAUUAGUUUGCUAAUCUGUAUAGAAGAGUUCUUAAUGGCUGAAAUCUCCAUAGCUAAUUUCAAUAGUUCUUGGUCCCUCUGAUAUGUUUUUGUAACUUAGCCCAAUGGUUAAGGAAGUGGAGAUUAACUCAAUGUAUGGGUGCCAAUGCUCUUAACUUCGAUUUGUGAAAUGUAUUUGGAAUCCAAAUUUGCGAAUAAAGUUUGGGAUUGGAGUUUGUUUGAACAUUGAAAAAGAUGUGUAUUUUAUUAUUCAAGUUUGGCAUGUCAAGGGAUGUGAGAGGUAUGAUUGCAGAAAUAGAUUCACUAAAGUGUCAAACAUUUCAUUAAGCCAAAGCAGCUGGUGUCACAAGUUCAACCAGGAUGAAAGGAAUAUAGUUUAUGAGAUGAUAUCCUUUGAUGGGUAGGAGUUUACUAACUGAAUAUGGUUUCACUGACUUUUUUCAGGAUUUUCCAUUUCCUCCACUCUUGAUUUCCAUUCUUCACAGUUUCCUCUGAUUGUAGUUUUUGCAAACACUUCAAAGAAUUUAGUUCAUUGCAGCAGCAUGACAUAGCUGUUGAGAAAAAAUCAUUGUGAAAAUUGUUGGUUCACCAUCAUAUCCUUUGAAAAAAUUAUUCAUUUAAUUUAUUACCUUGCAGAUUGGGGGCCUCUUGUUGAUGUUGUUGGCUAUUGUUUCCUAAAUCUUGGCUCAAAGUUUGAGCCUUCGGAAAACUUUGUUAACUGGAUCCAAAGUGGACCGAAACCUAUAUAUAUAGGUUUUGGAAGUAUGGUAUGCUAUUUUUGUUUGAAGUUAUUGAUGUGCUUCAUCCUGUAUAUAAAUCUUUUUGUUUUAGUAGGAAAUCAAGUGAAAGAGUUAUAUCCUUCUUAUUUGACACUUGAAGAAGAACUGAAAUAUUUUUUUGCUUUGACUUUUUUUUUUGACACUUUCUCUGCUCUAAGUCAAAAAACUAGUCAGCAAAGUUUGGGUUGGUGAUUUGGUAUCGAUACUCUGCCAUGAAUAACUGAUGCAUAUUAAUUAAACAGUUCUUAAGCUUUGUGGUAUGGACAUUUUGUCUAUGAAAUAGAGGAUUGUGCAGAGACCAUUAACUUCUUUAUGAAGUGAUGUAGGUGCACGUGGCGUAGCUCAUGUCUUAUAAAGUUCUUUGUGUUUUGCAUUUGCAUGCUAUAAAUUUUUGUCACAAGUUCCUUAUUUUUCCCUAUUGCUUGUGAAGCCUCUUGAGGAUCCCAAAAAAACUACAGAAAUCAUUUUAGAAGCACUGACGAAUACAGGACAGCGGGGAAUAAUUGAUCGUGGAUGGGGAGAUCUAGGUUCUGGUAAGUUAUUUGGUUCAAUCUUGUCCCUUCAGUUGCCUCUUGCUCAAAUAUAAUGUGCUAUAGGUUCUUAAAAAUGUUGAUUCUCAUUUAGCAACUAAAUUGGGCUGAUCCAAUGGCUGCUUUUGCAACUUUCCCCAGCCCCUACUCCACCCACCCACAAGGGAAGAAAGGAAGAACAACACAAAGGAAGUAACAAAAGGACAUAGUGAGAGGUCCUGCCAAUCAGAAAGUGAAUUUGAAGAAGAAAAUGCUUCUGCUCUUUUUGAAGAAGUCACCCUUAAAACCUAGGGAAACACACGCAACUGAAAAAGACGAAGCCAAUUAGAAGACAUGCAGAAGCAUAAGAAAAAUUAGAAAAAACUUAGGCUUUCAAAUUUGCUCUCUUCUUUGGAAGUAGAUGCUCUAGAUGCAGCUACUUGUCUUACAGCCAUUACAGUUUUCAGUUUUUUACUUGUCUUAGCUUUUUACAGUCAUUAUAAUCAUUAAAUUUACCUAUCCUUGUAUAAUUUUUGGAGAAUGGCAGUCUCACAUCAUAUUAUGUAUGCUCUCCAAAUUGUUUUUGAGAAACUUGUUUUUCUAUAUUCUUUUGCAGUGGAAACUCCUGAAAAUGUUUUUCUUCUUGUUGAUUGCCCCCAUGAUUGGCUAUUCCCUCAAUGUUCAGCUGUGGUAAGUUCUUUUUUAACUAAAGUCUCUCCCCCUAUUAAAUAAGUAAAAGAUCUGUAUUGUUGAGCUCCUGCUGAGUUUGUGCAUAUAUAUAAGCGUGUGAAAUGUACAUAGAUCUAGCAAUGUCACACCCUUCUGGCUUGGAGUUGAGAGGCAGAGAGGAAAUGCCUUUGAUAGAUUACUCCGUGUUGACUGCGAUUAUUGAUGGGAUACUUUUUUGGGCCUGUCCAUCUUGCUUUUGUUUGAUCUUCUAAUGCACCUGUCAUAUACUGGGUAAUGCUGCCAUUCAGGUUCACCAUGGUGGUGCUGGAACUACAGCUACAGGAUUGAGGGCAGGGGUAACUUUUCUAUAUCACUGGCUUUUUAAAUUUAAGUUUUAGCACUUUUACAUAUCUGUGUCUUUUUAACUGUCUUUUCACAGUUUAUAUCAUGUCAUAUUCAUAGCAAAUGAUUCUCUUUGUGAAGCAAGUAGUUGUUCAUUUCAUGUUUGACCUAUUACACUUAAUAGUGCCAUUUCCAUUUUCUACAUUUUAUUAUUUUAAGGUGUAUUUUGUCUCAUGUAAGUUCAAUUAUGUGAUAUGCAGUGUCCAACAACCAUAGUUCCAUUCUUUGGGGAUCAGUUUUUUUGGGGUGAUAGAGUUCACCAAAGAGGACUGGGACCUGCACCGAUUCCCAUAUCUGAAUUGAGUGCUGAAACCCUCUCAGAUGCCAUAAGAUUUAUGCUCCAGCCGGAGGUUGGCUGCUAGUUGUGCUAUUUAUUUACUUAUUUAUUUAUUUAUUUAUUUUGUUUUGCAUCUCCUUUUUCUCAUGUUUUCUUUGGUACGUAGCAUAAUCAUGUUAAAUUGGCGUGAAAUGAGGUUAUUUUUAAACCUCCCACUAGUACGUUUUCGGAAAACCUUGUCUGUUAUUCCUUGUAAAAUAGACUUCUUAGCAAGACAUUUGCAUUCCUAUUUCUCAUUUUAACAUCUGAUGUUGAUGUGUCGUAAAAAUUGCUUCAAUAACGGCAUUUUCUGCUCUGAAGUAUCAUGAUAGGAAUUUAGCUUUCAAUGAUCAGGGUUUUGAUCGAUUCUAAUCCCCUGCAGACAAAAUACCUUUUAGAGUAAGCAUAAACAUCUUCAUGAUGUUUGCAUUCCCUAUUGUUAACAAAGCAAGUUUGUGUUCUCUAUUUUUAGACAAAAGAUUAUGUAAGACACAGAACAUGAAGACAGAAAGAGGUUAUGUUUCAUAGAUUAGUUAUGGAGUCAUUAGGUAAUCUUAUCAGAGCAUAGAAGUAUGCUCUUGUUGAUAUAUAAACCGAGAUGCAUUGCAAGCGUAUAAUCCCUGGUUAGGAGAGGAGAUAGGAGUGGGUUCCUUGGCUUUUCAUGGGACGGAAGGCCAACAAGGUUUAGUAAUAUACUGGCUUGGGGUUGAGAAUAUUUUUGAUAACGGCAUUCAACUUAGUUACGAUGAACGAGGUGCUGUGUUCUUCUACAUGUGUGGUUAAGAGGAUCACAAAUUACUGGAUCUCUAUAUGUAUGAAUGACCUGAAGUUAUCAAUUUAAUAGAUCUAAAUGAUCUGUGGGUUUCAUGAGCUUUAGAUGUGUAGGACAAUCUGCUAUCAUGGCUGAGGGAAUUGGCCUCCGAUGACCACUUUAAAGACUUGGAACAGGGAAAUAAAAUUUUUGCAUUUCUGUCAAAGUUCAACAUACUCUAUCCUUGCAGAAAAUUUGCCUUUUUUCUUUGUUUUCUGAUGAAACAUUCGGCAUAUCAACUAGAAACUAUAAUCCCCCAUCCCCCUCCCUGCUUAAAUCCCACCCCUCUUCUUCUAGAAAAAAAAUUAACAAAAAAUCUAGAAACUGUAAUCCCCUAUAUACUAUGUUCUCCUUCUCAAAGAUGAAUUGUUUACGACUUUACACCUUCAUCAUCCUGUUCUUUCGUUGUUAGUUGUAAACUCUCUUUUGGUAAUCACCAUAUUUUGACUCACAUCAGCCUGCUCCUGUUUGAGAGAGGUCUGCAAUAUCUAUUGCCUCUAUAUGCUUGCAAAUAUUAACUGAAUCUCUUCCAGGUAAAAUCUCUGGCUAUGGAACUAGCAAAGUUGUUAGAAAAUGAAGAUGGUGUUGCGACUGCGGUUGAUGCAUUUCACCGGCACUUGCCUCCAGAAUUACCAUUACCAAUUGCAUCAACAGAGGACAAUGAUCAUCCAAAUUUCUUGCAGUGGCUGUUCAUUCAAAUUGGCAGAUUAUGCUGUCUGCCCUGUGGUUCCUAGAAUUUCUGCUGCAACAUCAGUAGUGAUUUUUGUAGAUAUAGUUGUAUGAUUUGGUCUCUAUUGAUAGUUGAUUAGUAGUGUCUUAUUCAUUCAUUUUAUUGAUCCACCCUUCUGUGGGGUUGGACAGUGGUCAGUAUAUAGGCUUUCAAACUUUUUUUUUUUUUUUUUAAAAUUUUGGGAGAAAGGCUAGAGUGGAAUAGAAGAACUAGAGUAUUGUUUUGACUAGUAGGUUGAGGCAUAGAACUUGAAAAAAGGAAAAAAAUGAGACAAUUAUUCUGUAUUAUACUGGGUGCAGUUUAUCACUGGAUCCUAGUUUUGUCAUUUCCUUCUUGUGUCAUUAUCUAAUUUCCAUCUGUCCCACUUUCAACACCGUUGAUAAAGAACCCAAUUUUCUUUUACAUGAUGCUAAUUUGGUAACAUAAUUGUUUUUGUACAAGAAGUUUUUGACCACCACCAUCUAAUGCACCUUAGAUAUAUAUGUGUGUGUGUGUGCAUAUAUAGCAACAAUCAUUUCUUAUAUAUCUUGAUAUCUCUCCACCUUGAUUCCAUGUAGCUGCUUGAAUUAGCUGGUGCAGCAUAAACUCCACACUUGAAGUACAAGUCACCUGGCCCCUGAUCAUUCUUCACAAAUUUUUGAACACCAUCGAUGAAAACAGUGAUUUUUCCUUCAUCUACGUUGUGGAUUACGUUUAAUCGAAACCAUUUAUCGUAUAGAUUUGUGUUAACCACUUCAAACUUGUAAUAUUUCAUGUCACCUUCGUAGAUCCUCAGUUGGAGACUUGUAGCACCAACUCUUGCACCAUGAAUUUGCAUUACUGUCACUCCAGAAGUUGCUUUAGGAACGUAUGCAUGGCCUUCAAAUUGCCAAACUCCAGAAGAGUAGUCAAGACCCUAGAGAGAGAGGGGGGGGGGAAAGAUCGGUAAAAAUACCGGGUAUUAUAGGAAAAAAAAAAAGAAUUAGAACACGAGUUUUUUUAUUAAAAUUGGAUUGUCUGGAAUCUUAUUUUUACUAGUGAUUAAGGUACGCUCGAUGGGUUUGCAUCUAAUAAAAUUAAAAAUAUUUAUAAUUAUCAUUUUCAUUCCAAAUGGAAGUAUUAAAACGAAAACAAAAUGGUGUGGACUAAGGUGAUUCCAAAAAUAGGAAGAAAGGAAAAGAAAAAAAUAGUCGUGACUAAUAUUAUUUGUUUUGCAUUUUAACAUCUCUGCCAUAAAUUGAAGCUUCUGACAAACUGUCUAAUUUUGAAGAGCGCAGAAAAAGUGGAUAAAUAUGAAUGAGUUCAAAACACAAAAGAUGGGAAGAUAAGAAGAAGUUAAUGGUAGAUUUUUUGUUCUUUUUUUUUUCUGUUAGAAAAUUUGACCAUUUUACAAAAAGGGAAAAAAAUAAAAAAUGACGUAGUCUCAGGCUCUAUAUAUAUAGUCAAUCUACAAAAAGUAACUGAAAAUCAAAAUUAUGAUAUUUUUAAGUGAUAGAUAUAAAUAUAAAAAUCUCUAAAAUCAAGGAGGUGGAUCAUCUUUUAGUUUGUUUCUGUCACUUAAAAUCGUAUGCUGUUUAGUAUAGGAUUUCACACACACACACACACACAUAUAUAGAUAUCUUUUUUAUAACAAAGUGGUGAGAAAAUAUACAGAAUUACAUGGUAGAAAAGUGACCUUAAUUCGGACUUCAGUGCGUGGUCUGGUAGUAGUAUCAGGUUUAAAGGGCUUGUCAUUGGUGUAAACCCAUAGUCUCCUCACUCCAUUUUGAUAGCUGUAUCGAUCAUUGAGCGGUACAUUGUAUGGCUUCUGCAGAUCAAAAUUUCGAUCAGUUAAUGGUAUCUCAGUGAACCCAUCUGUGGGAUCAGCAAGACAUGACAGAAUUCGACCCGUUGAGGAAAUCAAAACUAGGAAUAACAGUAGACUAUACAAGCAAGAAAUGCCCAUUUUUCUGGAAAUUCUUGAUCUUUCUUUUAACUCUUUUGUUUGAUGAUUGAAGUUGAGAAAUUUCAUGGCUCCAUUUAUAUAGGAGGAUUCUUAUUGUCUGCAUGAAAAGGAGAUGUUUCCUAAGGUUCUUCUCCGCAAUCAUAUUAAUUUCUAGGUAAUUUGUGUAUUACUAAACGUGAAUGGUACGUAAAUUUGUUGAAAUCCAGGAUGAAUUUUUGGGUCUCUUCAGAGACGGUUGACAGAUAAUAUUGUUGCAUUGCCAGGGUGGGGAAUUGGGGUAACAUUUUAUCUGUUGUAUAAUUUUCUGGCAUUUUAUAUAAAGGGUCAUUUUCUCUGUUGUAUAAUUUUCACCAAUGUGAAACAGGGGAAGAUUGAAUAUACAGACAACUGCUGUGCCUUAUUCUCUCAACCAUUUGUUCUCGUACUUUGUUCCACAUUAAAUUUGUAGAAUUUUGCAGCGGCCUUCAUUUAAAUUCAAGAACAUGGAAAGAAAUCCAAUUAAAUUCUCUAGGAUAAACAAUUUUUUCAGACUAAAACCCAUAUGUCAUGAGUGCACAAAUCACUUGUAUGCCUUGAUCCAUAAUAAUGAACGAUGCAUAAUUAUUCAAACUUUUUUCGUACUUCAAAAAAAGAAAAAUCACUUGUACAAUAUCCUCAUCUAAAUGGUCUUCCUUUUCUGAGUUCAAAGUUUAGUUUGUAUCACUCUGAGAAAAUGAUUAUUGAUCUUGUAGUCGGAAAAUGAGAGAGAGGAGAUUGAUAUUCAACUGAUAUUUUUAAUGAGGAAAAUAAUAUGGAUCAUGAAGAUUUCAUGCCUAAGAAACUCUGUGCUAUAAAUAUUUUGAUGCUUCUACAAUUGUAUAGGGAGUUAGUAUUCUUUAAUUAUAGAGGAGGUCUUUCUCUUAUAUGAACCAAUAAACAUAUAUGAUUUUAGGAUUUUUAAGAAACCAGGGAUGACAUAGCACAACCUUCGAAGUCUCAACCCUUAGGAUAAUAAGCUGAAAUUUCUUUUUUCUUUUUUAUCAUUUUCUACAAGAUGGAUUUAGUCAUAAAUUGUGAAGUAGGAAAUAUUGCAAAAUGCUUUGAAUAGAACCAUUCCAAGCAUAACUUGACCUACACUUAAUGAAAUUAACAACCAUUCCAAGCACUAUGGAAUAGUUAUUCAAUGCCUUAUUAGAAAUUCAUUUUCUAAUUGUGUGUUAGUGGUGAUACUUUUGAUUGCUUUAAUUCAUGUCAAUUUAAUCUGAAAUAGAACACAAGCACGUAGAAUAAUGAAUUACCACCACCUCACAGUAUUUCGCAACACAGAUGGAAAACAAGAACUUCAAUCGCAUCACACGAACUGAUACAUAUUAGGAUUUAUAUAAACUCAACAACAUUCUUCUUACAUAUUAGAUACAACUCAAACAACAAUUGGACGUACAUUUGGUGCAAACUCAUAAUUUCCAUCUUGAUGGUAAAUCACUUCUUGUAAAUCUUGAUAUCCCUCCAACGUGAUUCCAUGUAAUAACUGAUAUCUCUUGGUGCAGCAUAAACUCCACACUUGAAGUAGAAUUGUGAACGCCCUCGAUCUUGUGUCUGAAACUUUUGCUGAUCAUCAAUGUAAACUGUGACCGUGCCUCCCUCCACAGCAUGGAUGAGAUUGAGCUUGAACCAUCUGUCGUACAUGCCAGUGGCAAUCACUUCACCGCUGUAAUACCUCAUGUCACCAUUGUAGAUUCUCAGAAUUAUGGUGGAUGAAUCAUGGGCUGCACCAUGAAUUUGUGCUACUGUUGCACCAGAGGUUCCAUUCGGCACGAAUCCAUAGCCUUCAAAUUGCCACACUCCUGAAGUAUAGUCAAGUCCCUGCACAUAAAUUUUUUGUUAAAAAAAAAGGAAGAAGAAAAAAUCAAAACUGAUCAUAAGUUCGUACUUUAGAACCAGUUACAGGUUCACACUCACAUGACAAAGGCUGGUGUAUUUUUUACUCAAAUGGUAACUAUGGAAAGAAUGUACUACUACUUGGUAAACUCCAAAACUAAGGGAAAGUAGGAGAUAUUGAGACUCUAGUCAAGCAAAAACUAUAGUUAUGAAUAAAAGUUUUCACCAAAUGCGUACUUCACCCUCAGGAAGCUAGGAACUUGAAUAGAAAAUGUUGAUUGAAUUUUUUGAAUGACACACGAAAAUCCCAUGUUCUCAAGAAUUACUACUGUCGAAAACAAAAUAUCUUGACUAACGCCUCCGCCUGUUAAAACGCAAGCGAACAGGAGAAAAGAUAAUAAGACUAUGAUGCAGUGGUAUUUGAAGCAUUGUUAUGGGGGAAAAAAAUUGAUUUACGUGAAUGCGAACUUCCGUGCGUGGUUGUGUCUCGCUAUUAGGGCUAUGUGGCUUAUCAUUAGCAUAAACCCACAUCUUCCGAAUCCCAUUUUCGAAACUGUAUCGUUCAUCCAAUGGCACAUUGUAUGGCCUCUGGAUUUCAAAGUUUGCUUCUGUUAAUGGCACAUUUGUGAAACCAUCAGUGGGAUCAGCUGAACUUUGGAGAAAAGAAUUGAUGACCAGAAAUCCCACGAAGCAGACAACAUUCUUCACAGAAGAAUUCAUGUUUCCAAACUUUUUGCCCUUUUCCCAACAAUUGCUUAAGUAUCUUCUUCCAAGAAGCCGCGGUCUAGUAAAUAUAUAUAGGUAAGAAAAUGGAACAAUGAAAUGUACUACUAGAGGUUGGAGUUGGACUUACCUGGACCUAUGUUGGUAUUUCCUUGCGUAAAGAAGCAUAUUUUGUGAUGGUGACCUGGUUGACGAAAUUAUUGGACGUUUCACAGGAUAAUGUUUGUGGAAAAGAUUCUUUUUCCAUCUUGGGUGGAUCUAGUUGCGGGAACAUUCAUAGUUCAUCAAACUUCAGGCCAAACAACAAGAAGGGCUUAAAGUUAUUGGUGACAAGAACUGGUAUUGAACAAGAGAAGAAUAAAUCUGGCUUGCAUACAACUUAUUAGGCUAAAAAACAAAGGCUAAUAUAUUUUAUAGGGAAAAUUACACUUUACCCCCCGGUGGUUUAGUAUUUUUUACAUAAGCCCUAUGAUUUCAAAAGUUAUAUAUAAUUUUCUCAUGGUUUGGAUUAAAAUGUCAAAGUAACUGAACUUGGAAUCCAUAAUGAAGUCACUUAAACUGUCAAAAAUACCCCUAUGUAACAUUGAAAAUUAUUUAUUAAUCAUAGGAGGGUUAUGUGUAUAUUUUGAAAAUCAUAAGAGAGUUAUAUGAUAAAACAUUAAAUUAUAAGAGAGUUAUAUGGUAAAAUAUAAAAUCAUACAGGGUUAGUGCGUCAUGUAUAGUAUGUUUAUAUAUUUUGAUCACUUCAAUCAUUUUAAUUUUUAAAUAAGGGUAAUUUCGACAUUUUUAAAUGUUCCGUUACGAAUGAUGUUUCCGUCACUUUAACACUUUAAUCCAAAUUAUGAGGGAAUUAUGUAUAGUUUUUGAAAUCAUAAGAGAGUUAUGUACAAAAAUACUAAAUUAUAGGGGUUAAAAUGUAAUUUGCCCUAUUUUAUAUACACAAACUUACUUCGUAAUGCACCACUCUUUUUAUUAUUAUUAGUAUUGGAAUGUGAUAUUAUUUUAUCUCCACUGUUCAAAAGCUUUGCAAAAACCCAAUUUUUGAAUUGUUCAAGACCGCUGGAGCUUCAAUUAUCGACCUUUAAAUUAACCCACAUGAACUGAACGAAGUGGUCCAUUAGGUAAAUUUUUUUUCCCCCUAAAGACAGUAGAGAAUAAAGAAAAGAGAAGACAGACAGAAAGGAAGCAGAAAAAAGAAUAAAAGGCUACUAAAGUUACAAGUUGUUUCGAACUUAUAAUGAAUAAGAUAAUUUGUGUGAUAUGUAAAAUCUAAUCAAACCUAAUUAAAUCGGGUUAUAUAACUAUCAAUCCAAGUUCACCCUUUAUUUGUCAGCUUCUCACGGAUACCGUUUAAUUGUGUUUUCCCCAACUGAUGAAUUUAAGUCAUAUUGCAGUAAAUUUACUAGUCGUAUCCAAAUCAAUUCUUUUUUGAAUUGUAUCCAAAUUAUUUGAUAGAUUAAGACACAAAUACUUAAGUAAUCUUUUGGCUAAUUAUGCAACGCGUUAUACUGCCCAACCACAAGAUUUAAAUUGUAUUCUACAAAUUGGGAGUUCAUGUCCUUUUUUUUCAGAAGAAAAAAAAAAUGAGAAAGUAGCCAAUAUAAUAUGGUGUUUUGCAAUCAUCUUCUUUUAAAUAGAGCAGCAUGGAAACAAAUAUUCCACAGGUUAUUGUCCCAUCUGCAAGGUUUCUCGUAAUCUCUGACAGAUUCACCUUUCAUACAAUUUGACUGUUAGGUGAUCAGCUAAGAUUUAAAGAAAUUCAGAUUUAUUGGUGCAUUUUUUUUUAUCAAAAGAAAAAAAAAUCUGGAAUCUCGCUCACUAUGUAAAUAUCUUUCCAAAUUGAUUUUAGGGAUAAUUUUAGAAACCUCCCCUGAGGUUUCUAACAAUUUCACAAAGCUCCCCUUAAUAUUUCAAAAUUGCACAUACCUCCCCUAUUGUUGCAAAAGUACUCUACUACCCCUAUAUGGGAUACUUAAUGACAUUUUUUUUUUUUGGAAAAUUUCAGAAAUUCCAAGAAAGACCAAAAUUGACUUUGGCACCAAGUGAUGGAUUUAAUUGACUUGUGUAGUAAAUGUAAGGGCUGGAGUUACUGGACAUAAAUUAGGUUGUAGUAUUUUGAGUGCUAAAAUUAUUGGAAUUUAUCUUGAUUUAAAUUGGGGUGUUAUUUGACUUUUGUGGUGGCGUUGCUUGAAAGAAGGCAAUCAUCAUAGUUGAAUUUUUGUUCCAAACUUUUAUUUUUGGCAGAAAGAGUUUGUUUGCUUAGGUGUUGGAAGAAAGGCAAUUAACAAAUCUCUUUUUAUUUUUCCUUUUUAUCUUUUUGACAAAAAGGGUAGUUUAGGAUAUUUGAAGGAAUUGGUAGCCUAUUAGCAUAAAUAGUGAAAGCAAGGGAGGUGAGUGUAAUUUUUGAAACCUAAGAGGAGUUUCCUGAAAUUGUUAGAGACUCCAAGGGAGGUUUAUGAAAUUAUCCCUUGAUUUUAUUUUCAGAAUGUUGGUUCCUUCUUGCAAUGAUUGAACGACUGCUCGACUACGAGUAUCUAUGUUUUUCCUUUUGAUUGAUUUACAACCUUAAUUAAUUUCUAUUAAUUAAGCCAGAAUUCUGAAGUUCAUUUGUACUCGAAAGAUUUCUUUACUCAUAAUCUACCAAGAUUGAAAUUGGAACCAUCCUCGUCUAUGCCCAGCAUGCAUUUUCAGGGCUUCUACUUUCUAGAGUAAUUCUUUUUGUUUUGGUACUCCCUUUUCUUGUCUCAUAAACUCUGCAGCUCUCUUGCUUUUGUGCAAAAGGUUUUGGGAUAAUUUCAAAAACCUCCCUCGAGGUUUCCAACAAUUUCACAAAGCUCCCUUAAGGUUUGAAAAAUUACACUUGCCUCUUUUGAUUUGAUAGUUUUAGCAACAAAACCUUAAAAUAAUAUUGACUUGGUCAAUUUUUUAAAUGAAUACCCAACAAUGCCCUUGUGCAAUGAGUUUUAAUUUAUUUUCCUAUACAAUUAUAAGAUUAUUUAGUAUAAUUAUAAGGAAAAUGUGCCAAAUUUUUCAUGUCCAUAUCGACUAUUUGAUAAACAACUAUAAUAAUAAUUUUAUUACUAUGAUAUGAUAUUUUUUAUGAUAUUUUGUUAUAGAUUUAAAUUUAUAAGAUAGAAAAGAAAAUAUUGAAAUAAUUCAUUUAGAGUUUAUGAAUUUUUAGAGUAGUGGGAUUAUCAUAAUUUAGAAGUGCUUUUGGGCUAUUUCUUUUUGAUUUAUUGUUAAUUUUAAUAACAAAAAUAGAAAACAAAGAUGAGCAAAAACAUUAGAUUACAUAUAAAAUUAAUUCAUCAAAAAAAUCACUAGUUCGAUAUUUGAUAGUUCUAGAGAUAAUAGUGGUAGUUGUACAGUUUUAUUGGCAAAAAAUUAAAAAGAAUGAAAAAAAUGAAAAAAAAUUUAAAAAUCAUUCAAAAUAUAAGCAUACCAAAUAAGGGAAUUUUAUUAAAAUAUUUAAGGGUAAAAUUGUCAUUUUAAAUGACAAGGUAUGUGUAAUUUUUCAAAUUUCAGGGGAGCUCAAUGAAAUUAUAGAAACUUUAGGGGAGAUUUCUGAAAUUAUCCCAAAGGUUUUUAACCUUAGGAUUUGAUGCAUUUCUGGUUCCUCUGUUCAUGUAGUGAAACAUAAUAAUAUUAGCCAGCAAAACAAUUAAUAAGAGGAAUGAAGAAAUCAGUAAUAUGGUCUUCACGAGUAGAAAGAUGUGCUUAAUAAUCAACUUCAACAGAGACUACUUGGAUAGAGUAAUUGCGUGAAAACUAUGCCAAAAAUUAGGAUGCUUGAUCAUGUAGCUACGUCUAGUCAGAUUUAUGAUAAAGUAUUUGCUGUUCAGUAACAAAUGGAAGCCAUACAAACUAAAAAAAAAAAAAAAAAAUUUAUGGAGGCUGAUUAAUAGUAAGAAUAAUUUUUACCACUUAAAAAAAAUGAAAGUAAAAACAUUAAUUAUGUUUGUAUUGAGCAAUAACUAGACAUCCAUAAUUAGGGCUGUCAACGGGCCGGGUCCGGGCCGGAAUUCAUUAUUCCGGACCCGGACCCGAAUUACUAUGCCGGACCCAGACCCGACCCGUUUAUCCGACGGGUCUUUUAUUCUAUGUUCCGGAUCCGGAUCAGGCGGGUCCGGCGGGUCCCGGAUCCGGAUCCGGGUCUACCCGAACAAAUUUAGCAAAAUUUAUAAUUUCUAAUAAAAAUGAAAAAAAAUAUAUUUGUAAACUAAUUUUUAACUAAUGCAAAGAAAAAACCAAAUAAGAAAAGAAAUCAAAUUAACUUUAUUAAAAUACAUCACUCUAAUCAAAUUAUAUUGAUAAAUAUAUAUAUUUAAAAUUAUUAAUUCAUUUAUAUCCGGAUCCGGGUCUAAUACGGGCCGGAAUACUAUAUUCCGUAUCCGACCCGUUUUUUGUUUGACAAAACGGAUCCGGAUCCGGAUCCGGAAAACGGAAUUAAAUCCCUACCCAUACCCGCAAUAAUUUCACGGAUCCGGUCCGGAUUCGGGUCUAGACCCGACCCAUUGACAGGCCUAUCCAUAAUACUAGUUGCGAGGAUCCCAUGACUGAGAAUGUGUCAAAACAGAGAGAGGGAUUGCGAGGGCUAAUAUGUGUAUUGCUGAAAGUCAUGAAAGCCGGUACAUAUACUGUGUCUAUAAUAUGUUAUCCAUUGUUUUUGAACUAUAUCACAAAUUAUUCAGAUUCUUCGGACAUCACUCUUUAUUUCAAGAAAAAAGAAAGAAAGAGAAAAAAAAAAAAAAAAGAAGAAGAAAGGCUGGCCAGAAAACAUCUUCAGAAAAUUUUUGUACAUGAUUAGGAGAAUUAUUUUCACUUUUUGUAUAUUUUGAUAUCUCUCCACCUAGAUUCCAUAAAAUAGCUAAUAUUGGUUGAUGCAGCAUAUACUCCACAUUUAAAAUACAAAUCUCCAGGCCCUCGAUCUUUUGUUUCCGCUUUUUGUUCCCCAUCAAUGUAAACAGUCACUCUUCCUCCAUCCACAUCAUGGAUCAAAUUAACUUUGAACCAUUUAUCGUACAUUUGAGUAGCCAAAAUGCCCCUAACUGCACCACAAUAAUAGUUCAUGUUUCCAUCGAUGAUUCUUAGCAUUAUAGUUGUUGCCCCAUGGGAUGCUCCAUGAAUCUGAACUAUUGUAGCGCCAGAUGUACCAUUUGGCACAAAUCCAUACCCUUCAAAUUGCCAUACUCCAGAUGAGUAGUCAAGUCCCUGCAUGUAUGGAAACGAUCAAGAUAUAUAUAUACAUAUACAUACAUGUAUAUAUAUAUAUAUAUAUAUAUAUAUAUAUAUAUUGACACUAAGCAGUUUUGGUGAUUUCAACUCCAAUCACCAUCACAAGUUAGGACAUGCUUUGCUUUCAAGUGAUGAUCAAGAUUAUAAAGAUCAUGCAUAAGGGUUAUGCUAUACUCAAAUGCAAAAGAAAAAGAAAAUCAACUAUCAUUCGGAAUAACCAAUCUAUAAUCCUAUGCUAAAUAUUUAGCUUAAUCAAGAUAACUGUUUCUAUGCUAAAAAGAAAAAAAAAAAAAAGAUAACCGUUUCUAUAGAGUUAAUUGUUUUUUUAAAAAGUACUAGUUUCAAGCGGUUUCGAAUCUUCUGUUCCCAAAUUAGUCUCUAUCCUCUCUGUCCCUUCUUUGUAUAGUUGCCACGUGUUUCUAACUUUUUGAUAACCCAAACUCAAACAAAUCGAAAAUCAUCAGUUGACAAGUUUACUUAAAACCAAUUAAAAUAGAUAACUCAAACUUUUUUGCCUUUGGAUAAAUCAAGCGGUUCCAAUAACUCAAAACUAUUUUUUUUCUUUGGAUAAAUCAAGCGGUGGUUCCCUAAUUAGAAUUUCUUCAACUCUAGUUUACAUGAAGAAGAUUGCAAGUUUUGGUUUUGAGUAAACUUGUCAACUGAUUAUUAUCGGUUUGUUUGAGUUUGGAUUAUCAAAAAGUUAGAGAUAGGUGGCAACUAUACAAAUAAGGGACAGAAGGGAUAGAAUCUAAUUUGAGGACAAAUGAUUCGAAACCGUUUCAAGCUGCUGCUUAACAGAAUACAUCUUUGAAAAAACGACUUAAUAUAGUAGAAGUAACCUAUAAAGCUACCACAUUGAAAAUCAAAAGUUUUUCAAAGAAUAGAAAAGUUAAUAAGACAUAAUGCUUUGGAAAAUUGUCAAAUUUGCCGAGAAACAUCAUAUAUAUCUAACGACAUUAAUAUGAAGCAAGCAUAUUAUUAGGCAGGAGAAGGUACAAAAGCAAUUGACAAGUUCAGGUUUGGCUUUUUCCUUGCUAACGAAAUUGAGGGUAUCAAAUUUAUUUAUUACGGUAUCUAAGGGACCAGGGUCAAUAAUAUCCUCUCGAAUUUUCCAAUUGAAGCGAAAACAAGAAAAGUCAAGAACAAUAAUAUCCCAUUCUGUAAGAAUAACGACAUGUAUAGGUACUUAAUUCUGAAUAUACAAACUAUAGAUAGCGGAGAAUUUUGAAUGCAAAAAUAUGGUGAUUUUUGAGGGAUGAGAUAUUUACCUUAACUAACCUUUAUAAAAUGUUAUCUAAAAAAAUAAAACAGAGAUUAAUUAUUCGUCAAUCAAUGAGCAGAUACAUAGAGGAAUAAAUUAAAAUGCAAAACUAUGGUCAGUUCUGAUGAAUGGGAAAAAGUUACCCUUAUCCGAAUUUCAGUCCGUGGCAUUGUGUGACUGUUGGGAUUAUGUGGUUUAUCAUCAGCAUAAACCCACAACCUGCGAGUUCCAUUUUCAUAAGAAUACCGCUGAUUCAAUGGUAUAUCAUAUGGCCUCUGAAUCUCAAAGUUGUAUUCUGUUAAUGGGACAUUUGUGAACCCCUCAGUUGGAUCAGCAACAGAUUCCAUAAAGACAUUAGUGUAUAAGCUCAUUAAUGAUGUUAAGAAAACCACAUUUUGUAUAGAAAAUUUCGUCAUUAUUUCCACCCACUCCACUUCUUUACUGGAAAAAUUUUGAGGAAGAAAACUGUUGAGCUAUAUAUGGUUAGGCAAUUAUCAAGUAUUAAUAAGGGAACAAGAUUUGAACGUUUGAUUUUUUAAAGUGUGAUGGUGUAAAAUUAAAUUUAUUAAUCAACCUACUCAUCAUUGCGUCACAAUAAAUUUUAUUUAGGUACAAAUUGAAAAUGCAUGAGCCAAUUGAUUGUCUGAUGCAGGUUAGUAGGACUGCACGAGCACUUUAUCAGUGUUUUUUUUGACUGUUUUUAGCGUUCCUGCUCCAAACCCUCUAAUCAUUUGCAAAUAACUAAAACAUAUGACAAUGACAGGGCAAAAGAUGAUGACCCAAAGUGGCCAAAAAUUAGCAUCUAACAAGUUAUUGAUUGGACUUAUUUAAGAUUUUUGGUAGAGAAAAUUUCAAACUUUGCAGUCUCAAUGUGAAUGAGUAUAACUUUUGGUGGAUGCAUGAUCUACUGUGACAUAAGCAUCUUUGGAAAAUUUCAACUUAUUGUAAUGAAUAAAAUUCAUUACUAAUUUACUAUGACUAGUCCUAGUAUUGGGUGGUGUGGUUCGUGAACAAUACAAAUAGAGUCGGUAAUGUAUAAUUUUUUGCAUGAUGAAAUCAGGUAUACCCAAAUCCUUUCAAUUAUUCUGCGAAUCUGAAGCUUUCUUGCUGGAUUUAGCAGUAUGUUUGUGCCCCUCUGUAACAUUGUCUGGCUGUUAGUCACUUUCUGGGUCAACAUGUUGAGGCAUGCACACCCGUGAUUGUGUAAAAUAUACUUGCUCUUUGAUCCCUGGGACAAGAAAUGAUCAUUGCCGUAUCAACGAUUGCUGAAUUUUUUACCAAUUGAAGUCAUCAGGCUAAAAUCUUGAGUAUUUUUUAACAAUGAUCAAAGAUUUAUGGAUCAAAUUACUCUUUCACUAUUUUUGACUCUUUGGCUUUUUCCUCCUGUGGGAUUUGUUUGAAUCAUUGGAAAAAAAAAAAAAAAAAAAGAACAGACACAGAAAGAAUAGUGAAUAGAACCUAGAUUUUCUGGUCAAAAGAUUGGCUCCUUAAUCCAUCCUUGCAGCAUUGGUCUACCAUUAGCUCAGAUUUCAAUCCUAUAUAUCCACUUAGCUUACAUUUGUUGCUUCGUAAAAACUUUUAUUAAUGAAAUUUUAUAGGGUAAAUUACAUUUUACCCCCCUAUGGUUUACCCUUUUUUUACAUAACCUCCCUAUGGUUUCAAAAGCUAUACAUAACCCCCUCAUAAUUUGGAUUAAAGUGUCAAAGUAACAGAAAUAGUCACUCGUAACGAAACUUCUAAAAAUGUCGAAAUUACCCUUAAAAUACAUGACACAUUAAUCCCGUGUAAUUUUUAUAUUUUACCAUGUAGUCCCCUUAUGAUUUAAUGUUUUACCAUAUAACCUCCUUAUGAUUUUCAAAAUAUACACAUAACCCCCCUUGGUUAAUAUAUAAAUUUCAACUUUAUAUAAGGGUAUUUUUGACAUUUUAGGUGACGCCGUUAUGAAUGAUCAUUCCCGUCACUUUGACACUUUAAUCCAAAUCAUAAGGAAGUUAUGUAUAGUUUUAUGUGGAAAAAAUGCUAAAUCACAGGGGGGUAAAUUGAAAUUUGCCCAAUUUUUUGUGUUACGGAAGUCUGUAACUAAUGUUCAUUGGGACACAGAUGGUAUAGCCACGUUUAAUCUGUUUGAAUUUUACCAGAUGAGAAAUUAUUCCUGCAACAUAUAAUUUCUACCUUAAUUGGAGCACCAGAUAAUUAUUCACUUCAGAUAAUUAUUCACUUCUUACUACUGUUAGAGCCAAUUAGCUAAGCGAUUAAGGUUGAGAUCUCAAAAAUUUGAUGUACCAACUUAAAGUCUAUUCUAAUUAGAUAAUAGUAAGUGCUCAUUCCACUACUUGCGGAUCAACUGGUUGUAGUGGUACUGUUCAAUUGUAAACAGUACAUAUUGAUUUACUUUGUAAUCAUAUCAAUCAAGUAUUAAUCUUCUUGGAUUUCAGGUUUAUAAUUAGUUGCAUGAGGACCGUUUUAGGACAUAGCACCACCGUAUUAUAAAAUGUGAAAAAAAAAAUGUACCAGUCCUAAGUACAGUUUAGACACAAUACUUGCACUGGCAUAAAAUGCAAGUAAUAAUUAAACAACAAGGAUAAUUUUAUUUUCUCAAGCAAAAGAAAUACAGUUGUAAUUAAUUCUUAUUUUUCCCCUGGGUAAAUCAUCCUCCCUUUUUUGUAUAUUUUGAUAUCUCUCCACCUUGAUUCCAUAUAAUAGCUAAUGUUCUUCGGUGCAGCAUAGACUCCACAUUUGAAGUACAAAUCUCCAGGCCCUUGAUCAUGAGUCUCAAACUUUUGUACACCAUCGAUGAAGACUGUCACUUUUCCUCCAUCCACAUCAUGGAUCAAGUUAACCCUGAACCAUCUAUCAUAAAGGCCAGUGUCUACAAGUUCACUACUGUAAUACCUCAUGUCACCGUCAUAAAUUCUCAGAAUUAUAGUUGUUGCACCGUGAGAAGCUCCAUGGAUUUGCACAAUUGUUGCACCAGAUGUCCCAUUUGGCACAAAACCGUAUCCUUCAAACUGCCAAACUCCAGAUGAGUAGUCAAGCCCCUGCAUGAUGAUUGAAAUCGAAACUAUUCCUAUUAGAUGAGUCUAGCUUCCAAUUCAAAGCAACACAUUUUUGCAUAUGUGGCAUGCAUUUACCUAUAAACUUGCUGUUUUAAAUAGACCUGACCUUAAGUCAGUAUUCUGAAAAGGAAAAAAAAAAAAGGUUUUGGUUACCUGAAUUCGAACUUCUGUUCGUGGUUGGGUGUGACUAUUGGGGUCGUGAGGUUUGUCAUCAGCAUAAACCCACAAACGGCGAGUUCCAUUCUCGUAGCUGUAUCUUUCUUCGAGUGGCACAUCAUAUGGCCUUUGAAUUUCGAAAUUAGCUUCUGUCAAAGGGAUGUUUGUGAAUCCUGUUGUGGGAUCGAUAGAACAUACUAAGUAUAGAUUGUUUGAUAUGUAUAAGCAACUAAAUACUAUGAGGAAAAUCGCAUUUCCUUUUGAAGAACUCAUAGCUUUAAGCUUUUCGCUUGCUGAGCUCCCCUUCUUCAAGUAGUAGAAGGAUGAGAGCUGAGUGAGGAAUGUAGCUGUGAUCUUAAUUUAUAUAGCGGAACAACAUAGUAAAUUUUGCUUUAUAAUAUGCCUUUUUUUUUUUGGAGGGCAACGAACUAUGGAAACGCAAGGGAACAUUUAAUAUGAUGUAAAUCGUGUUAAAGAUGACUGAGUAAAAAAUCAAUGUGAAACCCAAAUAUUGCCGUAUCAACCCAGUCCAUUUAUUUGUCCCUACUACAAAAAAAGUUACCUCGCCUUAGCUAAAAAUAAUCGUGCUUAAUUGUAAUUUGCAUUUCUUAUUUGGAUUUACUGGUUUUUAAAUCAAUUCUUACAUUGUUUGGCGGAAAUUAAAACAAUAAGCCUAAUAAGAAAAUUUUCAGCAAUAUGUGGGGAAACAAUUUUGCACUGUAAGAGAAAUUCAAGCAAAAUUCAAGAAUCUUGCUGUAUUUAGUUCAGUUGUUCAAAUGCAAAUAAUUUUGAUAGGUCUAUAUUAGUACCUUUUUUUUUUCAUGGCUCCAUUUAUAUAGGAUAACUAUCAUAGUCUGCAUCAAGAAGAGAUGUUUCCUAAGGUUCUUCUCCGAGAGCAUAUUAAUUGCUAUGUAAUUUUUUAAAAUAAAUUUUUCUAAUAGGGAAAGAGUGAGAGAGUAAAUGAGAAAUGAGAAACAUUGAUUUUUUUAAUUAGAAUUGAGAGAGGAGAAGGAUAUUCAAGCGAUGUUUGAUUUGGUAAAUAAUGUUGAUAAUAUACUUUCAUGCUUCCAUUCGUAUAGUGAUAUGAAGAUUGCGAAGUAAUAAAUCCACAAUUGGUAUCUGAAGCUAGUAUUCUUUUAUUUUAGUGGAGGUCUUUGUUAUGUGAAACAUACAUGAAUUUCAGGCUUUUAGAAAAAAAAAAACAGAUAUUACAUGGCAUAACUUUCAAAGUCUUCAUCCGGCCAAUGAGCUGAACUUAAUUUCUCAUACUUUUCAGUAAGGUGAGAUUUGAAGGAUGCCGGAUUUUUAUAAUCGUCAGUAAAAAUUGCACUACACUAUAUGUUCUCUGACAAAGUGCCAAAGGAUAAGUUUUAAUUUUUGUUAGGGAUAAUUUCAGGAGUUUUCUAGCUAUUUCACUGGUCUCUCUUCGGGUUUUAAAAAUUACACUAACCUCCCUCGAGGUUAAUUAUUUUGUAACAUUUAGGUCUAACCAACAAAUAAAAAAUAAUAUUAGGAGAAAGAAAAUAAUAUGAUUCCACCAUUACCUUUCAUCUACUAAAUUGUUUAAUUAAUCUAAUACCCAUCCAAAUAUUAAAGAAAAUACUAGAAUUUGCUGUUUAAUUUAAAUUGUUUAAUUUAAUACCCUUCAUAGGGGCUUAAAUCACCUAUGACAUAAAAAAUAGUACAUUAUUCUAUAUAUUUUAUUAAAUAUAAGAUCUAAAUUACUCUUUUCAAUUACAAACUCAUAGUCAAACACGAUCAACAACAAAUAAUCAAAAAAAAAUCUAUAACCAAAAUAUUACAAAGAGUGAACUUUAAUACCAUAAAAUUCUCAGGAACUAACCUUAAUAUGUUAAUAAGAAUAUUUAUGAUGUUAAUGUUUAUUCUCUAUAAUAUUUUGGUUGCAAAUUUUUUGAUUAUUUAUUGUUGACCAUGUUUGAUAAAUGGGUACGUAACUGAAAAGAGUAAUUUCGAUCUUGUAUUAAGUGAAAAAUAUAACAUGAUUUACUGUUUUUUAAUACUAUAUAUAAUUUGAUCCCUAAUGAUAAAUAGCAAAUUUUAUAUUUUUCUUUAAUGUGUGGGUUAGUAUUAAAUUAAUUAAAUAAUGUAAUAGCUGAUAGGCAAUGAUGUAAUCAUAUUAUCUUUUCUAUCUCACUAUUACUUUUUAAUUAUCGAUUGAGUUUAAAUGUUACAAGAUAAUCAAUCUCAAGGGAGGUUAGUGUAAUUUUUGAAACUUGAAGGGAAGCCAGUGGAAUAGUCAAAAAUCUCAUGAGAGGUUUUUGACAUUAUCACUUUUUGCUAUACUAUUUCUCACAUUACCGGAAUUAGUGCUAAAUGUUCACUCAAUGUGAGUGCAAUAAAAAAAAUACUUAAUAUUAUGGUCAUAUAUUUUAUAUAAAUUUUCAUUGCUGAAGCAAACCUUAAUCUUUUAAAUCUUUUUUAUAAAAUAAUUCUAUAUUGGUAGUUAUAUUAAAAAUAUAUACUUAAAUACUCCCUCCGUUCCACUUUGAUAGGUUUGUUUUUCUUUUCAUCCGUUUAAAAUUAUAGUCCACUUUCUAAUUGAAGAAAUUUAGUUAACUUGUAGCUUAUCUAAAAUGCCCUUAUUUAAUGUAGAUUGUUAUUGAGUAUAACUUAACUUAUUAAGUGUAAAGUUAAUUAGUCAUACUCCAUUUAAUGCAAGCGUAUUUUAGGAAUAUAAUAAGUUAGAUUUAUUUUUUCCAACAAAGGUAACCAACUUUUCUUAAACUGUGUGGGGAAAAAAUCAAACCUAUCAAAGUUGAAUUGAAGGAGUAAUUAAAAGUAAAAAAUAGUCAUGGAUAGUUAUCUUAAUCGCAUAUGUAUAGGUAGUUAAAGUAAGCAUAGUUUCCACAAGGGCAAAAAUGAAUGUUUAUAAAGUGAUAAUGAAUGUUUACCCUAAACCCCUUCCUGUACUCUUUUAUACUAGUUAUAAGGGCACACUUGAUGUAUAUGCGCAUUUAAGAUAAAUCACUUUUUAUAUGGACGUACGAAAUCAGUACAAAAUUUUCAUAAAUAAAAAUAUAAACUUUGAUCUUUUAAAAAUUUUUUGAUUAAAAUUUCAAUGAACCUGGUGGUUACAAUAUUUGUGGGUGGUUAUGGUGAACCUUGUGGUUGUAUUCAUUAGCAAUAUAAGUAACAUGUGAUAGAUAUCAAAGGCAUAAUUAAGUGAUUAUGAAAGUAAAAUAAAAAAAUCUAAAAAGUGACAAAAAGGGUUUACACCGAAUAAAAUGCUCUCGUAUUGUGUAUAGCUUGAAGUGCUUUUUCUGCAAUUUUUCCCCCCAUUAUGUUUCGAACUAUAUUUCUUUCUGUGGCUCGGUUUUGCUUGGUACUAGGGUUUUGAUUUUGAUCAGACUAUAUGUAGACUCUUUAGAACUGGCGAAGUUGUGUUUCCUUUGGGGUUUGAUUUUUCUCCUGUACAUGAAGUGUGAAGUACGACCCAACUUAGUUUUAAAGAAGGUGGAUUUUGAACUGGUCCACAACUGUCCUAUAGGUACUCACAGGACAGAUGCAAUUAAAGUUUGAAAGUACCCACUGCAGAAAGCUUGAAAAUUACUGAUGGUUUUUUUGGAUUUUACCUUGCAAUUGCAUGUGAAAAAUUUUGCAAGGUGCAUUCCACCUUUAUGUGUAUCCAAAUGUAAGUUCUCCACAAAAAUUGGCUAUGAUUAUGGUGGAUAAUGUAAGAAAUUUGCUUAUUCCAAGCUAUAGUAAGAAAACUGAACUCCAGACAUGAAAGCUUGCGUGUUCCAAGUUCCAACUUGUGAUCAUUCAUUUGGUACUACGUGGUUUGUAAUUCAUGCACACUUACUUUAAUGGUAUCAUCUCAUGUCAUUUGAUUGAUACUUAGGUGGCACAAAAGUGUCCCUUUUUUGUAUUAGGAUUAAUAGAAAUGUUCCCUUUUCUCUCUUUGGUAGGAAGUUAGCAGGAAUGAUUAGGAUCUCUCUUUGGAAAUACAUGUCUUUUCUUGGAGUUUUUGCUUUAUUAAUUACAUGAUAUUCAAGGUUAAAGUAUACUAGCUCUGUGCUCUAGUCAAGUUGAAAACAUUAUUGUCAGACUCAGAUUAGAUCGACCAGUCGAAUCAGAAAUCGGCCAGGUAGUCAGUUCGAGUCAGAUUAAAAACUCGAAAAUUAUAAAAUCGGUAAAAUUUGGUCAAAAUUUGGGUUUGACUAGUGAACUGGUAGAACCAUAUCAAACCUGAUUUUUCCCUCCCCAUUUUUUGCCUUUUUUUUAAAAAAAAAUUAGUAAACUUUGUCUUUAGUCCUGACUCUUGACUCUGUCUAGUUGACCGAUUAAACAAGCAAAAAAGAGGAAAAAUAUGGAAAAAAUAACAAAUCCAACCCAAAGUUUUCCAAAGGCAAAUUAGGGAUGACAAUUAGGGCGGGUGCCUAUGAGAAGCUAAUGAGGUGGGGCGAGGGGGAAUUUUUUCCUCAGUUUAGAAAAUCCCCCGCCCCGCCACCCAUUUAAAAAAUAAUAAAUAUAUAAAUGUACAUAAUUAUAUAUAAUAUUUAAUUUAAUUAGUUACAAACUUAUAAUAAUGAUAUUAUUAUUUAUAUGUAUUAUAUAAUGUAUGAUAUUCACCAAUAGUGAUGAUAUUCACCAAGUCGUCACUAAUGUAAUCCCCAAUAAUUCCCAGCCACUCGAAUCUUGUUGGCGGGAAUGUAUUUGUGAGGACAAAUCCAAGUUGUCACAAAUUAAUUAACUCUUGUAAGGCAAUUGUGAUGACUUUGAAAGUUGUGGUUAAAGACCUCAUUCUGUGACCACUUUUCUGUCGUUGCUAAGAAAUAUUGCCACUGAUGAUCAAAUUUGUUGUAGUGAUCAAAGUGACCUAAUUUGUGAUUAGGGGUGCAACUCAAUCACAGUAGUUGGACUCGAGCUCACAGGUAGUUUGAUAAACUACUCGAUUCAAACUCGGUCAAUACUCAUAUGUGACUGUAAUUCAAGGUGAUUCUAGAUGGGGUACUUAAUAAUGGGACAAGGCUAGAUGCUUCAAUCUUUUUCCAUUUUUGUUUUUGACAUUGAUGUAUUCUGAUGCAAUAGUUGUUGAUAAUUGGAAGAUCUGAAUGUAGGAAUUUGUAGUACUUUUAGCUUACGGCAAGAACAUUAAUGGCAAAACGAGUUCAUAAUGGUUAUCAUUAAUUAAACUAGGAUGCCAUACCCAGUUCGAAUCAUCUCCUUAAAACUAUUUUUUUCGAUAUAAUAUUCAUAUUAUCAUCUUCUUAUUAAUUUGUAUUUUCUUUCUUGAGCUUUUCUAACAGUACAUAAUGGACAUUCAAUUAGGCAAACUCGUCGAGAAUUUUUUCAUACGCCCAUUAGCUAAACCCUCUUUUUUCUUCUUUUUUAAGGCAAUUAAUGUUAAAACUAGUUAAUAAAAUGAUUAUCAUUAAAUAAACUAGUUCACCACAUGAUUAUCAUUGACUAAACUAACUUGUGUUAGUAACAUGAUAAGACUAACUGAACUAGUUGGUAACAUGAUUAUCAUUAAUUAAACUAGCACGUUAUAUUUAUAAAUAGGUAAAACUUCAUCUUAAGAUGCCUUGUGGAGAAUUUUUUGAAAGGGAAAAGAAAAAAAAACAAUGGUAAAAGCAACCAAAAAAGUAAUUUGAAACAAAGUCAUAAUAAUACCUUAGGGUCUUGGCUCUACCACAGCCUUCCUCUCCAUAAUUUUGCGGAGGGAAAGUACAGUUGAUUUAGGGAGGAAAACAAAUGAAAUGGAUGGAUAAGAGACACACCAAAAAAGCCUAAAAUUUUCAUCCUAGAAGUGGAAAGAAACAGUCGGAUACGAAACAGUGCUUAGUAGAACUUUAUCAAGUAGUAAACUGAAUAAAAACUUCCCAGACCAAACUACUUUCACUCUUUUUACUCUUAAGAUAGCCAUCCUAUAUAAUCUUCACCACAAUUGGAGAAAUAUCAGAUAACCUCUCUUGGGUCUCUUCAAUGGAACAAGAAAACAAGCUUCCUUGAUUAAAUAAACUAAGAGGACAUGCGUAAAUUGUAAAAAUGUGUUAUCCAACUUUCCAACUUCCAAACAAAAGGGCAUUGUUUCUUUACUUUUCUUUUCUUUGUUUGAACUCCCAAACAAAAAAUGUACAACCCUUCUCUUCUCUUCUUUUUUCUCCUAACUUACCAUUUUUCUUGUUUUCAUUUCUCAUUAUAACUCUCAAACUAGGCCUAAGUAUUCAAAGAUGUUCAGUUGGUCUUAGUAAACUCCAUAUAAGAUCCUCCUAAAAGGAAAUUAGAUAUUGUCUCCUCAAAAAUGAAAUGUUUUUUCUCUCUCGAAAAACAGUGAAAUGUUUUGGACUCUGACAAUAGACAAUGUAAAUCGUGUUAUUGAUGCACUAAAUGGUCUACAAAAUAAAUAAAAUAAAAUUUCACGGACUAUUUUGUCUAAAAUGCAAAUUGAGGUGACGAAUUCAGACUUGACAAUCAAAAGAGUGAUCUAAUUUGUGAUACACUCACAAGAUCCGUGUAACUAGCCCUAAUAUGUGCCAAUACUUAACAAAUUUUCACUUUCUAGCACAUCUUUUUCAGAAACAUUCAAUUCCAUUCUCGAUCCUAUUGUCUUUCUUUAGAUUGGAGAGAUGACAGUUUACUAUUACGAUACUGAGGUAAACACACUAAUAUUAUUAAAAAUAGUGCAGUAAAAGAGUGAAACAAAAAGUGGAUUAUAGGAUCUCCACAUGAGUGAAAAAAUAAGAGUUUUUUUUUUGUCAAUUGUCAUUAUCUACACCUAUUUUUAUUCUAACUUAUUCUAGGGAAUAACCCAACAGGGUCACGGAAAAUCGACGGAGACUGAACCACCAUCGAAUCAUACAGUUGUAUUACACACCUAUAUGAAUUUAAGAAAAAUCACGUUAAGUAGCAACUUUAAUGGGUGGAUUUAGUUGGUUAAAAAUGGGAUAAGUGGUCAUGGGAUACUCUAUACACACACACACACGUAGUGAAAAUAUGGGAUAUAAAUUAUAAUGGUAGAUUGAGAGGACCAGAAUAUGUGGAGUGGAUGAAAGAAAGUGGGAUACUGGAACCUGGAUUCUUAGCUAAAACCCUGAUCUCUGUGUUCAUAUGAGACGCCCAAUGAUCCAAUCCAACGUGAUUCAAGAUGGGAUACUUCCUCAAUAAUGGGGAAGGCUAGAUGCUUCAAUAUUUUUCCAUUUUUGGUUUUGACAUUGAUGUAUUGUGAUAGUAAUACAAUAGUUGUUGAUAAUUGGAAGAUGUGAAUUUAGGAGUUUGUAGUACUUUUAACUCACGGCAAGAACAUUAACAGCAAAACUAGUGCCUAAUGUUUAACCAUUAAUUAAACUAAGGAUGCCAUACCCAGUUUGAAUCAUCUCUUUUAAAACUAAUAUUUUCUGGCUUCUAAUUAAUUUGUAUUUUCUUAGUUGGGAUUCAAUUAGGCCAAUUUGUUGGGCAUUUUCUUAGACACCGUCAGCCCCCCCCUCCCCUCCCCCCCCCAAAACAACACCUUUUUUUUUUUUCCUUUUUUAAGGUAAUAAAUGUUAAAACUAGUUAAUAAAAUGAUUAUCAUCAAAAAAACUAGUUCACAACAUGAUUAUCAUUGACUAAACUAGCUUGUGUUAGUAACAUGAUAAGACUAACUAAACUAGUUGGUAACAUGAUUAUCAUUAAUUAAACUAGUGUUCAAUGCACAUCCAAUGUGUGUGCAAUCAAAAAAUACAUUGGUCAUAUAUUUUAAAUAAAAUUUUUAUUGCUGAACUUUAAUCUUUUAAAUAUUUUUCAUAAAAUAAUUUUAUAUUAGUAGUUAUAAUAUUUAGGAAUAGUUGUGUUGAAAACAUAUACUUAAAUAGUUAAAAGUAAAAAUAGAUGGGUAGUUAUCUAUAAUCAAAGUAAAAAGAGUUUUUAUAAGGAUAAAUUCAUAAAAUGAUAAUAAAUAUUAAACCAAUGUUAAUAACAAACCUCUUUUCUCAAGUUUUAUAUAUAGUAUAUAUAUACACUAGCACGUUAUAUUUGUAAACAAGUAAAACUUCAUCUUAAGAUGCCUUGUGGAGAAUUUUUUCAAAGGGAAAAGAUAAAAAAAAGGAAAAAGAACAAUGGUAAAAACUACCAAAAAAGUAAUUUGAAGCAAAAGUCAUAAUAAUACUCGUUAAACUUGAUCUUGACAAAAGUCAAAUUUCACCAAACUUGUUUCGUGAUUCUUUUACUGUCACCGAAGGCAUCGGAGUCUCUGUCUCAACUGUGCUUACACUCGACAUGGGGCUGUUGCCGGCUUGGCGGUCCGUGGUAUUCAAGAACCGGGGAAGCGGUUUAGGCCUUGCCGCAAUAGCUUAUGUGGGCGUGGACUAUUUCCGCCACCUGUCUCCGCGGUGGCACGAGCGAUUGCAGCCAGUUUUGUGGACAUUUUUAGCCAUUGCAGCUGUUAUUCGUGUUCCUUUUUAUAAGCACUGGUCAUCUGAGCUUCGUUCUGCUCUGCCCUUCAUAUUUUCUUUGAUUUUUAUGCUCUCUGCUCUGCUUUUGGAAGCCAUCUCUGUUCGGUUUGUCACGGUUGUUCUUGGCAGUGAUUGGCACAAGUAUGUACUGAACUUCAGAAAGUUUUCUUUUUUGCUGUUUUUGGGGUAAAAUUUGCUGGGUUUUUGGUUUUGGUGGUUUGCUUUGAAGUUUGAACUUUUCUGGUUGACUAGUAGUAAAGAUUUGUGAUGUGGGUUUUGCUUUAACUGUAGUUUUGGUUUUGUAACGGAUUAGCUUGCUACAAAUUACCAUAAUUAGAAACGAAGAAAAUCUGAUCUGCAUUUGUUAGUGUUGGAUCUCGUUAUUUUAAGCUAAGAUCUGCUUGUCUUGAAGUGCAACCUGGCUUGUUUAGUAUAGCGGUUAAGUUUAUUUUUCCGUUAUGUAAAAGAUUCCAGUUUGAUCUGUCAUCUAAUUGAGGAAAUGCUGGUGGUUUCGAACGGUGGCUCUAGAUUUUGCUUUUAGUACUCGUGCAUAUAGACAAGCAAUGCCUGGUUGUUCAUAUGUAUGUUACUUUGUUGAUAAAGCUGAAGCUACACUUGUUAUUGUUGGCAUUUUUUUUCUCCGUCCAAAUUUUGAUCAUUAACCACGAACGAGGUUAAUUUUAUUCUAAUUAUGUUUUCUUUAUGACAAGCUAGAACUACUUGGGAUCUUUUUGCUAUCCAGGGGUUUAGCUUGGAGCUGGCAAAAGCAUGCAAACAAUAAAUAAGCUUGUAAUAGUUGAAGCAUUAACAUGAACUAAGCUAAACACAGUAUGUAAAAGGGAUAUGAUUAAGAGACCCAGUUUUGGUUAUUAAUAAAUAUCUGACUACUUGAAAGGAUUGGAGUUAAGUUGAAUUCCUUCGUUCUGUUAAAUUUCAGUUUGUGUAUCAUAAUACUAAAAGCUUUAGGAAAUCUAUUUAGGGUUACUAAGGAAAAAAUGGCAGCCAAGGGAGCUGAAAACAAUGUCAAUACAGAUGAUAAUACCUUUUGCUGCUAUUAGAUAUUGAUCAAAUAAGAUUCAGUAACCAGAAAGCAAUUGAUAGAAGCUCCUAAAUUUUCUUUCUUCUUGUUUUGGUAUCUGAUAUGCGAAACAACUUAACUUUUAUUAAUGAGGAGGAAUCAGGGGAAUUGAGGAUGGAUUGUCAGUGACCUGUUUUUUCUCGAGUAAGGUUGCUGGACUGCAUUUUCUUUCCUGACUUUUAGAAUCAGUUUCUGCACGAGCGGUUGUACAACUUGAGGUGCUGCUUGUGUUGUUGGAUUGCAAUUAUUAAAUUGUGCUACUUUUCCCACUAAUGAGUCUUACUUUCCAAAUAUAAGAAGGAGGAACAGGAAACUGAUUGAGUACAGCUUGCUAAAUUGAAACUGUUGAAGGAGUUGUAUACUUCUAGCAUUCCUAGGAAAAUAUUUGGAACAGAUAGGUAUUGAAUCGUCAUGUUCCACAAAAACAUUUACUUGCAAAACACAGUUUAAUAUGCAGCGGCUGUGCAACACCCUGAAUUUGAUUACUUGCUGUGGCUAGUUUAUCCUAUAUAAUUAUAUUUGUAAUGUUGAACAGUUCUGCUCAGGCUCUACCUGAUGUUGGCCAGUGGUUUCUGCUUGCAUUGAACGAGAAGCUGCCCCAAACAAUGGUCAAUUUGUUGAGAGCUCGUAUAAUUGGACUGCACCAUUACCUGAUGUUGUUUGUCAUGCUUGGUUUCUCUGUAUUAUUCAACUCCAUUGAAGCUCCUGGUCUUGGGUUGGGUGCAAGAUACAUGUUUACCAUGGGUGUUGGGCGACUUCUUCGAGCCUUGGCUUUUGUUUCUACAAUUUUACCAUCACCUCGGCCCUGGUGUGCAUCAACUCGCUACCAUAUACCUGCACACGCUCAUCGUUGGGCUCAAAAGUAUUAUGUUCCAUAUGCAACUGAUUCAUAUGCUAUUCGCCAAGUUAUUCAUUAUGAUAUUGCCUAUGGUAUUUGCCACAUUUGAUAUAUCUUAUACCUGGCUCAUUCUUUAGUUUUUCCUACUUUCAUCUGCCCCUCCUGAUUUUUCUCCUUCAUAACACCUUAAAGCUUUGUCUAAUUAAUAUUUUGUGGAAGGCUUGAUCGGUGGGAAGAGGGGCCAUGUCAAAUUAUGUGUUUUAGAUGUGAAUGUUUGUUUUUUACCUGCUUUUAAUUCAGGGUUUAGCAUCUUGUCCUAAGGGCACCUUUGCUCAAUGAACUUCCCAAUGAAGGGUUAAUCAAAUGGCAAAUAUGGGAACAUAAUGCCCAUUGGUGUGUGCAUGUUUCAUUAUUAUUCCCAGUCUGGCAUGUUCUUAAGCCACUUAUGAUGUUGGACCUUUUUUUCCCCGAAAAAUUCUUUGAUGUUUUACUUUUUUAAGGGAAUUAAUUGAGAAAUGUUGUUCGAUCAUGUUUUGCAGCUGAUCCUGGAGACUAUCAUGUUGAAUUCCAUCCUAACUGGGGUUUGAUGAGCUUCCUCAUUGAUUUUCUACGACCUACACCUCCUGAUGGUUCUUCUCCAUGGUACCAUCUACUAAAGAAAGCAGGGGGUGGCUGCAAUGACCUCAUAUACAGUGGCCACAUGCUUGUAUCUGUACUGACUGCUAUGGCAUGGACGGUAGGUGUGCAUAAUGGAUUUUAUGUUUACCCUUCAUUUAGCAGCUUCAGCUACUAGGGACCAGAUAAGUUAGUUAAUCUGCUAUUCAUAUGCAAGUGCAGGAGGCAUAUGGUGGCUUAAGCUCCAUUUUGAUUUGGCUGCUUGUACUGCAUAGUGCACAAAGGGAAAUUCGCGAGCGCAAUCAUUACAGUGUUGAUUGUGUGUUAGCCAUCUACAUGGGGAUCUUUUUGUGGAAGUUGAUAGGCAUUUUUUGGCCAACUAAAGAUGCAUCCAAGAAAAGAAGGCUAAUCAAAUUGGAAAGAGUUCGGGGUAGACUAACGCAAGCUGCCAAGGACUCUGACAUUGAUAGAGUGAGAGAAAUUCUGAAAGAGGUCGAGUUAAGCAGUCAAGUAAGGCAGAACCCUAAGAGCAGGGCUAUGUGGCUGUUUUCUGGUGCAACCAUUUUCUGCACGAUAACCGUGGUGCUUCUUGCCUUCAUGUUGACAUCUGACGGGUGAUUCCCUACUUAAGUUAUACGCUGCCACGAAAUUUACGAGUCGAUUGCAGUGCUCUUAACUGCAUUUUGUUGUGUGAAAACACGAGUAGAUAGAAACCAAACAAAGAUUGUGUUGUACACUAUCAAGAUAGACUGUUAGGUCUGAGGCCACGCUUAUAGGCUGGAUGUUGUAAUAUGGACCUUCACCAGUGAUGUUCCAAUGUAUGUGCAAAGUUCCACAGGUAAUGUCAUUUACCGAACUGAAGUGGCUAACGAGUUCCAGUUUUCAUGGCUGUAAUGUAACACUGGAAAUUUCAUUUAUAUUAAAGACCAUUUUGAUUUUGAAUCAAGUCUAUCUGCCUUUCAAAGUUUGUUUAUUUUGUUUUCUUAUUUUUUUUUGGUGCAUUUAAGAUUUUUUUUUGCCCUAUGCCCGAACACUCUAGUGAGCAUUGCAGUCAUACCAUUUUCUAGGGCAGCUUCAUUAACUAAAGUAGUAAUGUGAUCGGGUCAAGCUUUUGAGUAUUACCACACUCGAGUUCAAAUUGAAUACGAUCUCAAAUAGGUAUUUUCUUGUUUGAGCUCGUCGUGUAUGCAAUUUUGAGUUCACAUUGAACUCAAUCCUGAAUAAUAGGUAUGUUCGAGUUUGACCUUAGUUAUUAUAAGGUAAACUUCUUUUACCAUUCAGCCAAUAAGAACAUCAAAUGCUCUAUUAACUGAAGUAACUCUAAAAUGUUCACCACAAUAAAAAUGGCAAAUUUUCUCGACCUACUGAAAUUUCCUAAUUACCAGUGUACUGGGCUCUCUUCUCCUCCGCUCCCAUAUACUAGACUCUCUGGUCUGAUGCCCCAUUGCCUGAAUACGAGUACAAGCCGUUCUUUCCUCUUUGACGAAGCGGCGUAGCAUUGGGAGAACAACCAGCUUCACGGUUCUUCAUAAGCUUUGCUUAAAGGAGAAGGAAAAAAACCAGUAAUUUAUUUCAAAAUUUUAGCUUUUUUUUUUUUGGCUUUUGUGGAUUAAUUUUCUGUCACGCAAAUGGUUGCACACCACAUGUUUGAUUGAAUGCCUGAAUGUGUAUCAACUGCAUACAGAUGCUGCUGAAGGGUCAAUACAUAUAUGUUGUAGUACCAUCCCGGGAGACGAAGCAUUUGCUUAUAGAUUAAUGUCAGUUUGAUUGCGAUGAUAUGAUUCGCUAGAUAGUGAUAAAAUUCAUCAUGGCACAUAAUUCUGCUACCACAUGUUUGAUGUAGGAUUGGCAGAGGUGUGGAUUGAGGUAGAUGGAGUCAAUGGUGAAAAAGUAUCAGCAGAAGUUUAGGAAGGUGAAAGAAGAGAUGGGUCGAUGGGAAGAGCUUCAAUCUCGGUUAAUUUCACAGUUCACCAGUGCUUCUGCCAUCAUCCAGAGAUUGCAGGUUUUCCCGCAGCAUCCUGUCUAGCCAUGUUUGCAUGUGUGUCUUUCUUCUUAUUGUUUGAUUCCUGAUGAUAUUGAUGUUGGGUUAGCUUUCUCAUUUAGUUACUUCAAGAUCCAAAAAAGUAUGGCGCAUUAGAAUGUGUUCAGGGCAUUCAAGAUGCUGUCUUGGCGAAGCAAUUGGAGUCACUGCAAACUAUUAUGCUCUCCAUGAAUAUGACCUUGUAUGGUUUCUUGUUUUACAUUUUCUUUCUCCUUAAAAGCUCCUUUUAUUGACCUCAAUUCAUUUUGUAACAAAAGUCGGAUAACAAAUUUUGGCAAGGGGUCUCUUCCAGUGUUUAUGUUUAUUUCUGAUUCAGCCAAGUUAGGAAUAGAUAUUUUAUCUUGUUUCUUAAAGAUUGUGUUCACCUGUAUGUCGAGACUUCUACUAACCAAACGUUAAAAGGCCAUUUGAUUGGCCUCCAGAUUUCUUUGUUCCCUUAAAUUUCAUUUCAUGGGUGCUGUCGACCUCAAGAACUCAUUCUCGACCUCAAGAACUCGUGUUUCAGCAAUUGGUUAUCCUAUGUAUGUGUGUGUGUGUGUUUUUGUUUUUUUUUUUUCCCUCCUUCAAUUGUCCCCUGUAUUAGUCUUGAUUUGCAUGUCACAGCACUCCCAUAUAGGAAGCUGACUUUCUGUUCUUCUUCUUUUAUCUUUUUGCUUAAUCCAUCCGCCAUUGAUGUAGGGAAGAUUUUCGUGGUGUUUCUUCAUCCCUUGAGAAAGUUGUUCGUGAUGGUAGGCAGCUAGUUAAAGGAGGUUCUACUGUUGCAACAGCAAAGCAACUGCAGCAAAGAGUUGGUAUCAAACCAAGUCUUGCAGAUUGCCUGGAGGGCCUUAGGCUUCUUAGCGAGAUGCACCAUUCAGAGUAUGCGUUAGAGGAACUUUACAUAAUUCUCAUAGCUAACUUUCCUGUAUGUUGAUGUUAACUCAUCAAGAUUGGGCUCUGGAAACAGAACUUGUUAUUUGUUUCUUUAUUUAAAGUUUUCUCAGAAAUGCAAUCCGAGAGAUGUCAAAAGUUGGGUUAAUCUGAUCAUUUGAUAUGAUUUUGUAGCUAAUUUAUUUUUUAUGGUCCCAGUUUUUUCAUUCGGUCUUCUUUACUAUCUAAGAUUCAAAAUAAGGUCACCCAUGAUAGUUUCAAAUGAGUGUUAAACUUCACAUAAUACGAAAAUAAAUCACUGCCGUUUCUUCUUCACUCUGAAUCAUUUUGUUUGCACUUUCCUGGGAUUAUCUGAUCUUGGUUACACUAAUAUUUUCCUUGACUUUUGAAAACAUUCGCAUUGCAAUUUCUCGGAGUUACCUUUAAGAUGUGCAGGAUAUUAGUGACCAGCUUCCUGGAAUCCAUGUUGUCCUUUUCUCCCUUCAUUUUUCACACUCCAUUUCCUAGUAACCAGUUGAACAUUUUAUUUCAGGUACCUUCUUAAGUCAUCUGUGAUAUCGGCACUUGCAAAGGUUUCCUUGACGCCAAGGUAUCUCUUGAUAGAUGUGGGUGCUUCCCCCACCCCAGCCACCUCUGUGUGAUUAAUUCUUUUGCAUAGGCAAUCACCCAAGUUAAUGUGUAUUGUAUCUUGUGCAAAUUAUCUAAACUUGAGAAAUAGGCAUGACUUGUUUUUGAAAAGUCUGUCAGAUUAUAAUUGGAGGUUAAGGCUGGAGAAGUUGGCCUAGAAUAUUUAGCAUAUUUAGGGCUUUCAGAUAUGUCAAUUAUUAGAAAUAAGUCAUGUUCAAGGUCUUUUAAAAAAAAAAAAAGAGAGGAAAAUUUUGCAGUUUAUGUUGGUUUAAGGCUUUUUAUUAACUUUGAAGGUAAUAAAUGAUGGCAGCCUGGAAUCACCUUUCACAACUAUGAUGCAUGAGAAGAGUACAUUCAUUAUAUAAAUAUUUGGACUUGAUCCUAUGAUUUAGUUAGUGUUUGAUUUUGGUUACCAUGAUACACUACAAAUCUUCUCAAAUUGAUGUUUGGACAGUAAGUAGAAGGGUGAAGCAGAAAAGUUUAACAGCUCCACCCUUAAAAAUACUAAAGUUUAAUGCUCCAAAUUAGAUUAGAAGUUGAGAGUGUCCAGUUUUAUUAAAUAGUGCAGCUCUUAUUUCUUUGUUCAUUGCACAGGAUGGCUGUGCGUAACAUUUUUUGCUGUUCUUUUGGUGUGGUAUAUUUGUCUUUUUCUUCUCCUUUUCCGCCUUUGCCUCUCUUUCCUUUUGGUGAAUUAGUUGUAUACUGUAAUUGCCUCUGAUGCCAUUGAAACAUCUUAGUAUUCUAAUUGUGACUAUGCCACGGCUGAAUUCUAAUUGCAGUGCUAGUGACGAUCUAAACGCCCUUCAGCAACUGCUCGUUGACCAACCUAACAUCCCUAGAGAGGAGGGUAGGUAGUUAAGAGUUUGAUGAACAGAAUUAAUUGCCAUGCUACUAUCUGCUUGUGAUAGAAUUAGGAAGCCCUUGCUAAAUCCUCCAUACGCAUCACAAUAUUGUAGAACUCAACUUUUUUAGAACGUUUCAGAAUUUUUAAUAUCUGUCCUUUACAAUGUCAAAUACUGUACAUCAAAAACUGAAUUCUGGCCUUUCUUGCUGCAGUACAAGGGAUAUUUGAUAUCAUAUUUGCUGAAGACAUCACUUGAUGUUUUGUCCUCGUAUCAAUUGAAGUGCAUUACAAAUCUGUGUUAAGGCAGAAAGAAAGGAGGCACUAGCAAUCAUUUCACCAUCUUUCAGGGAUACCGUUUGAGCAAAUGCAUCCAAUAACAUGUCAUGUCAUUCCUCGGUUAGUUAUGAAGCAAAAAGCUGUCAAAUUCAAGACAGGUUGCUUGUUUGUGGAUCAUUCCCAAGCACGAGUUCUGUUUCCUGAAGAUUAUAUAUCAAAGACUCUAAUCUUCAGUGGGUGGAUGGUAGUUUGGAUGAUUUUAAAGUGUAAAUGAAUCAUAGAUUGUCAUGACAAAGAGUCAGUCAUUUUAUAUAUAUAUUUUCUUUUUUUGGCGUAACUAAAUUGGAUAGAUAAUUUUCACACAUGAUUCAUGAGGCAUAAUCCUGUGCACCUUUGGAGUCUUGUUUGUGCACCUUUGGAGUCUUGUACAAUUUUUAUCAAAUUUGGUCAAUCACACUAAAGAACUCGUGACAGCGUAUAGCAAAGUUUAAGGUCCUGUUUAAUAAAUUCAUUCAGCACUUGAAUUUAAUAGAUUCCAAUCUUAAUAUGUUUAGACGCGUUUGAUAAUCAAAUAUUGAACUUUGAAUUAAUUAAGUGACACUCAAUUUUUUAGACAAAAUUUGCUCCUAAAAUUAAGUGAUAAACUAUUCACUUAUCACUGAAUAUGAUAUGCACUCAAAUGUAUUAAAUUUAAUAGUUAACAAUUCAAAAACUUAAUGAAUUCAGGCUUUAUAUUUCAUAUUUUAUUUUUAUUAAACGCGCCCUAAGCUUAAAUAGAGGCUUAGAAGGAAUUGAUUCAAUCGAGUUUAUGGCGCUUUCAUGAGCCAUAGCAUGAAGGCGUGUAAAAAAACGCCUUGGUCAGGAUAUUUCCUUCGCGAGUUCCGGAAUAGGAGAUAUGUGCCCUGAUAUUUCCACCAUAUCAACGGCUCAAAACCCAUCAAUCCCACCAACCAAACAUCCCAAAUGUGCAUAUUUCAACACCAACUUUUCUGUUUUUUUGUUACUGCAGCUAAAAUAAGCUUUCAUUCAUUCAUCUUGGAUUUCCAAAGUUCUGGGCACGGUUUUAACUGUUUAUCUACUUGGUCCUGAAAAAAUGGCUAUUUCUUUAUCAUCAGCAGCAAAAGUUUGCUCUUUGAAUCCAGAGCCUCCAUUUGCUGCGUCUUCAAAUUCAGCAGCAAAGCUUUCUAGCUUGUCUUCUCUGCAAUUCCCUAGAGAACUACGCCGUUUUCAUGUUGGAAACCGAGCUGUUCAGUCCGGGCAGCCCUCCCGAACUUUACAUGUGGUAUAACUUUCCCAACCCUAUUGGCAUUCGAAGAAAUGAAGAAAUGAAUGCUUUACUUUUGGAAUGUUCUUCUUUUCUGGGUUUACUGUUCUUGUUAUUUGAAUUUUUGUUUUUUUCACAUUUGGUGCUUGUUUUCUGGUUUUGCUACGGAUUUCUGCUUCAUCAAGAUUGGUGCUAUUUAUCGUAAUUCUCUUCAAGACUUAAAUUUUAGGAUGUUUAGGUAGCUUUAGUGAUGAAUUACCUGCUGAAUCUCCAUGGAAACCGUAACUUCACACUUUGGAAUUGGUUGGCAAAUCUGGAGUUUUGAUUGGGGAUUUUCUCGUUUCGUUAUCUUAUGUAAUUAUCUAUGUAUUUCUGUCUUCUGAAUUAUUUUUCUGUUGGAAUUUGUUGUAAAGUUUGAGAAUUUAUUAAAAUUUUAUUAUCGUCGCGAUUUAGUUUGGGUUUAUGUUUUAUGUUUGUAUGUAUUCGAGAGAGUGCAAAACAGUUUGACUAUUGGGACGAUUCUGUUAGUCAGAAUGCAGCUAUACACACAGAUUGUGUUAAUGCUGCUAUAUAGAAAGGAUGGGAUUGUCUUUGAUGUAUGGGAAUAAAGAUAUAGUUGUUGUGGAAGUAAAGUACAAAAUUGAAUGAGUAGCUACAAAUAACGAAAUUCAUGGGGAGAGAGAUUAGAUGAUGUUGUAGUUGUGAAACGGUAUGUGUUAUGUUUAAUCUUGAUAACUGGCCUCAUUUGGUGGUUAAGUGGACUGAUUGGUCGAUCGGGAUGAGUUGAUCGGUUUAGUUCCAGAAGGGAAUUUAUAUGAACUGCUACAGAAUAAGAGUAUUUAAGAUUUUUAGCUUAGGUGAUCAGAGUUAUUCUCACAUAUAGCAGUGCUUACUGCAUUCACAUUAGGGGCAAUUAACUUGCAAACAAGUUGCAGCAAGUGGAGGUGUAUGAGUUGUAGUGAACUUCCCGGAAGAUGAGUGGUGAAAUCAUCAUAAUAUGUAUUUUAGAGACCAAAACGAAUCAACUUCAUGCAGAUGGAUUUUACCUGCAGAGGAAGCAAUUCUAGCCUAUGGAAUAAGCUAGUCAUGGAGAAACCAAGUGAAAAGGCUACUGUGGUAUGCUGCUAAUGAAUCAGUUGCUGGGCAUUUUAGCAAAUCCACAUGGGAGAAUAAGGAGGCUCAAAUUCAUUUAUUUAUUUAGGGUCAGAUUUUCAAGUGGCUGACACAUUUUUCUAAUGGGAAAGCUUGGAAAACAAAAGUGUGAAGAGACAAACAAGAUACGAAUGAAUGACCAUAGUAUGAAAAUCUGGUCUUGUAGCAAUCUCUAAAGCCAGGUGAAAAGCUGAGAUUUGGACUCUUGGAGAAUGUCUCGGUGCUUAAAAGCUUGUCUCUUUUUGCUUGGGUUUUCCUUAUUCACAAAGAUUUGGGACUUUAGGCUCAUAUUUCACUUAGGGCUUGCCACAAACUUUUGUAUUGAUAGCCAUGCCUUGAGGCAUGCUCACAGUAAGCAUUAUUUUUCCAAUAUGCUUACUGCUUGAUGAAAUAACUAAUUAUUGGCAUUGUCCGGGAUGAAUCUAGCUUAUUGAUGAUACCUUUACUUUGCCUGAUUUAAGUGACAACAGAUGUGGGUUGUGGUUUUAAUUAGGUUAAUAAAUACAAUAAGAUAAAGAACCAUCAAAAUAGAUUGGACAGAGAGGGCGGGGGGUAUAGAGAGAACAAGCCCUUUUUUUUGUUGGGGGGGGGGGGGGGGGAGAGGAGGAGGCAGAGAUGUUGAGUGCUUAGAGCAUUUCAUGUUGAGACUUCUGGAACUGCUUACUUCAUGUUAUGAUUGUUGAUUUUGGAGCAUCUCAUAAGUAAAAGAAAGAAAAUUGACCUUUCUAUUGAAGGCAUUUUUUUGGAGAAGCCUUUGAAAGCAAAUUGAGUUUUCAGCUAUUGGCCUCAUAAUAAGUUGCUUUACCUGUUAUCAUGCUUGUACAGAACCUCUCUUUGAUGAUUUCCUUGUAACUUGCUUUGAUGCUGGUGUCAGUUCUUCAUUCAGUAGUAAUAUUCACGGCACAGUUGUAAAAGCUUACCUCCUUUAUGUUUUCUGCUGUACGAGUGUGCUUCUGCUUGACUGCAGGAGGAGUCCUUCCCCUUUUCAUGUUAUCAUCUUAUGUUUUGUCAGUCUUCAAGACAGAAUAUUUUGGUUUCUAUUGGUGGUAGCUGAAUAUAUUCGUAAUUAGGUGAAGGCAAAGAAGCAAACAUUUUCAUCCUUUGACGAUUUACUGAAAACCGCUGACAAACCAGUGUUGGUUGAUUUCUAUGCAACCUGGUAAGUUCUUUUGGUGUGUUACUCUUCCAUUCUUUUAUGUACCUUUUUGUGAUUCGCAAAAUUUUAACUGGAGAUCAGUUCCUAUGAGACAUCAAAGCAUCUAAUGCUGAGACUUGCGUGCAGAUCGAGAGGUAUUUGGCGUUGCAUUUGACCAAUUUAAUCACUUUAUCAAUCUAGUGAUUGGCACUCUAACGGGUCAUUACUUCAAAAAUGGGAAUAUUCUUGGAAGCAUCUAUAAACCAAGGGGAUUUUUUUACCUUUUACUGUGAUAGUAGUAACUAAAUCUGCUUGAUGCAUAAAUUUCUUGAGUCUACCGAUACAAUGACAAGCUACCCAUCAAAACAAUUUCAUUUGCGCAAAGCUAUAGUAGGAAUUAAGCAGAGAUAUGGAUUUGCAGGUGUGGUCCAUGCCAAUUCAUGGUUCCUGUUCUGAAUGAGGUUAGUACAAGAAUGAAAGAUAAGAUCCAGGUGGUGAAGAUUGAUACUGAGAAGUAUCCGAGCAUCGCAGAUAAGUAUAGAAUUCAGGCACUCCCUACUUUUAUCAUAUUCAAGGAUGGAGAACCCCAUGAUCGUUUUGUAAGUUGACUGCAUCUUUUCUGUAGUGUUUCUUACUUCUGUGCUGUUUCUUAAUGAGAAAAGAUGCAUCCCGACACGGAGUUAUAAAUGGGUUUUAGUCUAAAUAUUGGCUUUCUACUAACAAAUAAUAGUAGUAGACCACAUCUCUCGAACGUCAGUGACUUCUUAAGCUGAUGCACUGCCUAAGGAAACUAAGAUCCCCGCCAAGGGCUAAGAGGUUAAGUUCCUAGGUUCCCCUUCCCCUUUGCUUACUCUAAUGGAGUGCCCUGUUUUUGGUAGAAUUGGUAAGAGUACGGUAAGUUACAAAGUUCGUUGGAUGUGAUGGAUCUCAGAAUCAGUGUUUGCAUAUAAAGUUAUGUUUUAGAUAUUUAAGAUUUCAUGUGGUGAAGAAUUUAAAGAGCACUAACUCAGAACUAUUUUUGUGUAUGAACAAUCUCUUUCUAAAUUUCCAGGAGGGUGCACUUACAGCAGACCAACUAAUACAGCAGAUCGAGUCCUCACUGAAAGUCAAGCAGUAGCCAUGAUGGUGAUCUUUCUUUGUUUAUAUCCCUGCGCUAACUGAGUCCUGACAGUUGCACAAGGCUUUCCUGAACUCUUGCUCCUUUUUUUUUUUUGGCUUUUCCAUUCUUCUUCCCUUAUGCCAGAUCAAACGGUAGGGUGAUGUGGGUACCUGAGAUGCUGGAUGUUUAUAGAGCUUUAUUCAUUUGAACGAGGACUUCCAUUUUGUAUCUGGUGAUAUUCCUCAAGAAGCAAAUGGGAAUCAUCGUUUGCCCUGGGGUGUAUUCAUCAGUACUCGUUAAUUAAACUUGUUCGCUGCUGCAGAUAGACAGAUUAAUUGAGAUUGUAAUGCAUAUGUACUGAUGAAAUUGAUCUAGAAUCUCAAAAAGUUUUCGCCAUGAUUCUUAACACCUUGGACUGUAAUUCAAGAAGCCCGUUUUAUCCAAGUACUGUCUUUUUUACUGAGAUUGGAAGCCUUUAUGGUUGUCCAUACUUUGUACUGGUUGUCAAUCACCUCUGCGGGUUUAAAGUUUCCUCCUUUCAAUAGCUCAGGAGAGACUUUGCUUCUUUAAGCAGCUGCCAAUAACUGCUUGAAAACCUCAUUUCUGUGUAACCAUCAAUCAAAAUGGAAUUACAUACCAUACAAGAUUAAACAGUCAAACAAGUUUCUGCUGUGCUCAACUUGACAGCCCAGGCUGGUGAACAAAUUCCACAGUCCCCAAUAGCUCAUAGAUCAAAAGAAGCCUCGUUGAAAAUCCCCAAACAAAUCCCAAUUAUUAAGUGCUGUUUUGAGUAUGUAUGACUGCUGCCGCUGGGAACAGUUGCUAUCUUUCAAGAAACAGAAGGAAGAAUGGAGAUGAGAGCAGGGGAAGACAUAGGCAUAGGAGAAGACCUCACACCUCCACUCUCACCCCUGGCCUUCUCUCUCCACGAUUCUUUCCUACACUCCCACUGCUCCGCCUGCUCGUUUCCUCUACCAAAUGCGCAUUUUACUCCCACUUCCCCCUCAAAUUCACUACCCCUCCACUACUACUGCUCCCCCCGUUGCUCCGCCCUUGACUCACCUCCCUUCAUGUGUCCCCCUCCUCCUCUCGAAGACUCGUCCCACCUCCGCCUCUCCCUCCGCCUCCUCCAUAAACUAUUCCACUCUCAGAACGAUACGGUAGAAGCAAAACUGGAUAGGAUUGGAGGGUUAAUGACCAACUAUGAGAAAUUCUUGAAUUUGUCUAAAAAUGAGGAGGAAGAUGAGGCAUUGGAGAUGAUUAAGGAAGGUGCGAGGGCGAUGAAGCUCUUGGCGGGAAAAUUGGAGGGAGUGGUUGGGGUGGAGGAGGCGGUGAUGUGCUUGGUGCUGACGAAUGCGGUGGAGGUGCAGGAUAAGGACGGGAGAAAUGUGGGGAUUGCGGUUUACGAUUGGAGGUUUUCGUGGAUUAAUCAUAGUUGUUCUCCCAACGCUUGUUUUCGGUUUGUAACGAGGAAGACCAUACCUCCUCAACAAGUGGUGGAGGGAGAAUCCCAGCUCCCGCGGUUGAGAAUUUACCCUGCUGCCAUGGACGGUGGAGCUGGUGAUGGACUUGCUGGUGAUUGCAAGAGUGAGUGAGUUUUUGAAUCGUUGUGCAUUUUCUUGAGUUGAAAUUUUUUUGUUUUGGUUGUUAUGAUGAACUGGUUGAUUGUUAUUUGUGUUGAAUAAUGUGCAGGCAGUGAGGGAUGUGGUCCGAGCAUCAUAGUCCGGAGCAUAAAAGGAAUUAAGAAGAAUGAGAGGAUCACAAUUACUUAUACUGAUUUGUUACAACCUAAGGUAAAACAGUUACUAACUACUUAAACCAGUGCGUUAUUCCAGUUUUCAACAGGUUAAAUUUAGCAUAGCUAGAAAUUUGGUGCUCCUGCAUUCCUAGAAUACUAAAAUUACCAAACUUCUAACAUAACAGAGUUGAAAAGGAAUGACACCAUCGCGGAAAGUGUUAUUCUGGUUAACGAUGGUUUUGUUUUGAUGCACGGCUUUCUUUUUCUUUGUUUGGUGGUGCUGGCUUUUUCAUCACAGUGUUUUUCUUUUUUGGGACUGAUCGGGCUGGAGUUGAAAUCAGAUACAGAUGUGGUUAAGUUUGGUGGCUAAGAAAUAUUCGUGCAGGAGUUAAAGGCAUAAUAGUCUCUUGUAUACUGUUUGUUCUGGCUUGAUGGUGCUGAUUUGAGUUAAUAAUGACUUUGUUGAUGAUGACACAUUUUUGCCCUCUGAACUGAUUAUAAUAUAGGAUCCAAAUAGUUGCUUUUAUCUUUAUAAUUUAUGUUUCACAUGGAAGGAUAUUCAAUCCUCAUCUUUGAUACAUGUCACUACUUUGUUGCAAUUCAGUCAAGUUUAUUCAUACUUGAACAAGGUGGCGUCCUGAAAAUAUUACAUCUAUUAGUUAUACAAUGUUUAUUGUCGCUUGACUAACUUGCAGUCUUGGCUGGUUAACUUGUGCAUUGAUCCAGCUCGAGUUAAGUACUUGGUUACUCAGCGUUUGCUCUGACAUAUAUUCUUCAGGAAAUGCGGCAGGCUGAAUUGUUUACAAAUUACCGGUUCAAUUGUUGCUGUAAGCGAUGUACUGCAACUCCUGCAACUUAUAUUGAUCGUGCUUUGCAGGUAUCUUCCCCUGUACUUGGUUUUCUAUUCUGUUAAACCUACAAGUCCAAUUUUAAGUUCCUUUAUCCUGUGUGUUUCUCUUCUUUACUGCUCAGUACUCCAGAACUAUGACCGUAUCUAUUAACUGUUCCUCCACAUAAAUUACUACUAGCAGUGAAAAUCACUGGAGUCAUUUCUUGCUGUAUGUGUACGUUUUAUCAUUGUUCCUCUUGAAAAGCACUGGUCACGUACAAUUCCAUUGUACUUUACCUGACUAGCUGCCUUAACCAUCUGACAUUAGCAUGUUUCUGUUCAAAGUAUAGACCAAAAGAAAGGAAUUCUGAAAUCUUGUAUGGUUCAAUUGUCAUGAAUGUGAAUUUUCAUGAACAGACAACGUGGUUUUAACUGCUUAUUUGCUUUCGCCUUUUGUGUAGGAAACUUUUGUUUCUGGUGUUGAUGGUCUCAACUUGACUUCCAAUGAAGACUCAUACAGAUCCAAGGCAACUACGAAAUUCAUGGAUUCAAUUGAUGGUGCUAUUGAUGAGUAUUUGACCUUUAACAAUCCCGAGUCAUGCUGUGAGAAGCUUGAGGAUUUGCUUACACAUGGGCACCUUCAGGAGCCACUGAAACCAAAGCCAGAAAAGUCACCUCAAUGCAUAAGGUUACACUUGUUUCAUUAUCAAUCUCUACAUGCAUACACCACACUUGCUUCAGCAUACAGAGUCCGUGCUAGUGACCUCUUGGCUCUUAAUCCUGAAAAUCAUCAGCAUCAAAUGGAAGCUUUCACUCUGAGCAGAAUAAGUGCAGCCUACUCCUUGUUGUUGGCUAUAGUUACGCAUCAUCUUUUUCUUUCUGAAUCUUCAAUAAUUGUCUGUGUUGCGAAUUUCUGGAAAAAUGCUGGGGAGUCCCUAGUUUAUCUCUUUAGAAGCUCAGCCUGGGGUACAUUUUCCAAUUUACAGCUAUCUGUUUCUGAAAAUUCAUCCAUUCUAAGCCAUAAACGCUAUCAGAUUGUCCAACUGGAUAGCAGUGGAGCCAAUUCUUUUAUUAAUACUGAAGAUCAAUUUGCAAUGUUUGGGGACAUAAGUAGGCAGCACAUAAAUGGUAUUGUCAACUUAACAGAGAAAAUUUGGAGCUUCCUUAGUCAUGAAAGUCGACAUCUGCAAGAAGUUAAAGAGCUCAUUGAUUUUAGAUGGCUUCUCACAGUGGAAACUCCCCUUGAUCUCGGAACUCGUCUUACUUGCCGGGAUAGCAGAACUGUUUCCAGACUUCAAGAAAAGGAGCAUACCAACCUAGAGAGAGCAUAUCUCUUUCAGCUUGGUCUCCACUGCCUGCAUUAUGCAACAUAUUUGUCAAACAUCUGUUAUGGCCUAAAUUCCCUGUUGACAGGUGAAGUUUGUCAAUCUUCUAUACUCUGAAGGUAUGUAUAGUGGCUGGUUAAUUCAACCAAUUUGCCUGCAAAUAUUAUGAAAUAGCGAUGUAAAAAGCUCAUCAGAUAGUGAUCAAAAGCUCAAUUCAUCACUCGUAUAUACCGUAUAGUUGAGUGUAUCUUUCCAGGAUUGAAUUCUCAUCGGAGGUCUUAAGUGGCAAUUUAUGCAUGCAGCCAUGCAGGGGCCAAUAUUAUCGUCCUCUUUCCUUUUGUUAUUCUUUGGGCCAUUAUCCCAGAAAUAAGCAUUUGAUGAGUUAAUUUUGGUGUACUGAAUUAAAUUAGAGUGAACUUUUGGGCCAAAUCAGGCUCCAAUUUCAAAUGUGGGUGCUCUUAUUGGGCCUCAAGAGAUUGGAUAAAGCCUGCCCACCUGACACCUAAGUAUCAAGUCAAAUGACCUAAACAAUACAUUGCAAACAAUCUAACAUCUGUUCUCUGGACUCUAGUACUUUUAUUUGUUUAUUUUUUUUUGUCUUCAUAUUAUACCCUUUUUGCCUUUAUAUUGUCAGAUUCAGAAUUCGAAAUCUGAACAUCAUAAUUAAAAGAAUGCUAAGAGCCUUUUUUGACAAACUUUUAUUUAUUUAUUUAUUUACAUCUUCUCAUUCUUGUUCAUACCUUUUUCUCGCCUUUAUAUUAUAUCCUUUUCUCCUCCAUAUCGAGAGACUCAAAAUUCGAAAUCUGAAACUCAUAAUUGAAAGGACGUCAAGAGCCUUUUUUGACAAUUAAACGAACCCUAAUGGUUUUAGUACCCAUUUAAAAUAGUUUGUCAAUUUGUUGUUGUAGAGAGCUACAAUGACUUUAUGAAGGUGAAGUAAGCAUUAAGUUUGACGGUGAUGAAUUUUACCUUUUCUUUUUCCCUUUCUUUUUGGUAGUAUGAUAUUAACUCAACAUUAUAAGAUUUUCAUGGGGGGCAUAAAGAUUAAAGAGUCAUGAAAUCUGUGAUUUCAUUUUCCAAGUGUGAAUAUUAGGUGGAUGGACAAAUCAACCUUCUUUUUUCCAUUCUUGGGGGCAGAAUUUCUUCUGCCACAGAUGUUGCCUAUCCAUAUCACGAUAAUGUACUCUUCUUGAGCGAGUAAAUUAAUUUGGUCCCCAAAUGAAAAUUUAGUUGGCCCAUCUCACCGACCACCACGUUUCCUUAACAACAAAGAAAAGGAAAUAUACAAAUGGAAAAUCUGAAUCUAAACCUCCCCAGAUAACAACACUCAAGUAUGUGAACUCCUCACCGGCCAGUUGAAAUCUGAUCCAGAAAAAAAAAAACCCACGAGGAAAAAGAUUAAAUGAAUUUAGUUAUUGGAAACCACCUUAGAAAAUGAAAUUAAAGAAAUGCUUAGGCUCAAUGUAUCUGCCAAAAUGAAGCAAUAAAUGGUCAUGUCAGAAGAUGGAUAGCCAAUGCAUUUGAAUCAUUCAUGCAUCCAUCUUCCAACUUUGCUUAAAACUGUGAACAAAGGGGUGGCUAGAGCUGUUAAACCAAUCAAGUAGCUCGAAAUCUCGUUAGAGCUCGGCUCGUUAAGGUUUAACGAGUCGAGCUCGAGCUCGAAACAUGCUCGUUUAGUUAACGAGCCGAGUAAGCUCGGCUCGUUUGAUACUCGAGUAGCUCGUUAGAGCUCGUUAAUGAAGGGCAUAUUUGUCAUUUUAGAAAUCAAAAUUAUAUAAAUUAAAAAUUAUAGAUUUUUAUUAAUGUUUAUUUGCACGAGCUCGAGCUCGAGCUCGUGAAGCUCGAUUCGUUUGUGAUAAACGAGUCGAGCUCGAGAACUCGAACCACAUGUACAUUUAACGAGCCGAGUUCGAACACAUUUUAAAGUUCGUUUUCUUAACGAGCUCGAGUCGAGCUCGGCUCGAAUUAAACUCGAGUCGAGCUCGGCAGCCAAAUACUCGGCUCGAUUAACAGCUCUAGGGGUGGCAAACAACAUCAUAUCCAUGUGGUGGAGGGCCAUAUCUGUGAAUUGACCCUUCCAAACAGGCGUUAGAGCACAAUUGGUCAGAGAGGAGAAACUUGAAGGUGCUUAUGGCUAUGAGUUACAUCUGUAAAGUAAUAUCAACAUUAAUCGUCCAUUUGUAUCAAUAAUGGAUCAAUUGAAAAAAAUAACGCAAGUUGCAUCCUGUAUAGUUUGUUUGGGGAUGGGGUCUAUGUCAAUGAAUUGGAUGAAAGGAGAAGAAACUUCAAACUAUGAAUUUAUAAUUAGUGAUUGAGCUUAAUACUUCAACCCAACCAUACCAAACUUCUUGGUUAUUGGAGAACCAAAUUAUUUAAUAGUCGUUAGGUGGGGAAAAAAAAAAAGAAUUGCUUAAACAAUCUAGAAUACUUCUUUUUUUGGUAAAUAUCUAGAAAAUAUCUCUUUGGCUGAAGAUCACUAGUUGUUAUCUUGACCAAGAAAUACUGGUAGACCAUUUAACUUUCAAAAUGUUGAUUAUUGAUCACUAAGAUAUGUUUCAACCGCUUAAUCAUGAUUUGAUAGAGUUUUAAUUUCCCACUAUCCCUUGUCAAUCAGCAAAAUUGUGUUUGAUGACACGACUAAUUACCCUUCCAUAUAUAUAUAUAUAUAUCCUCCUUAAUGGUCCCAAAAAAUUAAACAGCUCUGAUAUCCCCCCAAAAAAAAAGACAGAGUUAAAAUCCAAAUUCACCUAAUUCAACGCAUUGAAAAUUUGUGGAAAUGAAUUUAAACCUCCUUUUUCUAUCAAUUUUUUUUUCAACGCCCGUUAAUCACGCUCCUAACACCAUCCAAUAAUUAAGAUUUCUAGCCGAUUACUACUAAAUCAUCGCCUAUAGGCUAUAAACAGCCUCCAGUCAACAAACAAACAAUCACCACCACUCAGAUCAGAUAUUUUUCAUAAGUUGUCCUAUUGUCAGUUUUACACCACUAAGAUCAUCAUGGCUGGAGAGAAGCACCGCCACCACCUCGUCCACCACCACAAGGAAGAGAAGCCUGUCGAGAGAAGCACCACUAAGACCAUCAUGGCUGAAGAGAAGCGCCACCACUACCACCACAAGGAAGAGAAGCACCACCACCACCUCGUCCACCACCACAAGGAAGAGAGAAGCACCACUAAGACCAUCAUGGUUGAAGAGAGAAGCACCACUAAGACCAUCAUGGUUGAAGAGAAGCACCACCACCACCUCGUCCACCACCACAAGGAAGAGAAGCACCACCACCACCUUGUCCACCACCACAAGGAAGAGAAGAAGCACCAGCACCACCUCGUCCAGCACCAGCACCAGCACCAGCACCACCUCGUCCAGCACCACCACCACCACCACCACCACCACCACAAGGAAGAGAAGCACCACCACCACAAGCCUGUCGAGAGAAGCACCACUAAGACCAUCAUGGCUGAAGAGAAGCACCGCCACCACCUCGUCCACCACCACAAGGAAGAGAAGCACCGCCACCACAAGCCAUAAUAAAAGGCAUAAUAGUCUCUUGUAUACUGUUUGUUCUGGCUUGAUGGUGCUGAUUUGAGUUAAAAAAGAUAAUGACUAUGUUGAUGAUGACACAUUUUCUGCCUUGGGAACCAAUUAUAAUAUAGGAUCCGAAUAGUUGCUUUUAUCUUUAUAAUUUAUGUUUCACAUGGAAAGAUAUUCAAUUCUCAUCUUUGAUACAUGUCACUACUUUGUUGCAAUUCAGUCAAGUUUAUUCAUACUUGAACAAGGCGGUGUCCUGAAAAUAUGACAUCUAUUAGUUAUACAAUGUUUAUUGUUGCUUGACUAACUUGCAGUCUUGGGUGGUUAACUUGUGCAUUGAUCCAGCUUGAGUUAAGUACUUGGUUACUCAGCGUUUGCUCUGACAUAUAUUCUUCAGUAAAUGCGGCAGGCUGAAUUGUUUACAAAUUACCGGUUCAAUUGUUGCUGUGUAAGCGAUGUACUGCAACUCCUGCAACUUAUAUUGAUCGUGCUUUGCUGGUAUCGUCCCCUGUACUUGCUUGUCCUUGGUUUUCUAUUCUGUUAAACCUACAACUCCAAUUUUAAGUUCCUUUAUCCUGUGUGUUUCUCUUCUUUGCUGCUCAGUACUCCAGAACUAUGACCGUAUCCAUUAACCGUCCCUCCUCAUAAAUUACUACUAGCAGUGAAAAUCACUGGAGUCAUUUCUUGCUGCACUCUUGAAAAGCACUGUCAUGUACAAUUCCAUUGUACUUUACCUGACUUGCUGCCUUAACCAUCUGACAUUAGCAUGUUUCCGCUCAAAGUAUAGACCAAAAGAAAGGAAUUCUGAAAUCUUCUAUGGUUCAAUUGUCAUGAAUGUGAGUUUUCAUGAACAGACAACGUGGCUUUAACUGCUUAUUUGCUUUUGCCUUUUUGUGUAGGAAACUUUUGUUUCUGGUGUUGAUGGUCUCAACUUAACUUCCAAUGAAGACUCGUACAAAUCCAAGGCAACUACGAAAUUCAUGGAUUCAAUUGAUGGUGCUAUUGAUGAGUAUUUGACCUUUAACAAUCCCGAGUCAUGCUGUGAGAAGCUUGAGGAUUUGCUUACACAUGGGCACCUUCAGGGGCCACUGAGACCAAAGCCAGAAAAGUCACCUCAAUGCAUAAGGUUACACUUGUUUCAUCAUCAAUCUCUACAUGCAUACACCACACUUGCUUCAGCAUACAGAGUCCGUGCUAGUGACCUCUUGGCUCUUAAUUCUGAAAAUCAUCAGCAUCAUAUGGAAGCUUUCACUCUGAGCAGAAUAAGUGCAGCCUACUCCUUGUUGUUGGCUAUAGUUACGCAUCAUCUUUUUCUUUCUGAAUCUUCAAUAAUUGUCUGUGUUGCGAAUUUCUGGAAAAAUGCCGGGGAGUCCCUAGUUUAUCUCUUUAGAAGCUCAGCCUGGGUUACAUUUUCCAGUUUGCACCAAUCUGUUUCUGAAAAUUCAUCCAUUCUAAGCCAUAAAUGCUGAAGAUCAAUUCUUUUAUUAAUACUGAAGAUCAAUAUGCAAUGUUUGGGGACAUAAGCAGGCAGCACAUAAAUUGUAUUGUCAACAUAACAGAAAAAGUAUGGAGCUUCCUUAGUCAUGAAAGUCGACAUCUGCAAGAAGUUAAAGAGCUCAUUGAUUUUUGAUGGCUUCUCACAGUGGAAACUCCCCUUGAUCUCGGAACUCGUAUUACUUGCCGGGAUAGCAGAACUGUUUCCAGACUUCAAAAAAAGGAGCAUGCCAACCUAGAGAGAGCAUAUCUCUUUCAGCUUGGUCUCCACUGCUUACACUAUGCAACAUACCUGUCAAGCAUCUGUUAUGGCCUAAAUUCCCUGUUGAUAGGUGAAGUUUGUCAAUCUUCUAUACUCUGAAGGUAUGUAUAGUGGCUGGUUAGUUCAACCAAUUUGGCUGAAAAUAUUAUCAAAAAAUAGCGAUGUGAAAAGGUCAUCAAAUAGAUGGUGAUCAAAAAGCUCAGUUCAUCACUCGUAUAUACCGUAUAGUUGAGUGUAUCUUUCCAGGAUUGAAUUCUCAUAGAUGGUGAUCAAAAAGCUCAAUUCAUCACUCGUAAUGCAUGCAAGCAGGAGCCCAAUAUUUCGUCCUCUUUCCAUUUGUUUUUUUUGGGCCACAGUCCUAGAAAUAAGCAUUUCAUGAGUUAAUUUUGGUCUACUGAAUUGAAUAAGAGUGAACUUUUGGGCCAAAUCAGGCUCCAAUUUCAAAUGUGGGUGCUGUUAUUGGGCCUCAAGAGAUUGGAUAAAGCCUGCCCACCUGACACCUAAGUAUCAAGGUCAAAUGACCUCAAACAAUCUAAUAUCCGUUCGCCAGUACUUUUAUUUGUUUAUUUUUUCUUGCCUUCAUAUUACACCCUUCUCGCCUUUAUAUUGUCUGAUUCAGAAUUCAAAAUCUGAAUCUCAUAAUUGAAAGGACGCUAAGAGCUUUUUUUUGACAAAUUUUUAUUUAUUUAUUUAUUACAUUCUUUCAUUCCUGUUCAUACCUUUUUCUUGCAGUCAUAUUAUACCCUUUUCUCCUUUGUACCGAGAGACUCAGAAUUCGAAAUCUGAACCUCAUAAUUGAAAGGACGUUAAGAGCCUAUUUUGACAACUGAACAAACCCUAAUAGUUUUAGUACUUACUUAAAAGAGUUUGUCAAUUUGUUGUUGUAGAGAGCUACAAUGACUUUAUGAAGGUAAAGUGGACAUUAAGUUUGGGCAGUGUCGAAUUUUACCUUUUCUUUUUCCCUUUCUUUUUGGUAGUAUGAUAUUAACUCGACAUUAUAAGAUUUUCAUGGGGGGUGGUUUGAAGUCUCCAUUUUGUUGCAACUAUUCAAAGAGUCAUGAAAUCUGUGAUUUCAUUUUCCAAGUGUGAAUAUUAGGUGGAUGGACAAAUCAACCUUCUUUUUUCCAUUCUUGGGGCAGAAUUUCUUCUCCCACGGAUGUUUCCUAUCCAUAUCACGAUAAUGUACUCUUCUUGAGCGAGUAAAUUAAUUGGUCCCCAAAUGGAAAUUUAGUUGGCACGUCUCACCGACCACGUUUCCUUAACAGCGAAGAAAAGGAAAUAUACAAAUGGAAAAUAAUCUGAAUCUAAACCACCCCAGAUAUCAACAUUCAAGUGGUGGAUAGUCAAUGCAUUUGGAUCAUUCAUGCAUCCAUCUUCCAACUUUGCUUAAAAUUGUGAACAAAGGGGUGGCAAACAACAUCAUAUCCAUGUGGUGGAGGCCAUACCUGUGAAUUGACCCUUCCAAACAGGCGUUAGAGCACAAUUGGUCAGAGAGGAGAAACUUGAAGGUGCAUAUGGCUAUGAGUUACAUCUGUAAAGUAAUAUCAACAUUAAUCGUCCAUUUGUAUCAAUCAUGGAUCAAUUGACAAAAAAAAACCCAAGUUGCAUCCUGUAUAGUUUGUCUGGGGAUGGGGUCUAUGUCAAUGAAUUGGAUGAAAGGAGAAGAAACUUCAAACUAUGAAUUUAUAAUUAGUGAUUGAGCUUAAUUCUUCAACCCAACCACACCAAACUUCUUGGUUAUUGGAGAACCAAAUCAUAUAUAUAUAUAUAUAAUAAAGUCGUAUCCUCAUUUAUCGUUUCAUGUUUUCUUUUUCUUAUGUGGCUUAACGAGAUAGCAAGUAAUUUUCUACGUGGCUUGCUUCUUUUUUGUUUGGAUUUAUAUCAAUUCUUAUUUCCUAUAUUAUAUGAUUGGUCCGAUAAAAUAUAUCAAUUCUUAGUCCGAUAAAAAUUGUUAGUCCGAUAAAAAUUGUGAUACAAAAUGGAUCAAUUGGAAAAAAAACCCCAAGUUGCAUCCUGUAUAGUUUGUCUGGGGAUGGGGUCUAUGUCAAUGAAUUGGAUGAAAGGAGAAGAAACUUCAAACUAUGAAUUUAUAAUUAGUGAUUGAGCUUAAUACUUCAACCCAACCAUACCAAACUUCUUGGUUAUUGGAGAACCAAAUUAUUUAAUAGUCGUAAGGUGGGAAAAAAAAAAGAAUUGCUUAAACAAUCUAGAAUACUUCUUUUUUUGGUAAAUAUCUAGAAAAUAUCUCUUUGGCUAUCUUGACCAAGAAAUACUGGUAGACCAUUUAACUUUCAAAAUGUUGAUUAUUGAUCACUAAGAUAUGUUUCAACCGCUUAAUCAUGAUUUAAUAGAGUUUUAAUUUCCCACUAUCCCUUGUCAAUCAGCAAAAUUGUGUUUGAUGACACGACUAAUUACCCUUCCAUAUAUAUAUAUAUAUAUCCUCCUUUUUCUAUCAAUUUUUUUUUUCAACGCCCGUUAAUCACGCUCCUAACACUAUCCAAUAACUAAGAUUUCUAGCCGAUUACUACUAAAUCAUCGCCUGUAGGCUAUAAAUAGCCUCCUCUCCACAAUCCAACAAACAGAAAAUUACCACCACUCAGAUCAGAUAUUUUUCAUAAGUUGUCCUAUUAUCAGUUUUACACCACUAAGACUAUCAUGGCUGAAGCCUUCCACCACCACAACCCCUUCCACCACCACAAGGAACAGACGGCUGCCGAAGCCGUUGGCUACUCCGACACCACCUACUCUGGAGGCUACGGUGGAGAGCCAGCACAUGAUUAUGAGAAAGAAAGAAAGCACCACAAGCACCUUGAGCAACUUGGUGGACUCGGUGCUGUCGCUGCUGGCGCCUAUGCCUUGGUAUAUUUCCGAUUUUGUGAUCCUUGCUUGUAUAACUCAGUUUUCAUGAUAAGCCACGAAGGCAUGCUUGUCUAUAAGAAGCCACAAAUUAAACUCAGUUUUUUUUUGUAUUAGUCCAUAAAGACUAAACAUUUUUGUUAUCAUUUCGUUUGAUCAGACAAUCAAAGAUUAUGUACGUCCAAUAUCAAAAGGGUUGUUCAGUAAAUCAGAAAAAUCUCUUUCGAAAAAUAAAAAAAAAAAGAUUAAAGAAUCUCUAGGGGGGAUAAAAUCGUAUGGUAUGGUCCAAUUAUAGUGUUGUGUUGAAUUUUAUGCUCUAAUCGGACUAAAAAUUUUGCAGUCAAUUGACUGUAUCAUAAACUCUUUUAAGUAGGACAUGGUUUUUGGCUUUACUAAUUUCUUGUUUGUUUUUUUUGUCGAAAUUUCCAUAAUCCAGCAUGAGAAGCACAAGUCCAAGAAAGAUCCUGAGCAUGCCCACAAGCACAAGAUAGAAGAAGAGAUUGCAGCAGUAGCUGCAGUGGGUGCCGGUGGAUUUGCGUUCCAUGAGCAUCACGAGAAGAAGGAUGCCAAGAAAGAAGAGGAAAAGGCUGAGGGAAAGCACCACCACCACCUAUUUUAGUUUAACCACUCGGAUUUUCAUUAAUCCUUGGGUGGUCUUUUUAAUAUUGUUCCCUUGUCUAUCUUCCAGUAUUGAGCUCGUACUGCCAAUAAUCAUGUUUAAUAAUCUGUUACUCAAAAAAAAAAAAAAAGUGUUGUUUUUCAUUUGAGUUGUGCGCCUGCUUUUGUUGGCGCUGCUGACUUUAUUAGAGUUUGUGU